UCUCUCCAAGUUUGCAACCACCUGCUUGGGAAAGUGUAGAGCGGUCAAAGAUUUCCUUAAGAUGUGACUAAAGAAUAUGCAUUCCAAAUACUAAACUUUUAAGACAACCUUCACUCCCUUCGACAUUUCUGCUUCAUUUCUAGCAAUUCUCAAUCUUCUACUUCUAGAGUCUGACACUCUUUUUGCAGAAGAAACUUUGGGCUUUUGAAAGCGUCCAUGCAGGGUGUUCGAUGGCAGCAAUUGGGUAGAAAUUAUAGUGGGGUUUUCUAGUGCCCUUUCUCUUAUCUUUUUGCGUUGUUUCUUUUUUCUAGAGCAAACAACAGUUUUAUCCUUUUGACCAUCCACCGAGAGAUUCAUAUUACAAUCUCCACUAUUAGCAGGAACAUCAGAUAGGUCCAAAAUAUUUGAAGCUUUAAGAGUCCUAGAGAGACAUGUGUUGAAUAAUUUCAGAGCUCCAAGCCUUCCUAGUUGUAGUAGAAUUUCCCUCUCCAAUGUUAACACAUCUGAAUCAGCAAAUGUCUCCUCUAAAACGUCGAGAUUCUCCAUUAGCAAACUAUAAUGUGAAGCCUUGCAUGCUUGUGGGCUUGUGCGAGAGGAAGAUUUGUCCCCUCCAAUUAGUUCAUGAGUUUUAUCAAUCAUAGUAAGUGAAUGACUGUGUGACUGUGAUCCCUUGCCAAUGUUUACCUGGAUGAAAAAGAUUCAGAAUAAGUAUGAGACACUUGAGAGUGAAAAUGAUUGAAAUGGACAAUGGACAGUUAUGCAACUUAGUAGAAACAAUUGACAUAACCACACACCUUCAUUUCUUCAAUUUCCAAGCAACCUUUUUCUAAUGUUUGCGGAGCUGCGGAUGAAGCAUAUGCCUUCAGAGGAUCUUUUAACGAAAGCACACCUUCAUCAGAAAAUAGGACAAUGUGAGUGAAUAAAACCAAAAAAAAAAAAUCUACAACAAACCAAAGACGAGCAAAUCAUAUAUAAGCAAAGCAUAAGACCACAGAUGUGAAUUUGGAAAUAAAGCAUAGUAAAAGCAACGAUCUUGAAUGGCUUAUAAUUUAACAGAAAGCAACCAACUUUCCAAUUUGAAGUUAAUUUUAGGACAACCCAUAUUUGGCACUCCUACAUGGAUAAUAAGCUCCAUCUUUGCUUCAAUUAACAUAAACAUAAGGCAACAAAACAAAUUCAACUAGGAAGUUAACAGACAGUUUAACAAUCAACUCAAUCUAGCCACUGUCAUCUAAUAUAUAUAAUAGUGAAAGCUUAUUUAACUUUAUUUUCUGGCAGAGUAAGAACGAAAGGUGGAUUUGAAAUCUAUUUGAACUCACCAGAAGAAGGGAGCCUCGAAGGUGAACUGGCAAGAAAAUGAGAAGGAACUGGGCAAACCCCCUUGAGAUUCAGCCUGAAACCCAUUGGACCCCAGAAAGCAGAGACACAGUGCCCAUCAAAUCCUCAUGAACUUGUCAGACUUAUAAGGUGGAUAGCAAAAACCAAAAAGAAAAAGUAUGUUACCAAGUGAACAAUCAUUGAAUUUUAGAUUAUUUGUGUUCUCACACCUGAGCCACCGGUUCUUCAUCUCCAAAACUUGUGUCAACGACAGUUUCACCCUUUUGUGUGAUGACGCAAGUGCCCAAUUCCCGAAUUGCCUUUCCCACUAGAAAAGAAAAAAAUAAAUAAAUAUCCGAAUAAACCUUUAAAUUAUAUAAAAAAAUCAUUUCAAUUUUUAUCUUUUUAGUACGUUUAAAUAAAUUUUUUAAUUUUUAUUUCAAAUAAAAUAAAUCCCACUACCUAAUCAUUAGUUAAUUUUCAUUAAUCAAUAGUAUAUAUGAUAUUUUUAUACUAUGUCAUCUAUAACAUGAUAAAUAAUGUGGUAUUAGAUAUUAUUGAUUAGAAUUAAGUAAAUAAGUUAAAAAGUAAAUAUAUAAAUUUUAAUUAAUAAUAUUUAAUAUCACGAUAAUAAAUAAAAUAAUAUAAAAAUGUCACAUGUAUAAUUGAUUAAUGAAAGUUAGUUAAUGAUUAGAGAGUUAGACUUAUUGGAUCUGAAAUAAAAAUUUAAAAACUUAUUUAAAAGUAAUAAAAUGAUAAAAAUUAAAUUAUUUUUUUAACAUAAUUCAAAGAUUUAUUUGGAUAUUUAAUCAAAAACAUAAUAAUAGUAAAAAAAAUGAAAAACAACUGUACCUGGAUUUGGGUCUGCUACACAGCCGCAUGUGAAGUGCAACAUCUGGUCUGGUCUGUCAGAAUUGGGCUUUGUUUCUUCUCUUACAGAACUUCCCUGCGGCCCAACCCAUAUUUGUUGUAUCAAGGCCAACAUGCUUGCUCCUCUGAGCAACAAGUAGUCAAAUACCAAGUAUUAUUUGAUGAUUAAUUUUGUUUUCAUUAAAAUAACGCAAAGAAGCCAAUAUAUGAAAGGCAAACAGAUAACAAGGAUACAGAGAAUAAAAUUAAAAGUUAUGAGAUGAUGUUGUCAAAGCACAAUCCAAGCAAAGAAAAGCCGCAAUCAGCCUUGUACUUCUUCAACUGUUUAAGAGAAAUUCCUUGCAGCCCGACGGAUUCCUUUCAGUCUAUUUCCCUUCUUAUCAGCAUAACUUCCUACCAAGCGUGGUGCCCCCAAUUUGUGCUCCAGCUUCCUCUUUCCCACAUAAUUGAUUGACCUUUUAGUUGAAUUUUUCCAAAUUUUUACUAACUUAUUUCUUCCAAGGAAAAUUUCUUCUUAAGUCUAGCAGAAUCAGACCCAGAUCUUAACCUGAUAGCAAAUCUUGGUGACAUAUCCUGGCUUGUACAUUUAAAACUCGUUUCACCCUUAUCUAAGUCAAUGAAUUUCUCCCCUCCCUCUUGUUUGAUGUCAUCAGCAGUUUUAUGUCUCUUCAUUUGUUGUUCCUCAACGGUGGUUCUUGCCGUCAGCUUCCCUUUCUCCUUAAUUUAAGAAACAUCAUUGACUGAAGAACCACUGCUUGCAGCACUUUGAACCGUUUAAGAUGAGUUUUGCACACGAAAAAAUUCUGUGUCUCAAGAAAAUUGUCCUUCCUAGCACUGUUGCGUAGCUUGAAGGUCUUUUAACAGAGAAGGGAAAUUUACAGAGAUUACUAUUUGUAAAAACUGGAUGGGGAGGGGACCGACACCAAGAUAUUGAGUUACCAUUCUUGCUACACUGCGAGCAAACACUGAAUUCCUUCUCAUGUUUGAACUGUAUGCAUGGUAACAUAGACACUCCUGAUUCCUCCUCACUGAUAAACCUUAUGGUGCAAAAUCUCUUUAGCCGAGAUGCGUUUAUCAACGCAUUCUUUGAAACAAGGAGAUUGCCCUUUUUCCUGUAGUGAUCGACUUUGACUUCUGGUUUAUGAUAUUCAUUUUCUGGUCCAUUUGUUCAGUUGGCUUCUUGUGCAACUUUGAGUUCUCUACUUCCAGCAUUUCUUCUCGCUUAGUGAUCAUCUCCUCAUUUUCAGCCCACAACUUUUCAUUCUCCUUUUGCAGUUCAAUAUUUGGAGCUUGACCCCUGAGUUAGAAUAUGAGAGGUUAUCCUUAUUACAAAAAAUUGAGAGGCUAUUCUCACUGAUGCACGUUUCUGGUGACGAUAUGUUGGUAUGAUAUAUUCUGAAAUUUUGUGGACCACUUACUUUUACUUAACCUUUACAGCUACAGAGUCUUCACCGUGCAGAAGCCUGCACAUAUUGAGGCAAGCUCUUGUUUCAGUGCUCCCGCAUUAACAUUUCAAUUUCCAUCUUAACUUCGUUGUGAACUCCAUUAGACCAUGGACUAUUAGCAGGCUCCUGGUAACAGUUUCCAGGGGUGAAUGAACAUGGGGACUUAAUUUUGAAAGGCCGUGGAUCAUAGGCUUCAUGUAAGCUGAAAGCUCCAACCCAAACAAAAUGCUAACAGAGAUGGCAUCCUGGUCCAACAUUUGCAAUAUGAUGGAAAAUUUUGCUUAUUUUGUCUUAUUGUUUUAAACCUCUUGGUUGUGUAAUUAAUUGAAGAUAAACUCUUAAUCCCAACUUUACCUUCUCCACAUGCCAUUAGGCUACAUAAUCACCAGGUGAUAAUUUGAAUUUUUGGGAUGACAUGUUUUUCUUUUUGUAGUACUACUUAGCAGCAUAUUAGUGGCAGUACAUGUCCCAUCUCAAUGAAUGAUUGGCCAUCAUUUUCUGCAUGGAGCAACCCCAUGGAAUCAAGCAAAAUCCAAACCGAUGACUCCCAGCUUUCCCUGGUCAGAACCACUCCACCAAUUUUAAAAAUCAUUGUCGUUCCACCAUGAGAAGACACCACUUCUUUUGCUUUCCAUCUCUAUUGGCGAUAAAUACCAACUUGCUAACACCAAUGGCUGUGCUUAAAUAUUUCUUUAAGUUUUUGUCUUAUCUACUUAUUACUUAUAUAGAAAUCAGUUACAUGGACAUUGAAUUCAAAUUCACCAAACUUUUCCAUUCUCCUGCCAAGUUCCACUCGCUUAAAUGGAAAAAGAAAAAAACAAAUGAACAUUAAUAAACCGCGUAGGGUUGAGCUUAAUAAGGCAGAACCAUCAAAUUAAGCCUUCCAACAACUCCAUUUUAACCUACCACCUCCAUGUGCCAGUGGGCUCUAACUACAUCAUGGGCACAAUUUAGCGGCAGUGUAUAAGACCUUCGGGGGGUUUGGGUGGGAUCCUGGGCCAUGUCUUCCCUUCCCCUAGUUGCCCAAAACAAACGUAUUUACCUAUUAAUAGCAAAGCUGAAAAAGCCUACGCCGGUUUCCUAAGCCCACAGUUCUUAAACCAAAACCAACAAGGGCCACUCCUAUUUUAAAUGAACUGGAAACAGGAAAUUAAAAUGAAAGGAACCCAUUUGAAUAUUGCCAUUCUUUUUUUGUUUCAUGUCCCACUUUGGGGGGGUUAUGUGCUUGACAGGAUUGCAGAAAACGCGGUCCGAGGAGAUUUUUCAAUGGGACAAGUCCAUGGAUUCACGAUAAUCUUAACCUAAAUUAGUACAUCAUUAACUAUUGUUUUUGGCAACUGUUUUGUGACAGGGACAACCUAACCCAUGACUUUUCAUGAAAUGACUAUCUACUUAAUGGGCAGAUUUGGGAUUAACUGCUUCAGGAAAAGCUCUAAAUAAUACAAGUGGGUUUUAAAUAAAUAUUUUUUCUUUUGCCACAUUCUCUUCGAAAAUACCCUUUUAAGAUUCAAGCAAGCUGAAUGAGUUUUCAUCCUAAUCCAAAACUAAUCAUGAGUCAAAUAAGAUGCUUCUGCAAGAAAAAAGGUUCCUCAUUCUUUGUCUGUAAAGCAAAGGGUUCCCGCAGAGUACAACUUGCAUGACUAAAAUAUUAACUAGAAUAUAACAACUUAAAUAGAGAGGAAAAAAAAAAAGAAACAUCUUUUAGAAAAAUACAAGAUACAUUCUUAGAUUCCUUUAGUAAUGAAAUUUGAAUUAUAUAAAUAAAAGAGACGUCACUAAUUUUAUAAAUAUUUAUUAAAUUUAAAAUUUAAAAUCUUUAAAUUAAAUACUCAAUUCUCACUUUUAAGAUGUACUUUUUCAAGAUAAAUAUUUAAGGCAUGGUGUAGACCUAUGAUAUUGCUUUCGAUGAAUAUUAAAAGAAAAAAGUUUGUUUAAAAUUAAAAUUUAUUUUUUUGGACUUAAUUAUUAAUAAAAAAUUGUUUCAUUUGUUGACCAAUAUAGGUAUUAUUUUUUAAAAAAAUAUUUAAUGUUAUUAAUUAAUAUCGAUAAAAACAUUCAAUAUUGACGAAUAUUGCUAAUAUAAAAAAAAAUUCAGGUAUAAACAUUCAUGUAUAGAGUUUGACGACAAAGAUGUGUAAAGUAGGGAGAUCCCCGUCCGAGCACCGCAUCCGAAGAAAGCCCUUGUGGAUAAUCUUGAAGCUGAUAACACCCAAAAAAAAAGGGAAAAUGAAAAAACAUAGAACAGUAAAAAGCAAAGUCCAGAUCAUGGAGAUCUCGAGAGAUCAAAAGCAUAGGCAAUAAUCCAUAUCGUAUGCCACGCGUAUUCAUCGCCUUGAUGGGGUGUCAGUAGCAGGACUAAGCUUAUCACCUCCGGCUCACUGUGCCACCAACCACGUGUACCCAUUGGUUUGACCCGGGGUGGUGUAUGUCACGUGAUGGCGCUUACGUGUCAACGUACGGACCCUGCAGAUGCGAUAUUUAUUCGUACGGAUCAUGUGCUCAGUUCUUUUGUCGGUUUGCGAUUCUGUCCCUGAUUUGAUCGUGGUGCCAUCACAGCCGUUCAUUUCCAUAGAUUGAGGAAAUUUGGAUUUUAGUAUCCCGUACGUGUACUUACCAGUUACCGCUUCAAUAUCCGCUGUAAUUUACUAAAUGCUCUCUUCACCAAAAGUAUGUUGGGAAUUACUACUAAAUUCUCUCCGAAAUCAAUCCAAUUUGUUCAGAUUGCAAUUUUUUUAUUUACUUUCCAAUUAAUUAGCCAAUCAAUUUUACUAUUGAAUUUAAUUUUCAAAAUUAUAUUUUGAUCGAGACUUGACAGCGUUUAUGAAAUUAACUAAAAUGACACUUUAAUGCCUGGCCAAGAAAAAAAACACAGGAGUGGCUAAAAUGUUAAAAUGGUAAAUAACAGCACGAGCUCGCCGCGCCACCUUUGCUUAGUAAGAAAUAAGAAAUGCUAGAAAUCCACCUGAAACCAAAACAUUGAACUUCACCACCUAUUUGAAAACAGGACAAUGAAAUUUGCUUGCUUCGCAGAUGGAGGCUCCGCCAUGGAAAUAUCUGCCACCCAAGUGUACAUUAGCGUAACGUAAUUUAAACUUGCUAAAGUGCACGGGGGUCUCCGUGACACUGCCGCUAAGCUUGGCGGGUUCUUAACUGCCAAGUAGUUCGUCGCUUUGCAGAGAGUUAAUGACGCGUGGAUGCAAUGCAGAAGCCCGAACAAUCAGCCCAUUUGCGCAUGGCUGCCACUGUCUGCAAUCCGUCCACGUGUCAAUAAACCUCUUGAUCACCAAAAUCGUAUAUAUCUCGGCAUAUCUGGCUAAAUUAUCGUAUUAAUAGCUUCGAAACUUCGAGAUUCAGCUUCGAAGUUACUGGUAAUUUCAUUCCAACAACUUUCAAAACUUCCUUUAACUACGGUUAAAUAUCACCUAAUACUCACGACAUUUUAUUUUAUACUAUUUAUUCCGCGAUAAGUAACAACUCCCUUCAAAAUAUCCCCAACUCGAAGGGACCUCAGCAAUCAGUUUUCAAUACACAAAGACAAACGAUAGAAUCACCGACGGUGAAGCAUUUUACCACAGCCAAUCACAAAGAGAUAAGCACAAAUCGCUAAUUUCCCCGGGUCCCACUGACGCCAACACUAAAGACUAAAACCUAAUAACUUGUAAUCAACGGCCACGAUAAGCCCAUGACAUAGAAUUGUCACACCGUCACAUCUACCGUAUUUUUAACGGUAGAAACUAGGAAAGUGGAGGCUGUAGAUUUUUUAACUCAACCAUGGUUAGCUCGAAACAACUUCGGGUUAGAAAAGCAGUUUAUAAUGAAGGGAACCGCUGCUCCUCCUAGAAUCAGAGAACGAUGUCCAAAAAUGAUGAUCGGAGAACCAACCCGACCAAAUCCCACCAUCAAAAUCCCCGCGUGGGACCCAUUCAACGAUCCGGCGGCUAACUUUCCUUCCGUUAACUACAACUGUAAUGCACCCAACAGUCCUUGCCCCGUCGACUACCUCACGUCCCUCCACCGUUACCUUCCGUCAAACGACUUCGAGUCUGACUCGCUGAGUGAUGAUUCCGACUUACCGGUCGACGCAUUCUCAUGCGACCAUUUCCGUAUGUACGAGUUCAAAGUGAGGAGGUGCGCGCGUGGCAGGUCACAUGACUGGACUGAGUGUCCGUACGCCCACCCUGGUGAGAAAGCCCGAAGAAGAGACCCGAGAAAGUUCCAUUACUCUGGAACUGCUUGCCCUGAUUUUCGCAAGGGAAACUGUAAGAAAGGAGAUUCCUGUGAGUUUGCUCAUGGCGUUUUUGAGUGUUGGCUCCAUCCUGCUCGUUACCGAACUCAGCCUUGCAAAGACGGUACCAGUUGUAAAAGAAGGGUUUGUUUUUUCGCUCACACGCCGGAGCAGCUUCGGGUCUUACCCCAGCAGAGUCCGAGAGGAAAUGGGGCCGGUUCGGGUGAUUUGGAUUAUGUUGGAUCACCCAUACGCCACCGUCUAGACUUUGUUUCUUCACCAACUUCCAUCCUGGCUUCUCCUCCAAUAUCCCCGCCUUCCGAUUCACCCCCUAUGUCACCAAGUGGGUCAUUUAACUCUGCGAGUGAACUGGCUGCUUCCAUGCGUAAUCUGCAGCUUGGUAAGGCAAAAAUGACUGGUGCUUGUUCUUGGGGUCUGCAAAUGGGAUCAGGUUUCGGUUCUCCUCGGGGCUCCACUCUCCGAUCCUCGUUUUGCAGCUCUCCUUCAACUCCAACUCGCACACCCACCCGGUCUGGCCUAGGUCAGUUCGACCUCUGGGAAUGCAACGCUUUUGAAGAGGAACCUGCGAUGGAGAGAGUGGAGUCUGGGAGAGACUUAAGGGCAAGGAUGUAUGCAAAGCUGAGUAAGGAAAAUUCUCUGGACCGACUUGAUCCAACAGGAUCGGGUCCUGAUGUUGGAUGGGUGUCUGAGUUGGUGAAGUGAGUCUUAUUCUUUGGAAUGGACUGGAUGGUGGGGAAUGGGGACUCAGCUUCUGUUUUGAUUUAUUUUGGGAAAUUUCAAGAAAAUAUCGGUGGCCUUUGAUUCUUCUGACUUUGUGAAUAUUGAUGAUCGAUGUUUCUGAUUUGGAUAAUUUGCACUGUAAAUAGACGACGGGGAAAGAGAGAUCGGAGAAGUCUCUAUUUUGUGGUGCACUGCUUCUUUUCUUUAAGUUUUGUUAAUUGGGAAAAAAAGAAAAUUGCAACCUUUGUAUAGACAAGAAGGAUUUAUUAGGGCUGCCGAAAGAAUGGGUAGCGGUUUGUUUCUCAUUUUGUUUAUUAUGAAUCGUAAUUUCCUUUUCAUUUCAUCCUGAUUAUCUCUGUAAUUUCUGUUAUCAUGGCUAAUCAAUGUAAUAUAUUUCUUCAUCCUCUGUCUUCUUUUUUCUCGUCUAUAUCUCUUUUUAACUUUUUUUGCUUGAUUUGGUUGAUACGCUAAUAGUAGUAUUAGUAGAUUGCAGCAGAGAAGAAUGUUUUUCCCAAAAAAAAACAAAAACAAAAUUUGUAUUCAAAUUUUCUUUUCCCUGAUCAAGUUUGUUCUACUCUUGCUUGUGAGAGGCUGGAAGCAUGGCUGUUUUUCUGGUCCUUCGGGAAAGUGAAGUUCAAGGCCAAAAACAAUGCGGGAACUGUGUCUUCCAAGUUUUCUGAUCCAGAGGCACUGGAACUGAAAUAGGCAAAAAGGGAAAAUGGUUUCAAUCUUUCCGGUUCUGGUAUACGCCUGAUCUCGUCCCCUGGUUAUAGUACCAUCCAUGUUUGCCUUGUUUGAUGGUGUUGAGUGGAGAGCUAUUUUGGUUCACGAACUCCUGAUUACGUACCAUCAAGGAUUUCGUCUUUUCAUUUUCAUGUCAAAGUGGGGACUGGGGAAAAACUUAUCUAUGGGUUUCUUGGAUACCUGAAAUCUUUAGGGUAAGCUUAUCAUGUGAGUAACAAUCAAUAACGACGACAAGCAGUCUAAAAUAUUGAUUUGGAUCCUCCACCCCUAUAUAAAGAAUUUUAUCAGGUAUUUUAUCUGGUAGUGUGAUUAGAUUCGUGACGUGGACCCAUUGAACUGAUAUAACCCGUCCUUAUCUGCUGAUAAUCUUUUAGUUUAUCUCCUCAGAGCCACUUGUAUCGUGAUUAAUUAAAUUAAUUUAUAGUGUAGUAAACUUGAUGUGAAAGUUUUAUCGAAGAGACAGGGUAUGGUCAAGGCAAACGCUAUCUGUUGGAGGGUCCCAAUAAAAAAAUCUAGGGGACUGUUUCUGAUUUCUUCGUAGUGACCAGACACAGGGCGGAGUGAAGGUGGAUUUGUUUAGGAGACAUACGGGUAUUAUUUUUAUGAUUAAAGAGGCCGACAAAGUGGACGAUAGUUCCGAGAUUUGGUUCGUUUUUUUGGGUAUGGAACGAAGCUUUAUAAAAAGUCACUGGUGCAUGUGUAUGGGUGUGUGGAGAGAUUCUGUGCUGGCGUGCUCUCCGAAACUAAUGUGUUGGUCUUGUUUUUGGCCGCAGGAUAAUCAUCAUGUCCUUAGCCCAGGAGUCUUCGAAAUGUGAGGAAACCAGUCAGAGCUAAGAGUUCCUAGAAUCAGACCGAAAUCUUGAUCAUCUUAUUUCAAUUAGUUUGCACGAUAGCUCUAUUGUGAGUUUGUAUUUAGUCGAUUCCAUACAUAUAAAUAAUUUCUAAAUAAUAAUGUCCUUCGAAAAUGACCCGAGAGAGUGUUUUUAUGCCUAACAAUUUGUACUUUGCGUUGAUGGAGUGCUAGUAUUUUGCACAAGUUAAAAGGAAUAUCACGAACGAAAACGAUACAAAGUAGGAUUUUUUUUUUAAGAGUAUUUGACAUUUAACUAAAUUCACCGAGGAAAUAAUUCUAAAGUAAGAUAAGAUGACAGAAAAUGAUAUAAAGAUAUAAUAAAAAAAUGUUUAACUUACUAGCUUUAUUGUUGAUGUAAUUGUAUAUAUUGCAAGAAAUGAACGUUACAAUUAGAAAUUGUCAAUUGUAAAUCAAUGACAGUUACACGUUUUUGCAAAAUCCAAAAUGUUGUAUGUUAUCAGGUAUGUUGGAUUUUCUCCUUUUUGAGCGAAGGUCAUGAUAAACCUUGAAUAAGUUAAUUGAUAAAAUUGUAAAUUUCUAGUAUAUAGAAUAUAUAAAUAUAACACAAAUUAUUUUACUUAUCAUCAAUUGAUUUUAAAUUCGAUAUAAAUUUUAAAAGUAUAACAUAGUAACAAAAUAAGUAUUGUUCUCGUUAUUAUUUAUUUCAUAAUGAAUUAUCAUGUAUUAGAUCCGUUAUAUCUACACAUAAAAUAAAUUUUUUAAAAUAAUAAAAAAAAUUUAAUACAUAAAAUAAUAAAAAUCACUCAACUUGUUAUCAAUCGAUUUUAUAUUGAAUACUUGUUUUUAAGAUAAUUAUAUAAAUUAUUUAAUUAAAAUUAUUAUAUGAUAUUAUUAUCACUACAACAUUUUAUUAGAGUUGUACUAUAAUUAGAGAUACCUAUGUACCAUACAUAAGUUAAUUUUCUCAACAUACAAGAUUUUUUUUUCUUUUUAACACUUAUCUUAAAAAUUCAACAUUAAUCAUUCUUUGUCCUUAGAGCAACGAUCUAAAAUAAUGAGCUUUGAACUUAGUCUGGUACCUUUUCGUGUUCGCAAAGCUUCUUGCGCCCGACGCCCCAUCCCUCCAUGCUUUUACUAUUAAUUAAAACUCGAGCCGUCGUGUUUAAAAUUGGGUUAGCUCAAUGAAGCUAGUAGGGGACCUUGUUAUUGCUUACGGAUUGUUGGUUAUAUACCAAUCUUUGGCUCCACUCAAUCUAUCUUAUAUUAUCAAUUGAGAUCUUCACAUUCUAUGCGACGAUGCACGAAUUGUGCUUGGAUAAAAUUGCGGGUGGUUGCGCUCUUGAUGUCGACAGCUUUGGCUUCUCUCUGUUUACGUUUAUCAUAACCUUAUCGUACAAAAAUUUAAUUUCAGUUUUAACAAUUAUUGCCUGAAAUUAAUUCUUAAUAAAUAUAAAAAAAAUUUUAGUUCUUUGAAAUACAUAAAAUAAAAAAGAUAGCAUCUUAAUUUUAUAUGAAAUUAUAAAAUAAAUCUCAAAAUGAGAAAUUUUACAAAUUUUAAAAUUUAAAAUGAGUAUUUAAUUUUAAGAAGAUAGUAAAAUUAUUUUAUUCUUUAAUGGAAGAUGAAGAAAUUAAAAUUGAGAUUGGGUUUUUGAUUUUAUUUUGUUGUCUGGAUUAUUCUCAGUGCAUUAAAAGCCUUAGAACCUUAUCUAGAAAAGGCCCACAUUGCUCUCUGUGUGCUGGAGAGGUGGUAUAGCAAAAUCAAAGUAACACUCAAAGGGACAGGCAGCCUCCAGGGGGGACCGAAGUCUUUUUCAUGGACUAGAACCAACGCCCCAACGCGACCUCAUGGUUCUUUGUUCCCGGCCUCAGUCACAUCAGAAAUUAUCCGUUCAACGGUCCCAUUUUAUUCCAAAAAUAAAAAAUAAAAAAGAGCUAAUAAUAAAUCUUUCAUCUAAUUUAUAUUUUUUAUUAAAACAAUAUAAAAUAAUACACUAAUAUUAAAAUAGCACAUGAGAAUGUAAUUCUUAUAACAUUACUUAAUAAAAUCGAGACAUUACUUGAAGAUCCAUAACAAGCAUCAUGUCAAUAAAAUAUUAAAAAAUUAUAUUUUGAAAAAGUUCAUCAAAUUAUUUGAUUUGUAAUAUAUAUGAAUGAUACUGAAUUGUUAUUAACAUACAAACUACUCCUUAAAUGCCUGUGUCCUAACUUGGAAAAAUGCCUUAUGAGGAGGGUGUUUUGGUAUGAUGGGGCAUUGAAAGCAGACAAGAUGAUUGAGGGUAUCCACAUUAUGAAUGGAGGUGGGGUUGAGAGGAGAGCAGCCUUUACAACACCCCUACCGCCAAGUAAACUAUCUCCAUUUUCCUUCUCUUUUCAAUGCAUUAAAUUUUGUAAAUGUUUGAUGCAAAAUUAAAGUCUCUCCCUAUGUUUUUUUUUUAAACUACUAAGUAUUGUAAUUAGGGUUUCAGAAAAAACUGAAUCAAUUUUAGGGAUUUUUUUAAUCGAAUCAAAGAUUUUUAAAUUGAUGUUGGGUUUUUAUGAAUCCAUUUAAGGGAUUUUUUGAAUCAAGUUUAAGGGUUGCUGAAUCAGUUUUCAAAUUCAUUAAAUUGGGUUUAACUGAUUUAAGGGUUUCAUUAAAUUGAAUUAAAUCAAUUAAGGGCUAAUUGAAUCGGGCUUAGGAAUCAUACAUAAUGAAGAAAAAAAUUGCUUAAAAGAUAUUAGAAUUAUUAAGUACUAGUACUUUAUCUGAGCUUUGUUGAGGGAUUUUUUUAUUUUUUGCAAUAAAUAAUAAACAUUGAAAUGUUUAAUUUUUUUUACCAUAUUAAAAGUUUUCAUGUUAAUAUCUCAUGAGAACAUUAAAAAUGUAAUAAUAUAAACAUCAAGAAUAAAGAAAAAGAGAAAUUAAUUUUAUUUCGUUGCUUGCUGGCUAAAUAUACAUAUUAUUACACUCCCAAUUUCAUAAUAAUAUCAAAGCAAUCAUCUAAGUCGUACAUACAUUAUGAGAGUUGAUUCACAAUUCUUUCAAAUAUAUAUAUAUAUAUAUUAAAAUCUGAAAUUCAUUAAAAAAUGAAAAAUUAACUAACAUUUGAAAUAUCAAAUUGAAAAAUUAUAAAUUUUUUUUCAAAAAGUGUGUUCAUCGUGCAAGUUUGAGUUGAUUUUUACCUUGCAUUUCAAUACAAGUUUGCUAUAUAAUGGAUCUUAAAAUAUAUAGUAGUAGUUUCAAUUCAAUAUGAGAGAAGAAAAAGAGAAAAGAAAAUCAUGGUAUUACUAUAGUAAAAUCUUUACUCGUUGUAAAUCCCGUUUCACAGUGCAUGUAUUAAUCUAGUUUUUAUUUAUUUUGAGCUCAUUACAAGGCAAAAAUUUUGGUAUGAACUAUGGGCUUCUAUGGCUCCGUAAAUUUGCAGUAAAAAGCACCCUAAAAAUUAGAGUUUUUUUUAUCAAAUUACUUUUUUGAAAUAUUCUUAAAAAAUCAUUUUCGUUAAUUUAAAAUGUUAUCUUGAAUGUUUCUAUCACUUAUUCUUGUGUCCUUGUCAAAAAUUCAUAAUAUGUGAUAGAUUUUGAAUUUAUAAUAAUUUUUUUCUAUUGAACAGAUAUAACUUUAAGCUUUAGUUGAGAAAAAAAAUAAAAAUAUUUUUUAAGUUGAAAAUAUAAUCUCGUGACAAGUUAUAUCAAAACAUACUAAACUCUUCACUUGAAUUAGUGACAUUUUUAGUCAAAAUUUUCAAAAUUUAUUUACAAGCUAAAUUUUAUUUUAACCAGAAUUGGGUCAUUUUUUUUUUUAUUUUUCAGAUUUGUAAACAAGAAAAACUACUUUAGAAAUUGGACCCAACAACCCACCUAAACAAAAAUUUCUCAUAAAAUGGUCCACCAACCAGCAUUAUCCUUGUUUUCUUUAUUUAUUCAGAAGAUCCUUUUUUCUCCAAUGUUGUUUGACAAAAUGGGAUUUCCCGUAGAUUUGAAGGCAUGGAUCCACAAGUCUUUUCCCAGAGCAAAGUUGGCCCAUUGGGCCCAUGGUCUUUCGUCAAUUAUAAAUUCCACCCAUAAGGCGGGAUAUGCCUUGUUAUGAAGGAAGGUAGUACAAAAAUGCUUAUGACCUCCACUCGGUUUGCUUAUUUCAAUUUAGUAAAUUCAAGCGAUCUUUUCCCAACUCUUCUCUGGCCUCAUCUUAAAUAUCGUACAAAAUUUAUAUAUCAUUGAAGGAUCCACCAAGAUGGCUUUAAAUGUAAUCACUCAUUCAAAUAAAUGUAACUUUCAAGUGAGUAAAUUUAUAAAAGAUUUAAAUUACUAUUAUUAAUAUAUUUGUUACGGAAUCAUUACACAUUUACGUUUAUAAAUCUGUCAAGAUCUCUUUUAAUUGUCUGAUGUUAAAAAUGAAGCACGUUGCCUCUUUGUUACGAAGUACUUGACCUGACAUCUCAACUAUCAAAGUAAUUAUUUAAUAUGAAUCAUAAUAUUUUCAAUUGAAAAUAUGAAAAAAAAUUACUUUCAAAUACUUGUUAAGGUAAUAUUUGAAAUAUUUUAAAAAUAAUAAUAAUCUAAUUAAUAAGUACCAUUUAACUGAAUCUUUCCUUCACUCACCUCUCCCAAAAAAGGAGAAAAAAAAAGUAGCGCAAUUGGUGGGAGAAGAUUUAAAAGCUGUACUGCAUCUGCUGGGACCAUAUUUUUUUGUACUGCAACUAACUUUGAAACUAGUUACAUGCGCCAUUGAUUGUCAUAGAUUUAAGGUACUGAUAUGUUCUCCCAUUACUGGAAAGGAUAUAAAGAGCACGUGGAUGCUUAAUUUGGGCCAGCAAAUCAAAUCCAGGAUUGGAGGAGUAUCUUUGGGCUCUUUGCUUAUACCCCAUCAACAGGACCGGGGAAAUGGGUACCUUGGGUUCCAUUAAACUGCGCAUUGUUGAUCUAUUAUCUAUCACCUCAAAGUUUCAGAUGCAUGAGGGCAUGGACGGCAAAGUUUUGAGGUGCCGGUUUUCUCUGAAAAAGUUUCAAGUUGAAGGUUUUUUGCGAAGCCAGUUUGUCAAUUGAUCGAUCAAUUUUGGUUCUGAUUUAACCUUUUCCUUCUGUUAUUUUCUGUCUCAAUUAUUGCCUGGAGGAGUUUUUUUUUUUUUUUCCUGGGGGGUUUGUACUAGCGCUCAACAUGUGCUCUUUCGUACUUUUGCCAUGCAAAAUGUGUAGCUUUUCUGCAUUGCCAUUGAUGAAAUAUUGAAUAGAGAUUUGGGUUUACAUUCUUGUAGCAUUUUGAAGGAGAGAGUGGAGUCAAACUUAUUCAUUUCGGCUGGAUUAGACAGGGUUGAAAGAUCUAUGUAUGUUGGAUUCUUGAAGAUAAAAUUCCACCAUUCAAAUCAAUACACACAAUAAGAUAACCUUGACCCGUUACUUAAGAAAGUUGGAUUUUUGCAACAUAAAAGCAAAACAUGCUAUUGAAAAUCAACGAAAAGCAAGUUCGAAACUUUUACUUCCAAAUUGCCGUUGGACUUGGAGGAGUGAGGUAGAGUAGAAAGGGAAACGAGAGGGUAAAAUUACUUGCUCUUGUAUUUUGCUUGAGCAUCCAAAGAGAGUAUAAAAUCAAAUAAUCAAAACAUACUCUACUCCUUGCAGAGAGAGAAUCACCAAAUUCACUAUGGAAUAAUGGUAGAUAUGGUAUCUUUUGGCUUUUGGGGGGGGGGGGGGGGGUCAGGUUUCCACUUCAGUCUCUGUGUUUUCACGAAGUUGAAAAACUAAAGCAACUUGGGAAAACAUGAAACAGCUAAUCUGCAAAACAAAGGGACACCGAAAGUGGAUGGUAUAAGUUCAAAAGGAAGAGGAAUGAAAGAACAUAAUAAGGUAAAGUUUAUCAACUGGGGAGAAAAGGAAAGUGAAAAUCAUUAUGUACUCCUCCUCUUACGUUAAAUCGAGUCACCUAACAAACAUCAAGUACAGAUUUCGUCGUGCAAAAAAAAAAAAAACUACAUACUUUGUGUUUGGAAUCUUGAAUGUUUUAAACAAGAGGUGGCACUCUCUAAAAUUGACCUGCUAAGACACCAUUUUAGACAGCUUAAAAAGCCAUGGUUCUCAAAGGAUGGUGAUGUAAAGUCGUAGUAACCAUCGAUUGGCUGCUUCUUGUAUCCCCAUAAGCCGCCCCCCCCCCCGAACGAAUUCAAUAAAAAAAUGGGGUUUUUCUUAAAGAGUUAAGACAAUGACUAUAAGUAUAACAUUGGGUUCCUAAACUUUUACUCUUUUUUGUUUUAAGGUAGAGAAUAAUUUGACUCUUUUUGUUUGAUGGGUUUUGAGGGAGAGGUGUGGUAGGCAAAGAUUGAAAGGUGUAUCCCUUGAAUUUGUGUUGUUACUUUCGUCAAAGAGAGAGAGAGAGAGAGAGAGCGAGAGAGAGGUAUACAUCAUUCCACCUUUGACAUGCCACUAUUUGAAUCAUACGAGAAAGAUCUGGUAAUGAUCGAUCUAAAAGAAGAGAAGUACAAAUUGUUAAAAAAGAAAGACAAAGAAACCAUUUCAAAGGAGCAAUCGGGACUUCCUUUUCACAAUGGACUAGGUUCAUUUGAACGUAUAGCUUUCGCCUUUAUCACUUUGAAUACUGUAGAAUGUCGAGUAGCUCUUCAAUUUCAUUUCCGCAGUCCUCAACUUUAAACUUCCUCCCAGUUACGUAUAAGGUCGUGCAUGUAUGUUAGACCAUGAAAAAUGCGAAGAGAAAAAUAGUACUAAAAACUAGUAGUAGGUUUGCUUAAUAAUAAUCUACUUGAUGAUUAGUACUAAUUAGCUAGCUCUAAGACAUGACACACGCAAAGACUUGCCCUGGUGAAACCACACAUAUUUUUUGCCCCUUGGAGAAACUAGAAUCAUGAUGCAACUUGACUUGCUGCUCAAAUAUAGUCAUGAAUCAUGAAUCCAUCACGUGAGAAAACCACAGCUUCUUCUCUUACUUUGGAGAAAUUAAAUCCACCGGUUUCUUUGUAGUCAAAAGUAACAGUGAAAGCUUUAUGUAAAAACUUAACAGCUGAUCAGGCUCUGAUAGGCCGGUAGAAAUGCAGAAUUCACUAGGGGUUACCAGCCUAGGAUUGCUGUUAACGUAAAAAUAAAAAAGUUACCCAUACAAACACUCGACCAACCGAAAUAGAUGACAAAGAAGAGAGAAGGGUUGUAGUGCCUUUUCAGUUCCCGAAGAGAAGUGUUAAAGUUCAAUGAAUUAUUAGAUUUAUAUUUAGUAAAAAGCUCCUUUGGGUCGAUUUCUUUUGUAGUAAAAGCUAUGCAGUAAACAUUAUGGUAAAAAAUUGACAAGGGCAGAAAUUAACUGGCUAAGGGUGUAUUGUUAUAGCCUUAUAGGUUUAUUCUGCUGAGUGGAUUUUAAGAUUCAAUACUUGCUCCUAUAAUUCUACUUAAUAUAACUUUGUGGUUGUUGCCAAAGUAAAACAUAAAAUAAGUACUAAAAAUCUUACCUAAAAUGAACAUAUUAGUAUUGUUGACAAGAAACAGUAAAUUUGGAACGUUAUAGUAAACAGUAAACAUAUUUGUAAGGGCAUUACUCCAUGUUACGUGCUUCUCUCUUCUCACUUUUUUUUUUUUUUUUGUAUAUUUGCUGUUUCAGAUAUAUUCAAUUCUGAAAAAUAUAUAAUCUAUAUUAUCCUAUAUAGUUUGCUAGGAUUGUUGUUCAUCAUAAAUAUAAAUAUGAGUAAAGUCUAAAGUCUAGACUUAGUUUAGCUUCGUCAGUGGCUGCUAAUAGUAAUAGGCAUAUGUUGUGCAAACGUUAUUUAUGUAUUACUGCCAUACAUAAUUCAAAGAAUAUGCAGAAACUUAGACCUCCGUGCUAGUUGAAAAGCCAAAUCUUUUACCGAAUAAUGGGGAAGCUAAUUGAUUUUCCAAAUAAAAGCUUAAUUGCUGUUAAGCAGAAAUGUAUGUAAGUGGGUAGCUAAUUAAUGACUUAAACUCAUUUUAGGCUUAAUUAUUCUUAAAGUUCUGAUAAAAAAAAGUCAACACAACAUGUGGAGUGAUUGUUGACUGGGUCCUACUAUCUUAACAGACAAGAAAGAUGCAGAAGAAAAGGCAAAAACAAAGUUAAAAAGAAAAAGAAAAAGAAAAGGGGAGUGGGGGAAAGGAAAAUAGCUACUUAGUCAUACAAAGUCAAGUUCUGUGCAAAGGAGCCACCAACUUUAUAAACCCCUUCCCCAGAUGAGAGCCCACUGUUUCUUUUUCCCUCAAUUUGAAAGCAUUUGCGUGUCUCAAUUCUCCUCUCUUUCUCUUUCUCUUUCUCAAACUCUUUCUGUGUGUGUGUUAAUUUAUCUGUCUCUUUGUUGGGAGGAGGGGUGUCAGUUCAGAGUGAUAGUGAAGGGGCUGAGCCCGAGCUAUAAGCUAUAGCAGCAAGCAUGGGGAGAGCUCCAUGCUGUGACAAAGCAAACGUGAAGAGAGGCCCUUGGUCCCCUGAAGAAGACGCCACCCUUAAGAGCUAUAUUGAGACUCAUGGCACUGGUGGUAACUGGAUCGCUUUGCCCCAAAAAGCUGGUAUAAGAAUAUACUCUUUGGCUCUCCAUUUUCUACAAGGGUGUUCAGUAUUCUUCUUUAUUUUUCACCUUUCAAUUUUAAAGGGCCUUUUCUCUUGUUUCCGGGCAAAUUAUCCAUUACCCAUUUCACCAAAAAUGAGAGUUUCCAUAUGUUUUAAACUUGAAAGUAAAUCAUCAGAUAAGGGUUUCAGAUUUCCCUGAACUUUUCAGUAUUAAAAUUGUUCCUCUUUUCCCAACUAAGCAGAAAAGGAGAAUCAUGAACUAAGAAGGCGUCUUUUUCUUUAUACUGUUCCAUCGUUUUUAACUUCCUCCAGUUUCAGAAAACUCUGGCAGAUUGUAGCUUUUUCAGCUGUUUAGUUACAUUUUUGACUAUUAAUGUGUCCUCUUAGCUAUUAAAGUUCAAAGUAAAAUUUGCAAAUACCAUGUACGUUCAGAAUUACGGUACUUCCCCUGCAAGAAUAAAAGCAGUCUGGCCGCUGAGUUUUGUCUCCUUGUUCACUAUCUUUGUUCAAAGUACGGUUUCAAGUCUGGACAUUAUUCUCUACUCUGGUCUUUCCUGGUUUUACUUUUAUGUUCAUUCUUUCAGCUCUCUAAAUUAUCUGUUUUCAUAAUUUUGUUGUGCUUUUCGGGGAUCCAUAUGCAAAUGCCUGAUGCCCUUAUCAUUUAACCAACUUCACACGACAAGAAAGUUUUUUGUUUUUUUUUUUGGCCUUGAAAAGACUGAAUCCAAGAGAGAAACACAAAACAUUGUAAAAUUUGUUCAGAUCAGCCGUAAAAAGCAACCUCAAUCUUGCUUUUAACGUCUGUCUAAAGCAAAAGGUUGAAAUGCCUUAUCAAUGAUUUAUUAUCAGUAGUAAAUUUUUUUUUCUUUAAUUUUCCUUGCUUGGAAGUUUACACCUUAAUAUCUCUUGUUACAUUUCAGGCCUUAAGCGAUGUGGAAAGAGUUGCCGAUUGCGAUGGCUGAAUUAUCUGAGACCAGACAUCAAACAUGGGGGUUUUACCGAAGAGGAGGACAACAUAAUAUGCACUCUCUAUAGUCAAAUGGGAAGCAGGCAAGUUGUUUUGUCUUUGUUUUUUCGGCUAAGAAUCUGUCUGGUUGCUCGUAAUUAUUUUUAGUUAUCUUCACAAAGCUUCUCUUAUAGGUUAACUUAUUCAAAUGUCGGUUGUUUUUAUUAUAUUUCAUUUAAGACUUAAAAAAACCCCACUUGUGACUUUUGUUAGAUGGUCCCUCAUAGCUUCUCAGCUGCCUGGAAGAACAGACAAUGAUGUGAAAAACUAUUGGAAUACCAAGUUAAAGAAGAAGCUUGCGUCUGGGAAAUCAUGCUUCAAUAUGAGCAAGACUAUUAACAAUGAUCUCGUCCCUGCUGCCAACACUAAUAUUUCUACUCAACCAGGCUCAGCAGCAGCUUUACAGCCUUGUUUACCAAAAGCUGAACCUUACAAUCUGGAUUAUUCAACCUCACACUCUCAGAUUUCAGCACCAUUGCCAAUUUUAUCUGAUGUUGGUUAUGGAUUCUCUAUCAGUAGUGUUCAAAACUUGCCUUUAAACCCGGUCGUGCACUUUUCUCGCCCAGAAGCAGUCACCCAUCUGUCACAAUCAGGUGCAACUAUGGAGAACAGUCUCAUUGUUACCUCAUCUCAAGAAGGCUCCAGCAUUUCGGAUUCUACUUCUCUGGCUAUGGAGAGCAAGCCUGUCUCAAUGCCUGGUAACGGAUAUGUCGAUGACACGGGCAACAUUUUGAUGGAUCAGUUCAGCUACGAGUUCCCUUAUGAAUUUGUCAAUGGCAUUUGGAGUCAAGAGAAAGCCGGGGAGGUUGUUCCAAGUUGCUACGAUAGUUUAGCUGAUUUUCCCCAUGCUGACAUAAAGCCUCGAGGACUGAAUCAAAGUGUUGCUAACCGAUAUUGAGAGAAACGCAUGGCUGGAAGGGGAAUGGUGAAAGAGAAAAAUUAAAAAGGCAUGGACAUGUGAAAGAAGAGAGAGAUAGAUACAAGAUUUAAGUUUUAAUUUUUCUUCUCACAUGCUAUAUUAUUAUGAUUUGGCCGUUGUUUCUGUAGAUAAAAAGAAAAAAGAGAGGAUAUAUUAACCUAUGUCAAAUUCAAGUCAAGUAAAUGGGGCUUUAAUUAAUCUGAUGUUGAUUUCAUAGAAAUAGUCUUUGUUCUCUGAAUGCAGCCUUUAACCUUUUAAUUUUGGACCCAGAUAGGAACAUUUCAAUUAAAUGAAAUCAAAAUUCAUGUAAAAAAACAUAAAGAAAGAUUGUUAUGCGCCCCUGUCUUUCUGUUAACUGUUUAAGGCUCAAUAUGGACAAUUUGUCAGAGAAAAAGUGGGGUCUUGAAAAUUUUGGUUUUUAAUUUAUCCAAAGGAAGAUGGACAUGGGUGUGAGGGUGAUUCCAUCAUCAUGUCUGCCUGUUUUUUGCUGUUUCAGUGCAGUGGUCACGAAAGUUGCAUGGGGGGUUGUGGCCUGUUCAAACCUCAUCAUGCUGUGAACGUAUUCUUCUAACAUUAACCAUAAAAGAUUCUCUCUCUCUCUCUCUCUCUCUGUGAAUAAAAAUAUUGCCUUUGGAAAGGUAAAAAAAAUUAACCCAUCAUUUUCCAUUGAAUAUUCAGCACAGUUUUUUCCGUUUACAACUUUUUUCCAGGCUUCUCUUGAAUUAGCAUUAAAUUAUUGAAUAUGAAUACAGGACAUCACUUCCUUAACUUCAGACGUUUCAGGACCCAGAAAUUAAUAAGUACUAACGUUUUCCUUUUACCAUGCAUGUGACUCUCCUAUGCAAAACUUUGCCUUUUAUCAACAAUCUUUCUGUUUCUAUAUAUAAUUGGCACGUUCAUAACUAAACCCAAAAAGAAGCAAAAGAAAAAAAAAUCUCAAACAUUAAAAGCUUUUCUACUUUCUACUUUAAUCAUUUAUUUUUCUAUCAACUUUUUUCAUUUUUUUCUCCCCCCUUUACCAAGUCCUAAAAAUAAACCACCACUUUCUCUUAAAGCGAACAUAAGAUGGGAGAUAUGAGAACCUUGCCAACUAUGCAACCUCAUUAUAUCUGAUAAAAGGCCUUUCCCCCACCUGGGACCUCUACUGUCAAUAUAUAUUAUUUUCAACAGAACCACAAAUCUGCUGCAGUUAAGGGUAAUCAAUCAAUUAGCAGAAAAAACCAACCGAGGGUUUUUAAUUUAGAAACCCUAGAUACCCCCACGGGUGAGUGUAGUGCAAUUCAUCUUGCCUAAACUCGCCACCAUACCCUGAGCAGACACAAACAGGCCAAAGACACUUGUUUUGACUAACUGGUUUAAUUUCAAUACUCUUCCCCUUGCCUUAAAAAGGGAACUGCUCCAAAAGGAUUCAAAAUUCAAAGUUUGGGAAACACUUGUUUCUAUAUACAGUUUUUUCUUCCUUGAGGUAUUAAUAAGUAAACAGAAAGGCCCUCAAAGCCGGGCAGACAUUUUGUUCCCUCUAAUGUUUGCACAUUGCACUUUCAGACAUUUCAUCAUAAUGUCUUUUUUAUCUACUUCUUGGUGGCGUUACUUGUAAAUGAAUAUUCCUUCUUAAAAGUAUUUAAGAAGACAAGCACAUCGGCACCAUUGGAUAGGCCAGCAUUUCCCCCCCCCCCCCUUUUUUUUUUUUUCUCCAAUCCUGGAACACAGAUAGUUUAAUCCUUAUUGUGUACCAUUUGUUUUAUAAAAAAACCCUAUCUUUCAAUGUGUAAAGCUAGCUAAGUUUCGUCUUCCUAAUUAGGUGUAGCAUUCUUUAUAGCAUUCAAGGGGCUAGCCUGCCUACAGGGCGGCAUCUUUUUAAUAGUAAAAAAGAUUGAAAAUCUGAACAUAUAGACAUCAAAGGUGAUUUUGCAAUCCCAAUGACAUGAGAGUCUGACACACAUUUUGCAUCUAACACUUAAUAAUUUAGUUUAUUUGCGUUUUCACCUUCCAAAAAAUUUGAGUCUAACAAUCAAAUAAGAUUAUUUACGAAUUUGAAGUUUUCCUGUUUAAUAGUCUUAGUAUAUUAAAAUUUUAAUUCAGAAAUUAUUUAACUUUUAUGUUUUUAUCUCAAGUUCUUAUAUAUAUUUUAAAGAGGGGGUUAUAAUUGGUGUCCAACGUUUCAUGGGAUCUUCUGUACGGUGAGAUUUGAGAGAAGAGGAAAUAUUGUAAUGCAGCACAAGUUUUCAGUCGAACUUUAUUUUAUAACAGAGUUGAGUUGACAUUUUGUAUAAUUUUUUUUAUUUUUAUAUAUAAACUAUCAUUCUUUAAAAAAAAUCAUAUAAAAUGAGAAUUUUGUAUUCAAAUUUUAAAUAUCUCCUAUUUAUGAUAACGACGUUUCGUUUUUCAAAUUCAAAUUCUCUUUCAUUAUUAAUAUAUAAUGAAUAACAAAAAACACAUACCAACCUAGUGACAUAUAUCACUAUACUUGACUAUAUAGAGAUUCGCCGACCAAUAUAAUAAGCUUCAUUCUCCUUAUUGCCCCGUAUUAUAGCUUUAUAGAUAAUUAAAGAAAAAAAAAAAGGGAACACCCAUCCCAAUUCAAGAAGUCACAAAUAAUUUAAGGAACAAAUGGCAUCUAUAAUAUUCAAACCAAAUGCCCAAUCAGAACAUUAUUUUCUACAUUUGAAUACUAUAUAUUAUCGACCAAUCAUGAAUGGAUAUAAUAAAAUUAUGUUAAUUAUUCAGGGUUCAUCCAUUGACAAUCAAUCCCUUCUAAACUGUAAUUUUAUUUUAAGACCAAGCCAAUUUCAAGUCAAUGAAUGGAUAACCUUUUCAAAAAACAUCACAGCAAUAGAUUAUUCGUUUAAACAAGGUAAUAAUUAGGCUUAGAUAUAUUUUUAUUCAAAGUUUAUUUUAAUACUCUUUUGACAAUUCAUGCAAAACUUUUUAUGGUCCCAACUCCCGACCUUAAUUUAUAUAAUAUAUGUAUUCCUACUUGGAUAAAGAGAAUCUUGAAUCCAUCAGCACGGGUCAUACUAAAUUUUGCUUUGGCCUUCAUCUUGUCUUUUGACAUUGACCCCUUCAAAAGCAGUUUAUUAUAACCACGAAUUCUUCCAUGAAAUUUCCAUGCAUAUUCUUCCAAGUCAUUUUUAUAUUAUUCUUGGUGACUUUGAGGGUUUUUUUUUUGGUUAUUUUCUUUUUAAGCCAAUGAUUGUGAUAGGAUGAUAUAUGAAUUUAUACAUGGAGCAUCGUUAAGUUUUACUCUCUUUUUUUUUUCAUUUUGUUUGUUUUUUAUUAAAUAAAUUUAAUUUUAUAAAUUCACAAAUAAAAUGAAAUAAAAGGAGUCGAAAGUAAUUUUUGUUUCAUUUCAUUUUCGAUUUUUAAAAGAUACUUUCGAACGAAAAAUAUGUACCAAGAACGAGGUGCCAGUAUUUCCACUUAAAUAAUCGGGGAGAAGGAAAAUGAAUAUGUUUACUCUUGCAUGUGUAAUUGUUCUAAACAUGAGAAUUAAGGGAAAACAUAAGGUUGAGGCAUUGAGUUUAGAUUGUUUUAGAGUGUGAUGUGUACCACGAACAAGGCAUGGGCGUAACCAAAGAAGGUCAGUUCUGACAGAAAUGGAAAAAAGAAUAAGUCUGACUUCUGACAUUAAAAGAAUAUUACUUGUUUUUCCUUUUUUUUUUUUUGGAAGUAAAGGGUAAACCGAACAGUUGUGUACAAGAGAAAAAAAAAACAAUCACAAGCAGAAAACAAACUGUUUUUCUAGAAGAGUAGCAAUGCCAAUAGUGGGGCAGGCGUUAGAAAUAAACGUAAUCUGAAUCAUUAGUUUAAUUGCUAAACAAACACGAUGUGGUUUAAGUUCUACCAAUGCAAAAUUAAAUAUAAGAGCGAAGGAAAUCUAUGGAAGGUGUUGAAACAUGUUCGUCUUGUCAUUGUAAGCCAAUGGGCUAAAAGAAAUUAUUGCUAUCAAUACUAGCUAUUGAUAUCUAACAGAAACCAGUAAAAACUCCAUGGAUUAUAUUACCUAGGAAUGAGCAACCUGUCCAAGUGUCAUCCCUGUCUGUAAAGCAGCAAGCUCGUCGACUUCAUCAACUGGUACAUGGGACAGAUACAACUGGUACAGGGGCAACUGUGGCCGCCUGGAGAAGCCUGUUCCUCCAAGUAGGCUCCUUCAUGUUCUCCAAGCUCAGCUUCCAAUUCAUCCUGUAGAAGCAAUGCUUUUUUCAAUAGCAAAGUUGAAUCUAAAGAAAGAUAAAAGAACCUGCACGAAACAAUACCUCAUCAUAAUCAGCAGCUGCACCAAUUUGGUGCUGACAAUGUCUCCUGGAACUGUUUCAUCAUGCUCCUCAGUUUGCUCAUCGAUCUCAUCCAUUGUUUUGUCCAGAUCUCUUUUAUGUUCCUGUGCAUGAUACCAUGCAAAAAUAAGGCAAAGCAUUGAUCAAAUUCUUCCCAGAAUCAGCCCUAGUAACCUAAACUUGAUUACAUAUAUGUGGAAAACAUCGCAUGUCAUACUUGAUCAUGAAUGCUCAACUGGUAAUUAGCAAGCGUCUCCAUUUCAUCGUUCCCAAAUUUUCUUUCCCUUCAAACAUCUCACUGCCUGCUGCACAAUCACAAUAAGACUAAGUUUAAAUAAGAUUAAAAGCAGAGCAGAAAGAGAUAGAAACAUUUUAGAAUGCAACUUUGCAGUGACUAAUUAACAUUUCAGAUGCAGCAUAGAUUCUCCGCACUAUUGGGCCCAUAGGCCCAACAUCAAGAAUCUCUUUCAGAUCCAACAUCAAACAGAAUGCAAGAAAUCUCUAUUUCAUAGAACAUCCAAAAUGAUUUUUAAAUUUACUUACCAUUAAAUGUUAAUUCAUACAAAUUAAUCAAAAUAAAAGUAUUAAUAACAAAAUUCAUGGCAAUUAAGAAAUAUAAUAGUAAAAUUGUAUCAUUGUAUAAUUAUAACCUCUUUUUUUUUUUUUGACAACUCCCCAUAAACUAUCUUAUAGUAACCAUUCUACCCAACAUCUAGGCGUGACAUUUUUUGACAGAAUAAAACAUAAAUUAGUUUGGGUUUUCUAUUUUGGGCCCAAGAAAAAUUAGUUUAGGAAUUAGAAGAAAAUAAAAAAGGUAAAAAUGAAAACGGCCCCUGACGUUCUCUUUUUUAACUUUGUAUUUUUAAACGGAAUCGGAGGUGGUGGGAAGAAAUUAAAAGAAAAAAAAGGGGUUAAAAACGGAGGGAGGAAAAAAAGAAAAGUAGGAAAAGGAAAGGAAGCGAUAUUGUUACUCAAACGAUUGUUUCAUAUCAAAAGCCACGAAGUAACAGCUGAAUAAAUUCAUUUCCUCCACAACGAAUUCGAGAUCUAACAUUCCGCCCAUUAAUUCUCUCAGAUCUGUGCCGUCUGGCUGGUUCGAUCUCACAUUUUCUUCCCCCGGUUAUUAUCUUUAAUUAAUUUUUUUUGUUAGAUCGGCCAUGGAUUUCAUGAAGGCCCUCGAUCAAACGGUUCGCGAAAUGUAAGCUCUAAACUCCCUUGUUCUGAAUUUUGAAUCAGAAUUUGGUUGAGUACUGUUUGCAAUACAAGAUAAGUUGAUUUAAUUUGUUUUUUUUUUUCCUUUGAUAAUUUCAGCAAGAGGGAGGUUAACCUAAAGGUAUUGAAGGUUCCGGAGAUCGAACAGAAGGUGAGAUCAAAUGCAAUUUAAUGUUUUCUUGAAUGCUUAUUACUUGGAGAAAUAUGCUUAAGAUUUUGUACUUGUUCAUUUGUUGUUAGUUUCAUUAAUCUGUUUUAAAAAAAGAAGAGAGUAGGAUUAUGAUUUGGUGUAUACGGUAGAGUUCUUUAUAGAUUUGGCACAGAUGUUUAAACUUGCGUGUGAAACAGAAAUGUUAAAUAGGAGAAUUAGAAUGUACUCACUACUCUAACUGAGGUUUAUGCUAUGAUCGAAAGCUCAGGUUAGUUUUGUGUCGGCUUUAAUUAUCUUUUUUGGUAUAAUGAAGUUGUUUAUUGCUUGCUAGUAUAUGUUUUUGAUCCAUGAUCAAAGGUAUCAUAAUUCUGUUAUUCUUUGACUUGAUCUUUUGGAUUAUGAGUUCUAUUUUGUGUUAAAGUUAAAAUAUUUAGGUACAAAGGGCAUCGUUCUGUCAGAAAUCUGAUUAGUGGUGCAAUUAUUUAUUUAUAGCGCAGGUUUUGAAUCCGCCGACUUUGCUUUUUGUUACGGAACUGGUUGAAGCGUAUGAUGUUGCACAAUAUACAGAAUUAUUUGUGAUUUUCCUUUUGCCGUUGGUUGUGACAUUUAUGGUGGAAUUUGAUGGUUUUAUCUUACUUUUAUUAGUUGUAAUUGAGUGAUUAGUUCAGAACUUGGUGGGCAAUGAUAAAAAUGUGUUACAAUAUGUAUAAUAAUGCGCUCAGUUUUUCUGGUAACGCUUAGGCUACAUUUGAAGUGCAUGUAAAGUUUUUUAUGAAGAUUAGUUGGUUUACAUAAUUAUUUUGGCAAAUGCAUGCAGGUACUAGAUGCAACAGAUAAUGAACCAUGGGGUCCUCAUGGUACUGCAUUGGCAGAAUUAGCACAAGCGACAAAAAAAUUGUAAUUAUCGACAUUUGCACAUAUUUCCUUUUUUUUCAUUCUAUUUUGUGUCUUUUCUCUGGUAUUGGUGUUUGAAAGAAACAUCUCUCUUUAUGCUACUUGAAUGGGCUGCCAUAUCUUGUAGCACUGAAUGUCAGAUGGUUAUGAAUGUUCUUUGGACAAGACUGGCUGAGACUGGAAAAGACUGGCGCUAUGUCUACAAGGUAUGUAUAUUCUUCCAUAAUAUGACUGACUAGUCAUCUAAUACCAGUAGAAACUUGAUAUUUGUUUCCAAGCCUUGUUGGCUUAUGGACCUUUUCAUGCCUUGAAAUCUAAAACCAAUUCUCUACCAGGCAUUGGCUGUUAUAGAAUAUUUGAUUUCCCAUGGAUCUGAACGUGCGGUUGAUGACAUAAUAGAACAUACUUUCCAGAUUUCUGUAAGGCUCGAACUCCUAAAUUUUUCGAAUUGCCUUUGUAUUUCUCUUACAAUUUAUGGAGUAAAGUUGAAUUUCCUUUACUAUUCUGCUUCCCCUAUUUGUUUUGCAUUUCGCAGUCCCUCACAAGUUUUGAAUAUGUUGAGCCAAGUGGGAAAGAUGUGGGACUCAAUGUCCGGAAGAAAGCAGAAACUAUAGUGGGACUUUUGAAUAAUAAAGAAAAAAUACAAGAAGCUAGAAAUAAAGCUGCUGCAAACCGUGACAAGUAAGCUUAUUUUCUUCAGGAAGUGAAAUCAUAUGCUUGCUUGUAUUAUUGUCAUGGACUAAACCGUGUCUCUGUUACUAUUUUUAGGUAUGUUGGCCUAUCAUCUACUGGCAUUACUUAUAAGUCUGGUGCAGCCUCAUAUACUAGUGGUGGCUACCAUGGUGGUGGGGAUAGGUAUGGAGGCCUAAGUACCACAAGAGAAAGUGACAGCUAUAGAGACAGUUAUAAAGAGAAGGACCGAUAUGGAGAAGAAAAGUAUGAUACAGAUACCUAUGUGAAGUCACGUCGAGGGACUGCAAGUGGAAGCCAAGGGAAUUCCUCAAAGGAGUCUACACGUCCUGGCAGGUUUAAGAUUUUAUGCUGUUAAUUAUUAGUUGCAAAUUCUUAAUAGUAAUUUGAAUAGAGUAUAACUUGGCUACACUGUUAUUUUUAAGUCGAAGAAAAUUACUUGGGCAUGUCCUUUUCCAUUGAUUGUGAACUACAUAAUCAUUAGGACACUGCAUUACCAUAUUUUUGGUUCUAGGAAUCAUGUUGCUGUUCUUAAUCCUUUUAUGUAGAUGAUGUUUCCCUUUUCACUAUUCACAAUACAUUGAUUAUGGAAGUUCAAGCUCUACUACUAUAACAUGUUGGUCUUGUUCACACACAUGCAAACACAUAAAACGGGAGCUCGCACAUUUUCACAUCCUUAAACAUACAUCUGUACACCUGCAACCCUUGCAUGUAUACCUAUUCCUGUUUUGCAAAAAAAAAUUUCCACACUGCGUCCCACCUUGUCUUAAAAAUUUUAUUUUGUAAUGAUUGUUUUGCAGCAAGGAUCCAAAGAAUAAAUUCUCUUCAAAGUUGAGUGAUUCCAAUAAAUACAGUCAAAGCGCAAGCACCCCUUCAAAUAAUUAUGAUGCUGAUGAUUUUGAUGAUUUCGAUCCCAGGGGAACAUCCAGUUCUAGUAAGAAAAAUAUUCAUUUCUUAAGUUGAGAAUGCUUCUUCAGAGGUUUUCCUUUUAUCAUGUAAAUCUUAAACAUGGUACAAAUCCGGUUUCUAUAGUUCAUUUUGUUAACAGGCCGAGGGUUGGUUGAAAGAGUGAUCCUUUUCAGUAGUAAGUUUUAUAUGGGAUGUCAGUUACCAAUGCCUUGUUGAUUAUUAUUCUUUUGACAGAGCCAGCGGCUGGAAGUUCUAACCAAGUGGAUCUAUUUGGACAAAGUUUGAUUGAUGACCUCUUCGAUGCACCAGCAUCUGUCCCUACGGAAAAGUCUGCUGUGAAUACUGAUUCAACAGAAGUUGAUCUAUUUGCUGAUGCAACUUUUGUGUCAGCACCAACUAAAGUGGCAACCGAAGCAAGUCCUAAAGCUCAGGUUAGACAAUUUUUUCAUCUUAAUUUUUAGCAAUGCAACAAUGAAUUAUCAUAGCUAUGCCAAUUGAAUUGACCUUAAAGAAAGUAGUGGUGUAUUUUGUCUUUGAAACAGAUAUAACUAGCUUAUCAUGUAAUAUGAAAUUCAAUACAUCUUGUUCCUUAUGAAGCACUGACAAUGUGUCAACCCCCUGCAUCGGUGUUGUCCGUGUCUGACACGGACACAUCUCUGAUAUAUCAGAAUACAGAUAUGACUCAGCUAGAUAUGGCAAAUAAUAAUUUACUCGGACAUAGCAAUUGACAGUAGAUUUCCAAAACCAAACCAAGAAAAAGGAGAGACAUUGCUACUGGUGAAGCAAUGGUGGAGGUGGCACACCUUGAAUUGAAAUUUUGAGAUCACAAACAAAAAUAACUAAAAUUAUAGGGAGAGAAGCCUUGUUGUCUGUAUUAAGUCGAUGGAUGGCAAAAUAGAAGAAGAACAAGAACAAGAAGACACGCGCUGAAGAAGACUUGAAGAAUAAGAGAAAUUAAGGGCUUUCCUUUUAAUUAUAACUUGGGCUCUUGCCUAACAAACAAUAGCAUGGGUUUCAGCCUUGAGAUAAUUUAAAACAUAUUUAAUUAUUUUUUGAUGGAAUAAAAUUAUUUAAAAUCAACACUAAUUGUCAAUAAUUAGUUCAAUCGCUUAAAAUAUUUAAAAAGAGAAGGAUUUAUAUAGGAAAAAAUAAAAAUCAAAUUUAGUUAUAUAUGGUAAUGAAUUAAUCAAAAUAUAUUUAUAUAUUUAAUAUAUUUCUUUAUUGCCAUAGUCUUGCUGUGUUGUGACUUAAUUUUUUAGAAAAUGCAGUGUCACUGUGUCUGUAUCUUGUUGUAUACGUAUCCCAUGCCCAUGUCAAUCCUUCAUAGUUUUUUUCUUUACCUUGAAAUAUGGGAUGGCAGUGAUCACUUAUGGCCAGGUCAGUUCACGUCCAAGCAGCUUGUAGUAGUUGGAGACUUAAGGGUCCUUUUAACCCCUUCCCUUCUUCUCUUUAACACAAAAAAUAUGUCUACUGGCAAAAAACCUUUAUUUAUUUUCCAUUGGUUUGCUUAAGAAUCCCUGUGAUCUUAGAAGUGCUUUUAUCUGAGCAUGCAGAGUAUUAACAUAUGUGCAUGCAACCUGUUUUUCAGUUGGAUAUCAUAGAGGUAUUUGACUAGUUAAUAAAGGAGUCAGGGUAUAUUCUUUAAUGAGGAGGUCAAAUCAGCUUCCCCCUUUCCCUUUCCUCAUUUGUGCAGGAACAGGUUGAUCUAUUUGCUUCCCAGCCUGCCAUCACUCCUGCAGCCUCUCCAACUGUUGACCUCUUUGCCACCACCGAUCCAGUUGUGCAACCAGACACCAUUGCACCGAAGUCUGAGCCAGAACAUGCUAACAUUGUUGAUCCAUUUGCUGCUGUUCCACUGAACAAUUUUGAUGGAUCUGACAUUUUUGGUUCAUUCACUUCUCAUUCUGAUUCAGCUUCAAAAGAACCAACACAGAAUCCCAUUAUUGAUGGAAACCUUAACAACUUGAGCACCAAAUCAUCACAAGACUCUAAAUCUCCUCAAAAGAAGGAUACUUUCCAGGUGAAGUCUGGAAUUUGGGCUGAUUCACUGAGCCGUGGGAUAAUUGAUCUUAACAUAUCUGCUCGUAAGUAUCUUUCUUAGCAGCCCAUAACAUAUAUUAUUUUCGUUAUGUAGGAAAACUUGUUUCCACAUAGUAUAUCACAUUGUUUUUUAUGGUCAUUACUUUAUGGGUGUUAAUUGUUUUUUAUAGUCAUUGUCUAACGACUGUUCUUUAUCGAUGUUGCAGCCAAGAAGGUUUCGCUAGCAGAUGUUGGAAUCGUCGGGGGAUUGACCGAUGUAGAUGAAAGAGAGAAAGGACCUCCAACAACUUCAUUUUACAUGGGGAGAGCAAUGGGUACUGGGUCUGGUCUUGGUAAAACUGGGUUCGCAUCUACACAAGCAGCUGCUGCUGAUGAUUUCUUCUCAAGCCUUGGCAGCCAACAAUAUCAAUUUGGUAGCUUUAAGAAGUAAUUUUGUUCACUUUCCCUAAGCAUUCUUUUCCCAAUUUGGAAAAAAAAAAAAUUAUCCAACGUGUGGUGCACAUUGGUGUGCGAGUAUUGUUCAUCAAUUCAUGAUGAGUAUACUUAUUAUGCAUCAAUCAUGAGGGGGUAACAUAUUAACGGUACUCCCCACACAGUCUUCAAAUGUUUCCAUUGAACUGUUGCUUUGUAAUUUGGUAUUGAGAUUUCAUUCAAGUUGGCACCCUAUUUUUUGCUGUUCACACUACUUGGAAUAAUUACUUAAUUAGCAUUGCGCGAAUCAAGUUGUACAGUCUGUAACCCAAGAGAUUUUCCCAACAUCGGACCUGUGAAUGGAAAAAAUUAUGAUUAUCAUCAAUUUUGGAUGAGAUCGUUAACAUUGGCAUAUUAUUUGAAAAUAUUUUUACAUUAAGAAUAAAAUUUUAAAUAAAUUUUUAUUCUUGUAUUACAUUUAAUUAAAUAUAUAUUUUUAUUUUAAGUUAAAUAAAUUUUAAUUAUUAAUAAUUGACUAAGUAAUAUUUAUUAAAAUAUUAUUUAUUAUUUUAUAUUCACAUGAUAUUAAAAUCAUACAUAGACAUGUUAACAUAUAACAUCAAAAUAUUAUAUUAUCAUUAACGUCAUGUGAUAUAAAAUUAUAAGAAAUAUUUUAACUUAUAAUUAAUCAACUAUUAAUUAUGAAAACUUAUUUGAUUUAAAAUAAAAAAAAUAAAAUAUAAAAAUUCAUUUAAAUUUUCUUAAAAAAUUUAAAAAUUUAUUUAAAUAUUACAUUAUUUGCUUUCAGUAAUCCUCUUACCAUACGCUACCUCCUUUGCUCUUCCCAUCUCCUAAGCUCUUUCAUAAAAAUGACUAUUUUUUCUAAUUUUGGAUGAUGAAUAUCGUAUCGGAUUCAACAUGACUUUCCCUGUAUGAAAACAUCAUUAAUUAUAUUUUCUUUAAACAUCAUAUAUUUGAUGCCCUAAACCUGGUCAAGGCCACCCUCAUCACUGGAUUUAUAGAAUAUUUUCAUUUUUAGAACAAGAAUCAAAUUGCAUCUAAAGGCUACCUCCAACACCAAUAUAUAGUCUGCAAUCAGAUCAAAGCAGCAUUCACUCAGAUGGGUAAUAACGACGGCUGUACAUACAGGGAGGUCAGGCAAACACAAAUCUAUAGGGAGUUUGCAAUCAUUUGAUUAAAAGUUUCAGAAGAGAAGCCCCCUAAGAGACACUCUCAAUAUAAAUCCACCAUUCUUCCCCUCAGCAUGGCUUCAGCUUUUCUCACCUGCUUCACAGGUCCUAUGAUGAAUACCUGCACAAAAAUCCAGAAAGAUAUAAAGAGCUCAAUUAUGGAGAUAACAGAUAGUGCGUCAAAGUAAGUACAUGUACAUUCUCGAAAAGAAUAAAAAAUUAUACGGUAUAUGUAGCAGCUAGGUACUCCAGCAAGGUAAUUCUUUAAGAUGUCAAAGAACUAACCUUGUCUGGUGGACCCUUAGCACCCCCAACCAGGAUUUCCGCGCUGCAAGAAAAUGAAUUUGAAGUAAAGAAUAGGUAGAAAAUUUUGCAGUUCCAAACUUCAAGAGAAAUAUGUAUGCAUGUUCGUAGGGAGAGGGAGAAAGAGGCAUAUUACUUGCAAGACUCCUUUAUUGACAAGAUUGAAGCCCCUUUUCUUCCAAUAAUACGCCCCAUCUUCCCUGGCGGAACAUCAAGAAUAGAAAGUAUUUCUUCCUCGGGAGCAUUCCCCUCCAAGUGAUCUGCAGAAAUAAAUCUCACCCUCGGUCAGUAUCCAAUUAGAAAGUACAAUAUUUUUGCUUGCAUUCUUAAAACAAUUUUCCUUCUCUCUAAUGAAUAAUGCUGAGUCCAGUACAAUUACAUGUAUAGUUUGAAACUUGAAUGUUAUCAUAAUACGCACCAUCACACUAGGCGAGAAAUGACAUACUCUAUCAAAGCAUUAAGCUCAUUCAAACUUCAUGAAUAUACGCCACAUUACCUUUUCUUUGUUGAUUCGGUGGCAAAAGGAUCCAAACCCUGCUCUUUGAGCAAGGAGAUACAUGCACCAACCAGUAAAAGCCAACUACUUUAUGCAUAUGCCACAUUACCUUAAUCGAAGGUAAGAGACUAAAAAACACUAAUCAGGAAAUUAUAUGGAGAUACUCAGUAGAUAGCAACAACUGUGCGUGUGUAUGUGUGAAUAAGAGAGAGAGAGAGAGAGAAUCACAUAAAUGAAUACUGUCUCUACAAAGCUCAGCGAAUUAAUUAACAUCUUUCUCCAGGACUCUAACAAGAAAUAAAUCAUUAUAAUACAGUCAUUAUGAAUACAAGAACCUGGAAUGGGAGGAACAGAUGGCCAAUCAGCAUAGUUAUUAUCAUUAAUGCAGAAACAUCGGCAAUACAAUGCUCCACGAACUGCAAGGUACCAUAAGGAUCGUUGAUUUAGUUUCUCCAUCAUCAUGUGGUAGAUGUAUAGAAGGAAGCGGACAUCAUCUGUAGCUGCACGGACCAUAAGCUCAGAUAAUGGUCUGUAAGUCCAAAACUUGGGAUCCUGCAGAUAGGCAAGACAUAAUUGUGAGGAUUGGAAAGAAAUUCAAUUUACAUAGUACAGUGAAGUACGAUUUUAUCAACAAUGAAGCAUCUGCAUAUGCACAUAACUUAAUUGAGAGAAGAAGAAAUUUUUUUUUUUUAAAGGAGAGAAGAAGAAAUUUGAUUAUUGAUCUACAUGUAAUCACAUGACCAAUAAAUAGGAAAUGUUUUCAAAUCUACUUCUGUUGAUAUUGCAAAGCUAUUUGCAGAUUGGUCUUGUUCUCUGUAAGGGGAAAUUUGGGUUAAACCUUCACCACCCAAUAACAUUUGAGAAGUGGCAAGAAACUUGCUAUCCUUACUAGCUAGCUAGAUGGCAUCAAAGAUCAAAAGAACACUGUGCAGGGUGUGAAUAAAGUGGGAGAAGGGGGGAAAUCAUCAGUAUAAAGACAUGCUAAUGUUCCAGCCAGCUACUUACCAAACUAGGAUAUCAAACAUGAAAUGCAUAAUUUGCUAUCAAUAAGAAAGCAAAUACCAAAUAGCUUUCUGGACUCCAAAAAGGACAACAGGGAAUUACUUUUACCCCAAACACUCCAGCAGUAUAAUUAAAACAAUUUUAUGUUAGCGAUAAAUUGAUUAAACUAACCUGCCUAAGGAGGAGACGAACCUCUUCCUUCUCCUGAUAAGAUAUGCCUACAUUUAAAGUAUCAGGGCAUAAAUCAAAAGUCAAAACAAGCCAGUGGCUGUAACUUGAUGAGCAAGUUAAACUUUGCUGGUUUAAAAGAAGCCUAUAACACAUUCAGUUUCAAAUAGCAAAAAGAAACAUUUAUAAAUCUUCCAUACAAUGUCAUAUCAGAGCAUCAUUACUUCUCAUAUGCGGAAGUUUGGAAAGUUGAAAGAAACAAAUAAACAAAAUGUCAGAUUCCUGCAUGGUCACAGUAAGGCAAACAUAACUGCUUGAUUUCAACAUUAAUUGGAGCACACUGCUUAAGUUACAUCAACCAAAAGACCCGAAAUGGGUACUUCAAGGCAAUUAAUAAUACCUAUUUCCGAAAGCCAUUUAACAUAACAUCUUAAAGACUUUGCAAGCGAAAAAUAUAUUCAUUCAGCACAGUUAAGCUGCAGAUUAAAAGCUUCCACAACCUGCAUUAAUUAAAUUCAAAUAGAUACCAGGAAAUAUAAAUACCACAAUAGCGUGGAUCUGCAAGGAGGCUAACAAAUGAUAUGUAGUCAUAAAGCAAUCUUGUCCGUCCUUCUUGUUCCUCUAUAAGAGAAUAAGCAAUCUGCAGGGCAACAAAAAAAAAAAUGCAAUGUCAAACUACUCAACCUUAUUUUAGUAGUCCUCAUAUCAAUUUGGACAAUAUUGAAAGCAAGCAAGAACAACCAACUUCAAGAUUGAAGCAGUGUGUUUUUGAAUGCAUCUAUGUGGAUGUAAAUAAAGGAAUGAAAUAAGCACCUACAAGCAAGAAUUGAGAAAAAGAAAAGAAAGAGAAAUGAAACCACAAACAUUAGGAAAAAAAUUGUUUAAAGUGCUAAUUAGAUAGGCUUAAAUCCACCUAAGUACUCCACAAUGGAGUAACAACAAACAUUAACAUGAAAGGAGCAUAAAAAGAAAUUACCAGUUUUUUCAUAUGAUUUACAAGUUUGAUAUCAAUAAGUCCUCAAUCUCAUAAAGGAUGCUCACCUGGGUGUCCAUAACAUUGUGUAACUUGAUGCCAAAUUGAAAGUACAAUGCCUGUAAAAUAACAACAAAUUCUAAUUCGCCAUAAAGCAAAUCAAAUACACCAUAGUGUAAAAGUCAAACGAAAAACAAUUAGACACCUCGCUAUCUCGUUUGCAAUCGUGAAUAACUUUUUUGACGUAACUAGACUCAAGUGCAGGCUUACAGGCUUUUAUAAGUGCCUCACCACCCUCAAUGGCGUCAACCAAAUAUAUAGCAUCUGGAAAUGCAAGCUGCCAGAAAAAAGUAUUUCUAUAAAUCUUAGAAUAGCACAGGCAAUUUAAGGCAUUUUGAUUUUUAAACUAACCACAACAAAAAAAUCUACUCUCCUAUAAAACAUAACAUACAUGUCUUACAAACAAACCAUAGUUCUUCAUAAAGCAUAUCAUUAUUGACUCAAGGAGCUACCUAAACUUUGAAUAAUUUGAGUCAAACAGUCACCAGAACUAUAGUUAACCUGCAUAAUACAGAGAGUGCCGUGGCGACAAAGGUCAACACCUUCACAGUCAAAACCUACGACCAACUGCCUCUCCGGCGAAGGAUUCAGGAACUCCACCGGAAGCUGAGAAGCAUUGGUCACUAUAUGGAUAGGAACCAUAGGAGCUUCAUUGUCUAAUGGCUUACCACCUGCAACACAUGCGUCAAGUCACCAAAGUUCAAAAUUAAAACUAAUCCAUAAUAGAUUCAGUUAAAUUCUAUAAAUAAUAUCCAUAAGCAAUAUAUAAAAAAAGAAAAAAGAAAAAAGUAAAGAACAGUGAAAAAUCAGUGAUCUGAACUGACGUUUCAGUUUUUUUCUUCACCAAAACAGGCCGGUCGAAGUGAAUUAGGGCAUGUCAAAUGGCGGAUAAUCCACCACUAUAAACUAAAUUUGAAUUAAACAGUAAAAAGCACAAGAGCAAACUUAUAACUCAAACCAGAAAAACUUUUAAAUUGAUAAUAAAAAGGAUUACGAGAUUAAAUACCAGAGUUCGAAGGGAAAGGAACGUGAGUGCGAUGAGAAGGAGGAUGGUGAGACGAAGCCAUGCGAUCGGACCAUCCAAGCAGAUCGAGUUUUUUUUUUUUUUUUCUUUUUGUCCUUCUUUCAAUCUGACUGAAUUUAUAUUACUCUCCUGUUUUCCUUUUUAUUUUUUUCUUACUGUGGUUUUUAUCGCUAGUGGGAUUUUCAUUUCAAGGAUGAUCUGGAGCGGAAGGUAGUACGCGAUUACGAAACGACUCGCUUUAGAUUUUCGCCACGUCAUUUAAAACAUGGUCUUUCAUUUUAUAUAUCUCCCAAAGGUUUGAACAUUAAACUAAUUACGUGAAUUAUGACGCAUAUUCAAUCACACACGCACUAAAAGAUUAAAUAAUUAGUAGCGUUUUAUGUAAUGUAAAAGAAACGGAAAUUGUAUUACCAUUCCAUAAGAAGAAUUAAAUAUUUGGAAAUUGUAUUACCACUCCAUAAAUGUAAUACCUUUUUUUAUUUCCCCACCCUUUAAAGUAAUCCUAUAAUAUAUCUUGGAAGAUGAGCAAAGGCAUACGAAUAAUAUUGAUAAUUCAAAUUUGUGUCAUAAGUUACCUAAAAGUUUUACCUUGUAAUAAAGAAAAAGGGAUUUUGGUCGAUUUCAUAAGAGUCAACUCAUUAAAAAAAUUGACUGAUAGAUAGUGAUAGAAAUUUUUUAUUCUCAUUUGAUGUCUUUUUUAUAAUUUUGCAUCAAAUAUUGGAAAAACUUUUCUUAUUAAAAUAUAAAAAUAUUUUUUUUAAAAUUUAAUAAAAAUAAAAUUAUUUUUUUGAAAUAUUAUCAUAUUAGUAAAUUAAUAAAAAUAUUAACAAUUAAUUAACGAUUAGAUUCAUAUGUUUAGCAAAAUAUAUUUUAAGAUGCAUUGUGCAUUUUAAAAAUAAAUAUAUUACGUAAAAUUAUUAUUAAAAUUUAAAGAUAUUAAUAUAUUUUACUUUUAAAAAAUUCUAAACAGGUAUCAAAUAAAGACAAACGAUUUAUGUUGUCUGGAUAAUGGCAUGAUUUGAGACAAUCUGUUAAUAUCAAAACGACAUUGCGAUGAGCCGCAUAUCCUAUAUGGGCAUGUAAAAAAAUGAAUUGCUGGAAGCGAAAGGGUAUGGUUAGAAAAAUGCUUAAUGAAAUAGACACUUGCCGGCUUGGCUUACAGUAUUAUUUCCCUGGUUAAAAAACUGAUCAUCGGCAGAAAUCUAGGAUGGAAGCACCACAUUUCUCACAUCAUGCUUACACUACGAUUUAAAACUAUUUGCCGAGAGGAUAAGCAUAAGUUUUUUAAUUUGUUAAUACCAUCGUAUAUGUUGACGUCCAGGGAUUAUUUAAGGUUGCAAUUUGUAAACAAAAAUGCUGAUUAAGUGAUCAUAUUUGGUUCCAAUCAUAUUUAUUGAAUGACAAAUAAAGCAAAUAAUCGAGUAAAGGAGCUUAGUUAAUAAGGUGAGAAUAAUUAGGAUUUUAUUUUUGAAUUAUUAUAUACAAAAUUUUAAUUUUAAGUUACGUCAUUGUUAUUGAAUUUAUGUAAUUUUAUGAAAAUAUAUAAAAAAAAUUGAAUUGUUAUGUUCAAUUGAAUCUGAUUUUGAGCAUUAAAAUAAUUUAUUUGAUUUCAGUUCAAUUUUUGAUUUGUAAAGUGAAAAUUUAAAAAUAUUUAAAGCGAAUGAAUGAAGUUUUUAUUAUUUUUAUAUUUUUUAAUUUAAAAUAAAAUAUGAACAAAUAAAAAAUAUUGAAAUUUAAAAAAUUAUUUGACGAAAUUAAAUAAAAUUUGAUUUGAAUAAAUUCUUUUUCGAUUCAAUUAAUGUCAGAAUUCUAUAAAUAUUUUUUUUUUUUUCAGAACCGAACCACCAUAUGCUGUCAUGAAAGUCGGAACGCAAAGAUUGGAGUGGAACUAUCAAUAUCUUUUGUGGCGAUAUGGGUCUCCACUCGCCAUUCCUUUGUUUUGUUUAUCAGGGAUUUCUUUGUAACUUUGUUGGCUUUCGAGCUGUUCGGCACAAGGAAUAAGAUGACACGUGGCGAUUCUCCAAUGGUGCACGUAGGUUUAAAAGUGUUGCACUAAAACGUGGGACCUUUUUCUAAAAAGCGACUGCACACGUGUACACGGCACCGAUGAUGUGUACGAUUUGCACAUUUCUUGUCAAUCGGGAUUUAUUUCCAAAAACAAGAGAAAAAAAAGAAAAAAUUUACUUACUUAAAUUUAUUACUGAAUAAUAAAAAUAAAAUUAUAAAUACUCCUUCAAUUUUUUUUCAUCUUUCGUGUUUCGAAGGUCCUUGAAUAAAAUCUUUAUGUUCUUUUUUAAACAUCUAAUAAUUUUACUUUUUGCAUGAUACAAAUAUAUUUUUUGUGAUUUUUUAAUCAUUUUGUAUUAAAAAAAUAUCAAAUAUUAAUAUUAUAAAACUUUUUAAAAUUUUAAUAUAAAAUACAUUGAAAUAAAAAAUUUAAUCUUAAUCUACAUUAAAACUAAAGAAGAAAAAAAUCAGAAAAGUAUUUCUUACCUUGAAUAGUUGGAUUGUAAAAUUGCCAAAUGCUUAAUGUUAUAUCUCAAUUGAAAAUUCCCCACUUAACCCUUAACGAAAUAUUAAUUUAACUUACAAAGUUAUUUAUUUUAAUAGUAAUUAAAUAAUUUGAAUUUGAAACUUAUUAAAAUUUAUUAAUAUCACAAAUAUAUAGUAUAUUUUAUUUGUCUACUCUGACUAUUUAAUAUAAAAAUUCCUGACCAAACACUAGUAUGUUCUCUCUCAUUUAAAGUUAAAAGGAACGGAGUGAUUUGCAAAUAAGGAUCCUUCUUUCAGCACUGAAUAAAAUCAAGCUCAAGAUUUUAUACCAACUAAAGACAUCAUUAAGUCUGAAGUCAUUACAAUAGAAAGAGCCGUAAAAAAAAGACUCGAGGACAGUGUUGCCAAAUGUCAACAGCAUGCCAGUAAAACAAAAUCCAGAGUUAUUUUUAUUUUAUUUUUUGGCCAGUGGAAAGAUCCAAAAGUGGGAGAAGGGUAGUUUUGUAAAAAGACUCAAUGGUUAAAAUGGAUAAGAAUGGUUGGACCAACCAUGGCAAAGGGUAAAAUACGAAAAAUCCAAGAGGAGGAGCUUCUAGUUCUAUCCAAAAUGGGCCCACAAUCCAAGCGCUUUUUCCCUUUUUCUUUCACUUUUCUGAGACCAGCCAUGAUUUUCUCUUCCUUGGUUCUCUGUCUUCCUCUCCUUCCCCUUCUCCUUCUUCGGAAUACCUAAUUAAGCUUGCCCUUCCAAUUUGUCUCUCUUUUUCACUCUUUUCGAAUCUCUUCUCUCUUCUCUAUCUACUAUAACCUUUUGUGUUUUUAACUAUCCAAAUCCUACUUUUAUUUACAUAACAUUGUUUUUUCCUAUUUCCAUAUAUAUCACUUUUCCUUUUCUUCUCCUUUUCUAAGUUUCAGUUACAAAUUACCAUUUUCCGAACUGGGUAGUCUCUGAGUUCUUGUAAAUCUGUUUAAUCUUGAGUCAAACAAUCCAAUUUGACAUCUGGGUAUUGACCAAUUUGAGUUUCCUUAGAGUCGGUUUAGGUGUUGAAUCCCUUUGCUUUUGUGAAAAUUUGAUUUUUUUUUUUUACUCAAAAGACUUUAUGGAUUGUUAAACUUUUAGUUUUUAGAGGUGGAUUUUAAUUUUAGUGGUGUGGUUCACAGGAUCUCUGUGUGAAUUCUAUGUAAAAGUGAGUGUUGGUAAUUGUGUUUUUCUUUUUUUUUUUUUUUUGGGGUUGAAGUUUGAGUGAGAAAAUAAAAUAAUGAAGAGAGGGAAAGAUGAUGAGAAGAUCAUGGGGCCUAUGUUCCCUAGGCUUCACGUUAAUGAUACAGAGAAAGGAGGGCCAAGAGCUCCUCCAAGGAAUAAGAUGGCUCUUUAUGAGCAGCUCAGUAUUCCUUCACAGAGGUUUAGCCCUGCGGUCUUGCCUCUUAACCCAAGUAAUAAAAGCAGCUUGGUUCCUCCUAGUUCCUCAAGCCAGGUAUUUUUCUUAUCAUUUACCUGUCUCUUUGUUAUUCUAUUGGUAUAUUAUGGUAAUAUUUUUACACAUCUGUUGGGGUUUGGUGAGGGGUUUUAUUUCCUUAUGAAGAUCAACUCAAUAUUUUUACACAUCUGUUGGGGUUUGGUGAGGGGUUUUAUUUCCUUAUGAAGAUCAACUCAUUACUUAGUAAACUUUGUCCAAAUGGAGCAUGAUUAUAGUAAUUUUAUAGGCAUGGUGAUUUAUACUAUCUCUGAUUGCUGUAACUGAUUGAUGCUUGCAGGGGAGUAGCCUUGAAAGAAAUAUGCUUUUCCCAUCUCGUGUAUCUCUUUCCACAUCCACAAAUCUGGCUGAGAAGUUUAGUACUCGCCAGCUUGGAGGAGCAAGUGUAAAUGCUCCUUUGGCACGCCUUGAGCAGAGAAAGGUCAGAGAUGAAGAUGAUUUCAUGGUUCCUGUAUUUGUUAACUCAGAGACAGGUCACCAACAUAAUAAAACUAAGAAUGGCUCAGAUGGAGAAAAACUCACUCCCUUGAGCCCAACUUAUCCCAGCCGUCUAAUAAAACUCCAAAAUGUUUGUGAUAAGGAUCCAAAUCGGAGUAGCUAUUCUGUUGUGAAUUUAAGAAAAGAGGUUAGAGACCAGAUUGAAGAGAGCUCAAGAGUGUGCUCAAGUAGGGAGCGUUCAGUAAAAACCGCUACGGACUUAUCAACUAGAGAAAAAAGUGGACAUGUCAAAGAAGCUAAUAUGUCUCCUGAUCAAGAUUGUGGAGAGCACCCUACUUCUAGACUUAGCCGAUUGCAUGAAAAUGAUGCUUGUCUGCAACAACCAGCUAAUAAUGGGUGCAAUAAUGGUGCUGAGUUGAUGAGAGAUAUUGAUGAGGGAAUUCUUUCCCGGCAGAGAAGCAUGUCUUAUUCAGAAGGGAAUCACAGUGGUCCAGAUGAAACUAAUAAUGACAGUGAAUGCCGUGGAGACAAGACAUGUGGCUCACUACAGUGGGCAAAUGAAGAUAAAAGUGACAAUGUCUCGGAGACCUCCAUAGUGGAUUCUGCAUCUGGCUCGGAUAUCUCUCCUGAUGAUGUGGUGGAAAUAAUAGGUCAGAAGCAUUUUUUGAAAGCAAGAAGAGCCAUUGUCAAGUAAGUUUUCAUUGUUAGUUACAAUGUCUUGGAAUUAUUAAGUUUUCAUUGUUAGUUACAAUGUCUUGGAAUUAUUUCACUUUUCCGGAUUUAUAUUGGAGAGGCCAUGUGAUUUUUUUUUCAAAUGCUUAUUCAUGUUACCUUCUUGUAAUAUAUUGUCAAAACAGUGCAAGCCUUGUGCUUUUGAAAAUGAGAGAAUGGCAAAUUUAAUCAUGCACUUGCACAAGAAGCUUUCUAGGUCCCUUAGGAGGAGGGGUGGAACAAGAAAUCUAGUCUAUAUUGCAGUGUUUCCAUGUGAUGUUUCAGAGGAUACCUUGGCUGGUCCAAUGGUGAAAUUCUUGUCCUGAUAUUUGACAUAAUGCAGGUAGAGCUCUUGAGAUUGGUCAUUUAGGAAUUAGUGCUCCCAAGACCUUGAAGAAAUUUUUUAGAUUGAUAGAUCCACAUAAGAUAAAUUAUGAAAUGUUCCAUGCAAUCUGUACAUGAAAAUAUAAUUGAAUUACCUUUAUUAGUUUAAAUGUGAUUAAUAUGUUUUGAGGGUGGUUCUAUUUAUUUGUUAGUAUCUUCUCUCUUGUUACAUAUGGAGCUAUAACUUUUAGGUCCAUGGCUGUAGCUAGUAGAAAUAAAAGCACUGCUUUUUUAGUUAUUAUGAAAGUUUUGAGUGCUGCUUCCCUCUUAUUUAUUUUGGUUUUUUUGUUCUUUUUGGAAUGUAAGCAAUCAAUCGCAAUAGGUGAGUUUUAAUUACUUCCUCUAGGCUGAUACUACAAUUGGAUAUAGACUACGAUCACUAUUCCACUAUCUCUAGUUGUUAUCACAAGUUAAAGUUGCCUCUAGUUUGCUGAAUGCAAUAUGGAUUACUAAUAGUAGGAAUAUAGAUUAAAUGCUAUCUUGUGGGGAGUAGUAAAUAUGGCUUUGAUGGAGGGGAGAAUUUAUGCUCUGGAGUCCUGGGAUUCCUCCCAAAGUGGCAUUUUUGUGUUCAGAGGCCCUCGAUAACGUAUUAACCAUGGAUCAUCUUCCAGCAGGGAGAGGACUAAUUUGUGCAAGGCAACAUCCGAGACAGCGGAACUCUUAUUAUUCAUUGUCUGCUCAUCUAUAUUUGGGUUUUAUUUCUGUCUCGGUUUGAUGCUGACUUCACCUUUUGGUCCUGAGAAAUUUUGCUUCCAUGGCACCCGAGGGCUUGGACAGGAGGAGAACAAGCUAGAGCUAAUGUUGGUGGAUCUCAAAGGAGGUGAACUGGGGAAUGUUUGAAUAAUUUGAAGUUGGUGAUGGUUAUUUUGGCAAAUGAGAUGUUGUCUAGCAUGGUAUCUUGGGUUCUGUGGCGAAGGAUUUUUUGGGAAUUGGGAUCUAUAAGCAGAACUUAAUAUUACAAUUUAAUUUAAUAGUUCUGUCCUAUGUACAGCUUCUAAUUGUUGUACAUUUGUAUAAGUUUGUAUGCUUAACUCAUUUUUGUGCGUAUUCCUGUUCAAGAAAAUAUCUGUUUGUGUACAUGCUGUAAAUUGAAAGAAAUUCUAUUUGCAACAAGUGCAUGUGGCUUUGGCUUUGAUUUUAUUGUACUGAAGCUAAAUGUUCUGCAUUCGGCUUGCCAAGAAGAUGGCAUUCAAAGAAUUUCUGAGUUAUGGUUAUUGCUAGCCUUCAAAUUAAUUAUUUUGUGUUUUCUCCAAUGUAAUGCUAUCAUAUUUGUGUGAUUGGUAUUGCCUUCUUCUGUUUGUUAGAUACUGAUAUAGCAUUAUCCUAAUUGUUAUCAAGUUCAUAAGGUAUAUUGUAGAAAGUGUUGCCAUUUAGAGCUAGGAAGAGGUUUCACCUAUCAAAGAAAACUGAAGGAGGUUUUUGUUGUGAAAGAGUCACAAAUCACCCCUCCCGAAAGCUGAGAACAAGGAUUGAGGAUAAGUGAGAGGAAUCAUAGACUUAAACUCAACCCUAUUAACCACUUUAGUUACUUUGUCCUCAUAUGAAGUAAUUCUUGUCUGUGUACUAAUUUUUUCAAAAUUAUGUUAUCUAGUGCUUAUUCUGAUGAAUAUCCAGUUGAUAUUGUCUGUUCACCUGUCAGUGAUUGUAUGUCUGUUAAAACUGAAAUAUUAUGACCUUUGCAAGUUUUUCUUGAUCAACUCCUGUUACUCUCUACAGUCAGCAAAGAAUAUUUGCAGUACAAGUGUUUGAGUUGCAUAGACUUAUUAAGGUAAGGUGGUCCUUGACCUUGUUUAGUAGUUUCUGCUGGUUCCCAUUUGGAUACAUGCACACACUCACAUGUAUACAUAUAGUCAAAAUGCUUAAUGCUUUGGGUUGAAACAGGUUCAGAGACUAAUUGCUGGAUCACCACAUAUCUUGCUUGAGGAUACAGCAUAUCUCAGCAAACCCUCUUUCCAAGGCUCUCCUGCAAAGAAACUACCACCAGAGUUUAUUGUAAAACCACUGCCACACACUAAGUGCAAAGAUGACACUGAGAAGCCAAGUCAUAAAAUGGAAUGUUCUGCAGAAAAUGCAGUUGGUAGGACAUCCCUCUCUUCAGUGAAAAAUGGUAGUCAGCCUUCAAACUAUGGACCUUUCCUUGGAAACCCACCACCUGCACCAGUUAAUGGUGAUAAUAAAAUGAAUCCUUGGUGUUUUCAUCAAAUGCCUGGCCAUCAAUGGCUGGUCCCUGUCAUGUCCCCUUCCGAAGGACUGAUAUACAAGCCGUAUACUGGACCUGGAUUCAUGGGAUCCAUUUGUGGAGGAUGUGGACCUUUUGGACAAACUCCAAUGACAGUCAACUUUAUGACUUCAGCUUAUGGAGUUGCAGCUCCUCCUCAUCAAGGAAUUGGGGUUCUACCCGGUGCUCCUCCAGUUGGCCACUCUUACUUUCCUCCUUAUGGGAUGCCAGUCAUGAAUCCAGCAGUCUCAGGUUCUGCUGUGGAACAAAUGAACCAAUUUGCUGGACCUGGUUCCUAUGCCCAUAAUGGCCAGUUUUCUGGAGGUGGGGCAAACUUUAACAUGCAACAUCAAAAUUCAUGUAAUUUGCCUAGCGAGAAGAAUGGUGCUAUUUCGCAUGUCAUGAAGUUUCAGGCAUCGAAAGACACCGAACUACAAGGGAGUACAGCGAGCAGUCCUGGUGAGAGAGUGCAGAGAGAUGGGACCCGUAGUGCUGCUGAAGGAAAAAAUGCACUUCCGCUGUUUCGUACAGCUCCAACCAUUCUGGAGGGAGCCCCUCAACCUCACGAUAGUGAGCAGACGACAAGAGUGAUAAGGGUUGUGCCUCACAAUCCAAGAUCAGCCACUGAAUCAGCAGCUCGAAUUUUCCAAUCUAUACAGGAAGAGAGAAAACAAUAUGACUCAGUUUAGCUUGUUUAUAUCAAGCAAUCUAUUACUAGUAAAAUGAUCUGGGACUCAUCUAGCUAGGUGUGUUGCUUGGUCAUUUUCUCUGUACUUUUUGGUAAUGAUACUGUAACCUUUUCCUACUAAUUUUCUAUUUUACCGGUCUGGUUAUAGGUUAGUCAUAUGUAGAUAGGAGUUUACAAGUCAAUGUAACAUGUAUUUGUUAUCUCUUCAAUACUUUCUGAUUGAUGUUUCGGAGGAACAAGGAUAGUAAAUUCUGUGCUUGGAUACCCUUGACUGCAGGCUUAGUAAGAGCUUUACUUUCCUAUCAACAUCUACAAGAGUUUCUUUAGGAGUAACUUCUGCAUCGAUACUAAGGUACUAAAAUCAGAUAAAGCCGGUACCAAGAAAAGCCUAGAAAUCAGUUUUGCUCCUCAGCAAUGGGAACACGAAUCUAUCUGAAUGGUAAGACAGCAAUGGUAAUCUGAAUGGAAAUACUAAUCCAAAUUUCAUUUAUUUGUAUAAAUCCCUUAUCUGUCCCUUGGGUUCGGGUUUCUUUAACCUUUUUGCUAGUUACUGAUGAGUCUUUAAGAAGAGCUUGCUAGCAUAUCAUCCAUUCUGACUUCUGGAAAACAUAGAACGUACUCCUUUCACUUUUUAUUGGCACUAACCUCACUAUCCUAUAGAAAGAAAGAAGGAAAGAAAGAAAAUUAACAACAGUAACCAAUUACGGCAGCCAUUACUAGUCCUUAAGGGCACAUGAGAUUCCUGCCUGGGCCCCCAAAAUAGAAUUCAGGAUCUUCAAUGUAAUCUCCAACAUAUGUAGAACGAUAGCAGUUGUAUUCAUCCACUUGACUACCCACCCACUCUGGGAACUUCAAGUUAUAAGAGAUGUCAAGUACUCGCAUUCUUUUCACGAAUCCUGAAUUGCCAGUGAUAUAAUCAGGAAAUCUUCCAUUACCCAUGGCUGUUUUUGUAUGGGGAGAGUGCCUUAACUUGGAGCUGUAGACAUCGCCUCCCCACUCGGCGGAUUCUGCACCCUGACUCAAUCUUGUAAACAAGGUUCUUGGCCAAUACCCUAUGUUGGUUUUUUCCCCAUACUGCACCCAUAUAUUGCUUGUUUUGGGAUCCUGAGCUUGAAAACCAAGUAGAAGAUAAUCAGAAGAUUGAGGACUCAAAAAUGCAAGGCUCACAAACUAAUAUUUCAAUCCAUGCACCAGUCCAUGUUCUAGUGAUUUUGGUUCUGAUAAUUGAAUGAUAGUUCCAUCCUUAAGUUUUAUUGCUAGCAUUCUUAGUAUUAUCACUAUCAAGAAAACAGACACUACUACUUUUAGUAACCAAAGUUGAGCUCUAUAUUUCCUGACCUUAAACAUGAAGAGAGUUAUCUGAUAUGGGAGCCCGCCGAAGACUGAGAUAGGAUAAAUUGCUGCACCAAGAGCAAUUUUAUUGCUAAUUUGAACGAAGCCCGGACAAGUGAUAUCAAAACAACCUGUUGAGUUCGAUGCAUCAGCCUAUACAUGGAGAAAAAUAUUUGGUUAUUGAUCAGAUUUGUAUAGCACAGUGCAAGCAACAUGUUGACUAGAAAGAAUGCACGUGCAAUUGUCCCCCAGAAAGUUUUCUUUUAAAGCUUCAAGGCAAUCACUCAUGGUUAAAAUGUACUUACAGUCCAGUAAACAUAUAAUCGAGUUUGUCUGUCUCCGUAGACACUCGGGUUCACCUGAAAAGUUCAAAAAUCAAUCCUAGAUUAAUAACUAUCAGAUCUAAUAUGUAGAAUCUUAGCUAAGGGGAGUUCGUACUAACCGCCCAUCCAGAUUCAACGCACUCAAAAUCAAAGUAAGGGCCAUUUCUGAGGCUGAUUCUAGAAGUACUGUAUUCAUCAUCAGAUUCAACAUGAGGAUUCCAGACUUUGAUGUCUCCUUUGACUCCAGCAUAAUUAUACCCUGCUGUUAGCAAUAUUGCCUUCUGGUUCACAUAAAGUUGGGCCAGAAAUGCAAAUGUGCCAAUGAGAAAUAGCAGAUUUAUAAUAGUAAACUACUUGAACAACUGAAGUCUAGCACAGAAAGUGAUGGAUACCGAGUGAUUCAUUUGGUUUAUUUGUUGAAGGGAUAAUGGAGUCUCCUCAUUGCAGGGCUCUUUAACAGGAUUAUAAUAGCUUGGCUUUUUAUUCCAAUAGCCUUCUCCAGAGUUGGAUAAUAGCCCUUUAUUCCGGGUUCUGCGAACUGGGAUUGUUCCUUUUGGACAGCUUCCACUUUUCUGCCAUGGUUGAGAUGUCAUAAUCCUGGAAGAAUGCUCACUCGCUGGAGUUUCCUCCAUAGUUGGAUUAUAACUUGGUGUCAUCUAAAUGGAACGAACAAUAGUUUUGGUUACAAACAAUUCCGAUAGAAACAAAGUAUCAGAACAUCCAAGUAGCUAGAAAUAAAGCUAAACAAUUGAAUGUUGAUGUUCUAGCUGCAAUAAAAUGCAUACCUGAAUGAUGUGAUUCCUCAAAGCAGGAUGAUCCAACGCAGGCUGCUUGUAAAUGUCAAUGCAAUCUAUAAUGUCACCAUCUUCACUCUGCAGGCAAAAACAUAUCCUGCUUAAAUGCAUUGACUGGUUAAACAGGUUAUAUUAUUCAAGAAAUGAAGCAUGAAACGAAAUUCAGAUACUAUAACGUGGUCUUUUCACUGGCAGGCGACUUUCAAGGUUGCAGCUUUCAGAAGUGCUUCUUCUGAUAAUGAAUAUGAAGAGUAGUAGGAUAAAAGAAUCGAAAACCUAUACCUGAAUGGAUUUCACUGCAUGCCUUCCGUGGUUGCUUCCUUUUCUUCCUUCCAAAAUCUUCUGUCUAGCUAAGCCUAAGUCACCCUCCCCAAGCUCAUAACAAAGUGUUAGCCCCAAGAGAAUAACCAUGGCUUCAAAACUAGGAGAGUACAAAAAACCAGUUCUCAUUUGUUACUCUCAGUUUCCUCUCCCUGAAAGGUGUUUGUAUGUAAUCACAAGUUCUAAUGAUAUAAUUAUGAAGAUGGAAAACUCUUUGGAAUGCUGAUAUAGAUGCUCUUGAUGAUCAAAAUAGAGAUGUAAGCAGCAAUAUUUAUUUCAAGUCACACAAAAUUUGCAUGAUUCAACUUCUAAUCAUGCAUUUUCUAUUUACACUUUCAACAUUUGAAUCAUACUUGGAAACAAGAAACAAAAGUGAAUUUUUAGCCAUACUUUAGAACCACCAAAUAGAUAUAACAUAUUGUUAGUAUAUUGGAAAAAAAGUAAAAAAAAAAGAAACCUUCAAAGCGAAACAUUUAAACUUAAGUAGCCAUAGACAAAGAGGCACAAAAAGGGGAGCUAGAAGUUUUAAUAUUUGGAUUCUAACAUACAUAAUGAUGAAUAUAUAUAUAUAUCAUUUCAAUUCGCAAAGGGUAAACAAUUUAAAUUUUGCUUAAUAGCUUCAGUUCCUUCUUCUUGCUCAGUAAUAAUAAUAAAUUAAUUUUGAAUGGAGAAUAUUUUAAUAAUUUUAUUAAAUAAAAUUAAUCGUGUAAAUUUUUGUAAAAAUAAAAAAUUAAUUAAAUAAAAUUUUGUAUGGUGUUAAUUGAGGAAAAAAACAUAAAAUGUCGUGAAUAAAAUUGAAAUGACGAAAAUUGUAAGUGAAAUUUAUUCAAAAAGUAAUAUUUUGAUUUUAAAAAAAAUAUCUGACUGUUACUUAUAAUAAGAUACAAACAUAAAGUGAAUACUUUUGGGCCUUGGAAUAAUGGAAUUAAUCAAAUGAAAAUUAAAAAAAAAAAAGGAAAUUAGGGGAAAGGAUAAACAUUAAACCAUCUUUUGUUCUAAAUAAUUUCAUGUCAAAAGAAUCAUUUCCAAUAUUAAUGAAAAUGUUUGUUUGAAUAUUAUUUUACAUUUCCACGUGGCCACUCAAUACUGGCAUAUUCAGCCACGCUGGAGACGGAAUAUAUUCUAGAAGGAUCACACAAAAAAAAAAACAUCUAAAAUCCUUGGAAAAUGGAAAUCUAAAAGGAGUUGAAAAAUCCUCACAAAGGAUUUUCUAUUUGUCUCCGACAGCCACCUUUUCAUCCAGUGCACGGAGGAAGUGAGAGGGAGAGAGUGAAAGAGAAAGCUUGAGAUAGACGCCACUAAGCGAAAAUGGUGAACUUCAUGCUGAAGAUCGCUGCCGACCUUGAAAAUCUAACGAACCUCCAGCCUCAAGGCGGCUGCGACGAUCCCUCCUUCUCCUAUCUCUUCAAGGUCUCUCUCUCUGUGUCUGCUUUUGACUUUGCUUUUCUUUGCUUGAGCUGAGCUCAUUUCAUUCCGAUAUGGUUUCCGGGCUUCGAACUGUUUCUUUUUACUUCUCUAAACGCAGAUUACUACUCUUAUUGUUGCUUGAAUCCAGUAUGUUCUCCGUUUUAAUCCUUCUUUGUGGUCAAAUGCCGGAUUAUUAGUUGAAAUCUUCUUUUCUCAAAUUUUUAGCCCUUUUUUUGUUUUAAAAUAGUGAAUUAUUAUAAGUUACUAUAGUUGAUAAUUCUUGAGUUGAAUUUAUAAUAUUUUAUUCAUUUUGCUUCAGUUAUCGCAACUGCAAAUGCACGAAGAUUUACUUUAUCUGUCCGCUGCAAAUGCAUGUACCAUUGACUUUAUCUAUCCGUUUAUAUUUCUUCCUUCGAAAUUUGCUUCCAUUUUCUUAUUCUAUUUUUUUUAAUCUAUUUCUCGUUAUAUUUAUGUGAUUUUACGCCUUUUUUUUUUAUGGAUUGCGAUUAAAGAUUCAGUGAAAACUACAUAGAUCUUCGAUUUUUUCUAUUGUUUUUGGAUGGCUAUGCUUUUAAUAUUUCUUUAUUUGAUUCCUUUCAUAAUUUUCUUGCAAUCUCUUCCUUGCAGAUCUGAUUUCAUUUUAAUAGAUUUUACUUAACUUUCCUUAUUCUUCUUUCUCCUUACAUAGAUAAGGAUGAUGAUAAUUUAAUGUUAGCAUCUCUCUCAUAUCCUUGUUCUUUUUGUAUGUCCUGGCUUUACGAGGUUUCAUUUCACUAAUAUUUGAAAUCUUGUAUCUAUUUGCAUAUUUGGAGUUUCAGCUGAAAUGCGGUAGGUGUGGAGAGUUGAGUCAGAGGGAAACGUGUGUGAGCUUGGGCGAAUCCAUUCCUCUUCCUGUGGGCAAGGGAACCACCAAUCUCAUUCAGAAGGUAAUCUUGUAUACGUGUAUUCUCAGUAAAUGAAUUGAUUUCAAGUGAAAGGUCAUUGCAAUUGGUGGAUUUUAUGUCUGUUUGGUUGCUGAGAGCAAAGAAUGGACGAGAGAGACAAAUUUCUACUUCGUAUAAGUUGCAUCCUUACUUGGACUUAGUCAAUUUCACCUGGGCUACACGUGGUAAUACUAGUCUUGGUUUAUGUUAUUCCCCUUCUCAUUUCUCAAGCUAGCAGAUAUUUCUAGUUUAGUGUUCUUAGAUUAUGUCUAAUUGGAAGUUUUGUUUUGUGAAUUUAGUUGUAAAAUCACUGUGUUUUCUGAACUAAAAAAAAAAAAAAGGAAUCUCAUGCAUUAGAAUAAAUCCACAAAUCCAUGCUACAUGUUAAGAACCAAUAUUUAAGCAAUGUUUUUUGUAGUUGCGAGAUGCAUAAUUUUCUUUCCCCAUCCUGUGCUGUAUAAUUUAGAAGAAGCAUGAUGUGAUUCUAAACUCCAAUUGUAAGUCCGCAUGACUCCUUUCCAUUUCACAUGCUGUAUUGUUGGUUGAGUUUUUCUUUGAUUCAUUCCUUCUAAAAGUUGCUUGGGGUCAAGUAAGCUUUGAGACCAGUAUUUUUUUCUAGAUAACAUCUGUCUUAUAUCUAAUGGUUUCAGUAGCCUUAUGUAGAUAUUCUAUGUGUUUAUCUUGUAUACAAUCAAACUUCUGCAUUUUAUAUGGCAUGCUACUUGUAGUUGCUUUAACUGCAAAACUUCAAUUUACUAUACUGGGUUUUUCCUUUUUAUCUACCUAGCUAUUUACUUCCAGUGAUUAAUGGUAUUGUUAUGCCUUUUCUUUUUUACUUUAGUGCAAGUUUUGUUUGAGGGAAGGAACUAUAACAAUGAUCCCUGGCCAAGGUCGACCACUGACCCACAAAGACAGUGAAGCAGGAAGCUAUGCACCUUUGAUGCUAUUGGACUGUAGGGGUCAUGAGCCUGUGGGUUUUAUAUUCGGUGGUGGCUGGAAGGUUGAAUCUGUAAGUCUUUGUUCUUCAUCCCCCACCCUAGAUGAUCUUUUUAUUGGGUAGUGGAAAUUGUGAACAAAGCUUUAUUAUAGCAAGGGCUUCAGACUGUAAUGUCUUGGUAUAUAUUGAUUUUCCAAUACCAAUCAUAGCAAUAAUCAUUUAUGAGCUAUUAAAAUGAUAACACAUUCUUUGUUUUUUAUGACAAAAAUAACCAGAGUCAGAUGUAAAAGAUCAAGACUAAUCACUAUAUAGAAGUCCCUGCUUUAUAUUAUGCAUAUUAUGAUGUUUGAAGAUAUUGCAUUUGCUGUAUUUCCUAGCUGGGAAGUACCUAGUUUGAAUUUUUCCCACCCAUUUCAAAAAGUGUAUAAUAACUUAGUAAGCACCUUGCACCUAAAGCUAAGGGCAUUUAAACCACGUAUUCAAUCUUCAGCGGAAUUGGAUGGCAAGCCUGGCUAGAAGUUACAGUUAACGCUGCACUUACAUGUGAAUUUGUUUAUGUGAUGCUAGUAAUUGCAUAAUAUCCUGACCAUAGUUAGGCAUUGUUGUUGUCUGAUUUCUGGUAGUUACUGAAAUAUUCCCUCACCGUUGGGUUGUUGGGCAUUUACACGGUUACUUACUGCCAUCUAUAUAUUUGGUGAAUGUGUUUCCAUGUCAACUUACUGUAAUUUGUUUGUGUAGCUGGAAGGGACUAAAUUUGAAGAUGUUGACUUGUCUGGAGAUGACUUCGCUGAAUAUGAUGAGAAGGGAGAGUGCCCAGUGAUGAUAUCCAACCUUCGUGCUACUUUUGAUGUGGUGAAGUAGAGUAGUACUACUCCCCAACUUGCACAUGUCUUGGUAAAUAAGACUGAUGGUUCAUCAUGAAUGAGGUAGAAACCUGUGACUGUAAAACAUUUAAUGUAGGCAUGAAGCUAUAUCCAAUCGUGGUUUGAUGUGAAUUGUUCAGUUUGUAGUAUAUGCUAAUAGAUACAAUGGCAAUGGUUUGCACUGAUUAAUGAAUCACAUAAUGUUUGCGUGUUCAUUGUUUUCUUUAUUUUUUGAAUUAUGAAGAUAAUUACGCUGAAUGCAAAUAGCUUUCCCUUAAAGAAGUAAAGAAGUCCCCCAUGUUUGAGAAUGGAUUCUUUUUAGACCUGGGGAAGCUUCAUGGUUCUUGCUCUUCAUAGCAAGAGCCUGGAGUUGUUGGUGAGGCUGAAAUGUGCCAACUCGGAGUAGUGUCAAGAAACUUUUAUCUGGCCUAGAUUUUUUUAUAUUUUUCAGUUCACAUUCGUAUGUGGGAGCAUACUAACUGUUCUUCCAGUACUUGGGAAUGUUUCUGAUACACUUGAAGACGCAAGGCUGCUCCAUAAUUUGCUGGUGCUGUAGUGCAUCGCAUAUAUCAGGUAUUGUGAGAGAUUGCGUUUUUGUUGGCAGGAAACAGAUAUUAGUACUUUUACUUUGGAAACAGAUGCAACCGCCUUCUUACUACUACGUUUCUUUAUUUAUCUAGGAAACCAUCGCCUGAUCUGAAUGAAUUGGACAAAUUUGUUCCAUUGGGAGUAUACGUAAGAAUAUUUUGCGGGAUGUUUGAGGAAUUGUCCUUCACCUCGUUGCCAGCCAGCCUUCGUUGGAAACAGGAUAACGACUAGAAUCAACUUAGGUGGAAGCGGUCCGCACGUCUCAUGCAUAUGUUGGUGAGCAAUCUUAUAAAUGUAGCUCUAGGUGGGUCCGGAUCCGAGCUUCGUAUGAAAGUGGAAACUCCACCUCGAUGAAAAUUCGACAAAUUAGCUUUGCCAUUAAAUGUGUGAACCAUACAAUGGGUAAAUGUUAAUUCACUGCCCUUCCUGUUAAGAAUCAAAAUUCGACUAUUCUCUCCUUUAUUGCCUUCUACAGAAGGAGUUUGAAUUACCUAAAAUAGAUUGUGUAGUGAGAAUCCAGAGGGAUUUAUUUCGGGGGAGUUUCAGAUUUUUCAUUUUUUGUUUUUGAUAAUCCCAUUUUUGGAGGAAAAGAAAUCCUAACGGCAUUGAUCAUGCUUAAUAUCAAAUCCCACUUUCAGUGACGUGAGGGAAUUGUACUUCUAGCUGACUGCCUGGCCCCUCUAUUUGGGUCACCAUUAACCCCAGAAGUUUGAUCAUCAUGCCUCAUUCUCCUGGUGCCUUGUUAACAUCUUAAAUAUACAAAGAAGCCAUUUCCUCUUUUAAAAUUCCCAUUAUAUCCCUGCAUGUCAAACAGUAAACUGUAACUCCAUAGGACAAGACUGCCUUUUUAACUCACUCAAGGCUGCCCAAAAUCACAGGUGGGCAUAUCAUUUUUAAAUACCGUUCUUCACAUGGCAGCCAAGAAAAGGCAUCUCCCCGACAACUGCAAACGCCAACUCGCGAAAGGAAAAUAAAAAAAAACAGCACUCACUUCACACUCCCAGCCUUCCUUCCUUCCUUCCCUGAGUGAAGAAAGAGACACUGUUAUUAACUUGCCACAGAUUUCACAAAUCAUGCUCUUAGCACCACAAAAUCCAGAAAAACAUACUUAUUGACCAACCAACUUCACCACAUCUCUUUCUCUUGGCCUUCACCAAACUUUUCUGUCCUCCUCUGCCAAACCUUCUUUAAUCUUUAUUGUUUUCCCAUACUGACCUUAAUAAAUAGUCUGGGCGCAAUCCCAGCACCUCAUAUAGAAUUAGAAACCUCUUUAUCUCUAUAUCUUUCCGCACCCAAAAGUUUACAUGGUACGUUCACUGUCUUCUACUCUUUUUGUUUUCUUGUUAACGAAGACUUCUGUCAGCCUCGUUCUGGACUUUGAUCUUGGGUUAGAUUCUUGAUAGAACACUGUUUAUCCAAUACCCUUUUCCUUUAAACUCUUGAUUCUCACGUUAAAUUAGUUUAUAGUGAUUUUUUUUUUGGUCAGGUGGUAUAACUUGUAAACUCUGGAUCUGUUGUUCUAUUAUUGUUUCUAUUGCUAAAAGGGGCUGUAUUUUUUAAAGUUAGUUAGUUGCUAAAAAACCCCAAGGUAGUGGAAUUUAUUUCACUGAAUUAAUCGGUGGGGAUCUAAGAUGCGAGAGAUUUUAGUUUGCUUUUGAGUGGGAAAACAAAGAAAGGGGCGGUUUCUGGAUCUGACCCCGGAAGUUGAAUUCUGGUUUUUGAAUUUUCUUAAACGAUGCAAACAAGAGUUGGGUCGGCCGGGUCAUUGGAUGAAGUCAAGGAUCCUGUGGUUACUACUAGGACAAGUCAAUCUAAGACUUUGCCACUAAGGUUAUUACAGUUGUUUGGGUUGUUCCUUGCUCUCUGUAUCGCCUUUUCGAUCGUUAGUAUAUAUACAAUCCGGCGUUUUGGAAUUUAUAGUGUGGUUACUACAGUUAAGUCUAAUUUUGUACCGUGUGUUGAAGAACCAAAUAGUUUGAAUCGGUGGAUAAAGCCUCCAUCGAAUUUGCUUCACACGAUGAAUGAUAAAGAGUUAUUAUGGAGGGCAUCUUUCGUGCCUCGAAUAAAGAAGUAUCCAUUUAAUAGACUUCCGAAGAUUGCAUUUAUGUUCUUGACUAAGGGGCCGUUGCCGCUUUCUCCUCUUUGGGAGAGGUUCUUGAAGGGGCAUGAAGGCCUUUAUUCCAUCUAUAUUCAUUCACUGCCAUCAUACAAUGCCGAGUUUCCUCCUUCAUCAGUUUUUUACGGGAGGCAAAUCCCAAGUCAGGUAUGGUACUCAUAAUGUCCAUUUCUUUUAUAGGAGUUUUCAUUUGUUUCUGAAUUCUGUAUUUUUUUUAAUCGUCUUUGUUCUUUGUCAUGUUAUGAACCCUUCCAUCCUUAUUCCUCUGUAAUGCACUUUGUGUGUUCUUUUACAUGCUUAUGCACAACAUGGUAAGUUACUGUCCUUGAUAAUGCUAAUUCUGUUUAGAACCUUUCUUAUGUAGCGUUUUUGCUAAGUAGGUCUCCUGAGAAUCUUUGUCCAUAAGAGUGAUAGUAGCAUGCUUGUUAUCUAGGCAUUUCAUAACUGUUGCAGAAGUUAGCAUGCUAACUUAAGUUACAUUAGGAAAUUUGGUUUUUGGAGGUUAGACUUAGAACUGCUACCAUUCAUGGCCUCUCAUUCCCUUUUUUUUUUUUCAAUAAUGGGAUGUUAGUUUGUUCCUCUCCUUAUUUAUCUACUUAAAUUCAAGUUUUGAUUGGUUCUUGGUUAGCUGGAUAGAUGGUGAUCUGCCUGACCUUUAUAACCUCUUUGCCAGUGGAAAGGUUUUCUCAUGUUCAAUACAUUUUAGGCAUUCCACAAGUUUUUUGCAAACACACACAAAAUUGUGGUCACAAAUAGACAAAUAAUAUAUCACUUUGAUAAACAAAAAUAAAAAUGGCAUGAGAUGUAUUUGAUUGUUCAAACUUUAUGUGACCUUCAAUUUUUUAGAUCACCUAACCUGCAUGCAAGCUUGCAAUUUGAAAUCUGUCUAUUUUUACCAUCUGGAUUUAUCUUGUGCUUCAAACCACAGCACAGGUUUAAGACCCUCAUAGUAUAGCACACUAUAUCAGUGAUGCUUGUUGAAACUGGAGACAAAGUUAAUUCUGAACUAAUCAUGCAGAGUAACAUCAGGGUGACAGAGAAACUUUAUGAUUUAGACUUUAGAGACCUUUCAGGAAGUGAGUGUGGGGAAUAGGAACUUAUAGUGAGCUGAACAUUUGCUUUGGAACAGAUAGCUGUAUUGUUUUGGCUAACUUGUAGGAGAUGGCAAAUUAUUGUGAUUGAUUUGCCCGAAGAGAUUUCACUAGAUUUAUGGUUGUCUUUCUAGUCCUGGUGUUAAGUAGAAUAUUGUGUGUGCAAGAGAUGUGUUUUUGUUUGGGUCCCUGUAGGAAGAUAAAAGAAUCUGAUUGUUUACAUGUAAAUUGUCAGCUGUUGUAUUUGAAGGUAAAGGGGUAAACGUCUUCUACCCAGUAUCUGUCAUCUCUAUAUCAGCUCUUGUAGUGUUUUGCUGAAUUUCUUUCUUUCAGUUACACCAAAGUACCCUGUUGUGGUUUCUAUUUUUUUUUACUUCCCAUCAGUCAUGAUUUAUAGUAAUUGUUUGGCAUUUGUUCUUCAACAGUUCAGAUAGAUGUUUGUUAUUUAAAUGAGCAGCCUUUAUUUCUUCUCUUUUGGGGAUUGAGUUCCUGAUUUCUGUAUUUGCUCUCAUGCAGGUCUCUGAGUGGGGAAGGAUGAGUAUGUGUGAUGCUGAGAGAAGACUCCUUGCCAACGCCUUGCUUGACAUAUCAAAUGAAUGGUUUAUCCUCCUCUCUGAAUCUUGCAUACCUCUAUACAAUUUCAGUGUCAUCUACCACUACAUAAAGAAAUCCAAAUAUAGUUUCAUUGGUGCAUUUGAUGACCCUGGGCCAUAUGGUAGAGGACGUUACAAUGAGAACAUGGCUCCUGAAGUGAAUAUCACCCAGUGGCGUAAGGGGUCCCAAUGGUUCGAAAUUAACCGAAGGCUUGCACUCAACAUAGUGGAAGAUAGUACAUAUUACCCGAAGUUUGAACAGUUCUGUAGACCGGCAUGUUAUGUUGAUGAGCAUUAUUUCCCCACCAUGUUAACAAUCCAGGCAUCAAAUCUCAUAGCAAAUAGAAGCAUCACAUGGGUAGACUGGUCGAGAGGUGGGGCUCAUCCUGCUACAUUUGGUAGAGCAGACAUUACAGAAGAGUUGUUCAAGAGAAUUUUCGAAGAUCAUCAGUGCAGGUACAACGAUCAGCCAUCUUUGGUCUGUUUUCUUUUUGCCAGAAAAUUUGCACCAAGCGCAUUGGAGCCUUUGUUACAGAUAGCACCAAAGAUUUUGGGCUUCGGACUUUCUGAGUGAUGAAUGAACAUAAACCUUGCCACUGCCAGAUUUAGAUCCUGAAACAAAAUUUGAAGUGGAGAUGAGUCCAUGAGAGACUAUGGGAGCAUGCCAGGUCCAUUCUUUGAUCUCAUACAUAAAUGGGUCCUCUUUUUCCUUUCUUUCUUUUAUAAAAUUUAACCCUCGUCGGUGAUACGGUGUGGUUUUCUUACUUUGUACACUCUCCUAACUCUUUGGCACUCCCAACCCAAAAAACCAUUCUGUAUGUACAGAAAAUUCACAUUUUUGUAUUGAGGUUGAGAAUACUACUGUAUCAGGAUAUUUAGAUAGCACCAGUGUUUUUGUUUUGUGCAAUUUUCAAUACACCCCCCACCUCUCUCUCCCUCUCUCUUGAUAGUUUUGGCCAAUGAGUUUGAGCUUUGAAGUUUAAAAGAGCAGCAAGAGUAUCACGUUAAAACUUCAGGUAUUUGGUUCUGAUUGGUGUGGGAAGAGUGACGUAAUAAUGUGAGAAGAACAUUUUCUUGCUAAAGAUAAAAGAAGUAACUAAACUAAAAUGAGGUGGCAUUUGUUUGUCUUUUAGGGUAAAAGUAAGCGACCUUAAUCGUUGCUACUUAAGAAGCGUUGCUUUGUCAUUUUUGUCAAAAGAAAAAAACAAUGAGAAUCCCAUUCCUUAGUUCGUUUUUUGGUAGAAAAAUCCCAAUAAUAGCUUAUAUCAAACGCAAAUAGCUCCCCCCCCCCCCCCAAAUUACACGCAAAUUUAAAACCAAAAACGUUAGAUAGAUAUGAGCUUAAAUGCUUUCCCUUAAUUAACUUUGAGAGACACAAGUCAAAAGUAAAACAUUAAACAAUAACACGUGUUGGUCAUUCAAAAUCGUGUGUGCCUUUUGACACCAGUCAAGGGGAAACUUCUCGAAUUCAUACACCUGUCUUUCAUUCUUUGCUUUGAAUUUCAAAAACAAUAAACCCUGUUCCUUUUGGGCCCUCCACGUGUUCUUCCCCGGUUGGCCCAACCUCCGUCUCUACCAUGUGACGUUUUGUGGACCCACGUUGAAUCCGCAUCUUUGCAGUUGUUUCGCGACGAAAUCAGCGUGAUUACUUCCUCAAUUGCGGGCUGCCCAUCACUCCUUCCCUCUCCUCUCAUCUCCUCUGUUUUAACUUCGCUGCGAAUGUCUCAUGCGCGUGUCAACACGGGUGAAUACUGAACCUCAAUCUUAACCAGACCUAUUUAGAUAGCCACCAGAUGCGCGAGUAGAAUCACGCUCUUUAGCCCAGCGGUCCCACUACUCCCUUGAUUUGGCAAAGAAUCAAAUUCUAUUCCGAAAGAAGAAAAAACAAAGAUCCGCCCCUAACAAGCAUUAACAGCGUUAAAACGACCGCGUUUUCCAUUGCACUACUUGUCAUUAUCAAAAAAUACUGGGGGUAACGAACAAUUUACACGCGUAAAAUAAAAUUAAGGAAGCCCUUUGAAACGGGGACCCGCUGGAGUACCAGCUGCAGCAAUUGCAAUCUCCAGGCUGGAUAUCCGGGCAGCUGCCCAAAGUCUCUCUCCUUCUCUCUCUAUAUAUAGACCCCACCUAUCCCACCCAAAACCCUCAACACAUAUCCUCACUCUCUAAAGGGGAAAAAGGAACGGUCUUUUUAACGCUUAAGAAUUCCAACAAUGGCUCUCUCCAGGGCUUCUCUAAUGCUUGUUCUCGUCGCUGUUUGUGCUCUCAUGGCUUCGGCUCUCGCUGCUGAGGCCCCAGCUCCAAGCCCCACCUCGGGAGCUGGCUCUAUCUCUCUCUCAUUCGUCUCCGUUGUCGCCGCCGCCGCUAUGGCUCUCCUUUUCGGCUCUACUCUCAGGAUCUGAAGAUUUGUCACCUCUGGCGGUGGCGUCUCCUUGGAUUGAUGGCUAUGGAUGGUGUAGAGAGGGGGCUCGGAUUUUCAUUUUUAUAUAUUUUUUUUGUGUUUUAAAUUUGGUUUGGAAUUUUAGUACUAGUGGAUCUAGGGAGUGAGUAUAUAUAUAUUUGAGAGAGUGAGACGGGGAGAGGUAGCUGUGUUUUGUGUCUGCACAGAUUAUUGAUGUUGAUGUUUGGACUUAAUUAUUUCAGUAUCAUUUCUUAUGGAUUUAUAUCAUUUUUAUUAGUAUAAUGAGAGAUCUUUUAUUUUUUACAUACACUCCAUUUGUUUCUUAAUUUUUUCUGUUCAGUUAUUUCUUACGUUUUCUCUGCAGCCAAACAAUAGCCACAUAUUCUCUGCAAUUAUUUAUAUAUACAUUGGAAUUUUCUGGUUCAACUCCUAGCCUAGGUCUUGCUUUGCUCUUAAAGUUUUGCUAGGACUGUAGAGACAAAUUUACCCUUCAAUGGUCCACACUCUAACCGUACCACUACCAGUAAAGCAAAAAUUUUGCAGUAAUGCUGGCCUCCACUCGCUACCAUGUGACCUACAAAAUAUCCUUCUGUUCUCUUUACAUAAACGAAUGGCAGAAUGGGGUCCCUCAAAAAGCUUUAAAAAAAGGUUGGUAAGAAGAAAACUUCAGAAAACUUUGCUUUGAAGUUAGCCUUGGCAGCAGCUCGCUCUCAUUUUUUAUUUCUUUUCCUUUAUUCUUUUUCCCUUUUGCGGGUUCCAACUCCCAAUUGUGGAAGUUGUGCUGCGUGGGUACGCAAUUGCACAGAUUGCCAGUUCCUAGUCUCUUUACAACUAAUGAUUCCAUGUUCAAUGUUCUUGAACAAUUAUUAGUGGUUUAACAUGUUGAAUUUUCUUUUGUUUUCAAGAAUAUGCUUUAUUACAAAAAACGGGGUCUGAAUACGAAACUAAUAAGAGCACAUGCUGGUGGGUCUUCUUGAGUUUAUGGCACAGAUCAAUAAUUCAUUAGUGGUUAAUUGAAAUUAUUUUUGAAGUCAAUGAUUAAUGAUUAAUCCCACACGAUUCUUUUAAAUGCAAUUUGGGAAUCUGGAGCAUUAGUCUUAUUCUCCACUGAGAAUUUGAAAGUGCCCUUUUCUUCUUUCAGUUUUUCACCAAUCAGGUGGGCCGGUUUCUUCCAUUUUAAGUUUUUUAAUUCCGAUAAACUAAUCAUGAAUUGAAUUGAAUGUGAAUUAUGAAGUUAAAUUUUCAAAGAAAACUAGGUCAUAUGAGUUAGAUGUCAGCUUCUAGUGUGGGUAGGCUACAACGGCUUGUCCUGUUUGUAUUUUUUUUUCUUUAUUUAUAUAUUCUAUGAAGAGACGGGUCAAGAUCCUAUCAACACGCUUGAAGAAAUGGGCAGGACCUUGGGCACUUAGAAGUUAGAAGUCCGUGUGUGGUUAAGAAUGUCGAUGUCGUGGGGAAAAUCUUUCGCUGUUGAAUCAUUGAUUGCUACCGGGUUCCAUACACUACUAAAAGAAUGACUGGCAAGAUAAGUAUGUUGCAUCUUUAUAUUCUCUGAUUAUAUAUAUAUCUCUAAAUUAUAUUAGUUUUAUAGAUAAAGGAGAUAUAUAUAAGCUUAAUUUUAAUCUUAUUCGUUCUAACUAAUUAAUAGUAUUAUAGUGUAAUUUUAAUAAAAUAUUGUAAUUUAAUUAGAUAAUAAUAUUGUAUAAUAAUUUUAAUAUAAAUAUUUUAUGUAUUUAUCUUAACAUGUCAUGUGAUAAGAUAAAUUUCCAAAACCGCAAAAUUAACAAAGAAACAUGUGAGGGAUGCAAGAUUAGAUGUUCUCUUUUGAUUGGGCCAGCGGAUAUAGAAAGUUUUAAUAUGCUUGUAAUAGCGUUUUCCAGAUCAAUUCAUUUGCUUAAUCAGUUAAAACAAUGGCGCCAUUGUCGUACAAGCUUGGAAGAACCUAAGCAUCGGAAACUCGCAAGUAAAGCAAAGUCAGUCAAGUUUUUACCAAAUGAAAGAAAUCUGGGGUGUUUACACACUGUAAUCUCCUCGCAAGGAAUUUCAUUUUUGAUUCAAGCCCCUUUAACUUUGUGGAGUCAGGUGAACUUUACACUUUUUUGCUUUUCGGGCUAAGCAUUUAGUCCUAGUCAUAGACGCCCCAAUCACGAGAUCGUGGAAAACACGGUGAAGUUUUCAAUUCAUUGCUAGAGAAUUCCAGACCAGCGGCUGUACGGUAGACUGGAGUCAGUUACUGCGAAAAUUGUUUUUCCUCAAAGGUCGUAUAAUGGGUCAAGAAAACCUGCAUUUGUAAGCUUGUACGCAACAUUUGCACCAGUCCAUUAAGAAAAUUUAGACUUUAUUUUAUUUAUGCUUUUACUACUUGAUUUUCGUUUUUCAUUAUUUAUAAUUUUUAUAAAAGAAUAAUAAAAACAUUAAUACCCAAAAGUAAAAGGUUGAAGUAAACACCAAAAAUUUUGGCUUAAUUUAAUUCUUUCAUUAUCCCAAAGACCAAAGGUCAUCAUUUACACAGUUUACACCCUUUCUGUCAUCCUCCAAAACAAAAAGGCCUAGGUCUUCUGCCCAUCAACAUCUCAUCAUCAUCAUUCCAUAUUGCAAUGCAAAAACCAACACCUGGGCGGUUUUCUAUUCAGAAUCGGAUUCCAUAUUACCCAUUGCCUUCAAACCUCUUGGUCUCUGCGCAAGGAUUCACAUUAAAACGAUUUCAGCUUCGAAUAUAUAUUAGUUCUAUCUAGGAAUGAGAGAAAAAUCAAGAAAACAGAUGAAUGAUUUGAUACUGUAUUGGGACGGGUACCUUCUUUGAGAUCUUCUUCUCCCUGACCUCAUAUCGCUCAAGGGUUAAAUCGCAUAGCCAUGCCCCCGGGCUCACCAGCUGUACAACAAAUUUCCCGAAUUAGCUUUUGUUAAUCCUCCGAUUCACAAAGCUUCCAAACGUUGAAAUAAAUAGCGUAAGCAACAACCAGGAAAACAAAAGAAAAGAAUAAUAAUCAUUAUCACUUUUGUGUCGUUUUGGGAAGAGAAUCAUCCCAACCACCGCCUCAACAGUUGCAUUUAUUAUUCAAAAGUAACCCUACAAUCACAGCAUAUUUGCAGAAAUGCCCCCCCGACAAUGAUGGGUCGGGCCGAGCCACAUGCUCUCUGUCCUUUUUUUUGUCGGUUGCUCUUCAUUUACAAAACCAUUUCAUCAAGAAACUAUUUUUUGAAUCACACGUGUACGGCGGUGGGACCCACUCAUUUUGUCUCUGCGAAGACAUUCGACAUUCGGCCGCCCACUUUUUGGGAAAAUAUUUCCCCUUUAAUGAAGUGAAUAAAUUCCUAUAGUAGAUGAAAAUAAAAAAUCUUAAAUAAUACUUAGUAAUAAUUCACAAGUUUUUCAGAGCGAAUGGAAGAUAACAAAAAGCAAUAAAAAGCUGUCCACUUGAAAUAUUUAAUGGGAGGACAUUAAAUUCCCUAGAGUUGUACUUAUUUUAAAGCCUUUUCUCGGGAAAAGAAGAAUAAAAACAAUUAAAUAAUGUAUGAAAAAGAAUGUAGUUUAUUUCUUUUAUUAGUUAUUAUUUUAUAUGCCAAACUAUAUAUAUAUAUAUAUUCUAGAUGGUCGGCUGGCAUUACGCAUUACAGCGUAGCAAUAGCAGUACACAGACAAGGCAUAACGCACAACAUUAUCUAAACAAAUUAAAUUUGGAACUGGCUCACAGCCUCACAGUCACAGGCUUUCCAGUGGGCCGCUAACAAAUUUAGGUACUUUUAUUGGCUGCUCCUCCACAAUUUGGCUGACACGUCGACUUUUACGUAUCACUUACUAUCGCUUUGCCCGCUUCCCUUGGCCUAUUCUACUUUUUUACCUUUGUUCUUUUGAGUAGCAAAGUGGGCAUAAAAUAGAAAAAGCAAACCAAAAUCAUUAUUUCACGUAACUCACAAGUACUCUCCUGCUCUAAAAUGUUGUACCUCAUCUAUUAAUUUCCUAUACAAAUGGUAGUAAAUUAAUUUCGCUUUCAAAUCAAAGUCUGCUAUAGUGAGUAAAAUUUAAUUCGUCCCCAAUUUUAAAAUUUCGAAAUUACGUGCAAACGAAAACGAUAUUCAAAUGAAAUGAGGAAUCACUCAAGGAAAAAGUAAUGGGGAUGCUUACAUUGAGGGUACGUUGGAUAAACUUGGCUCGUUUUUUGGGUCUUUGUGGUAGCUUAGAUCCUUUAAUGGCCAGGAAAUCCUCUUCUUUCUCUUUAUUCGUUAAAGCAAUCACGAAUUUCGGUGGCCAAACGGGUGGAACUGCCUCACCGCUCCCGGAAGACGAGCCUCCCUUUUUGCUAUCGUGAGCCGUCUCCGAAGAUGCCGCUGAUUUGUUGUUGUGCUGGUGGUUGUUAUCAUUGUUGCUGUAGUGGUUGUUAUUGUUAUGGUUACCACCUCUCUUAUCGCGCGCACCCCUGUCCGGCGAAGCGAAUCCCCUUACACCACCGUUGCUUUGGCCUCUCAUAGCACUGGGAUUCUCAGAGUUCCUGAAAGAUUUCCAAAGAAAAAACAAAUUCGCAUCGCAAUAAUAAGAAUACCAGGGACAAAUAUCUUGAAAAGAAUAUGGUAAAAUAAUUAAAAUAAUUGGAGAAAGUAUCAAGUGGUGUGAGUUUUGGAAAAGUAAAAAAAAGGGUAAGUGGUAAACGUAGAAUUACCAAAAUAACCUUAAAAUGAUCUAGAACAGUGGGUGAAAGAGAGUGGAUAGAAUCUGGACAAGUUUUGCGUAGAAAAUGGGGGAUGGAUUUGUUUUUGGCUUCCUUAGGGGAGGGUUGGACUUUGGGGUUGGCUUUUAAAUAGGGAGUGGAUAAUUUCUUCCUUUCUUUCUUUUGAUGAAGAGCUUUAGAUAUUUGAGAAGAGAGGAAAGAGUGAUUCUAUCUCUAUCCAAGGUGCACAGCUGGUUUUUUCAGACGGUUUAAGGCCGUCGGAUUUUUAAGGCUUUCGCCUUUCUGGUGGAUUAAGGUAACGUGUUGAAACAUGGCUUGGUUUUGGGGGAUAACAGUGGACCAGAUUCCUAAAUCCAAUUUUCUGAUCGGACGGCUGACCAGGGCUGAGAUCAAAAUAGACUUUUCGUGGACACGUGGUGAGGUAACUGUCCAUUCCAUGUUUCCAACGGAGUCCAUGGGGUUAGGGCUAAUGCGCUAGGCAUUCCGGAUCAGAGCACCUGGGUCUAGGAUCAGGUGUGGUAAGGUGCAGUGUACCGUACAUAUAAAAUAUCUAAAACAGGUGCAAUUCCAUUAAAAACAAUACUAUUAUUAACAUAAAAGAAAGUAAUAAUAGCAAAUAUUAAUAGCCUGUUGCAAUUGCAAUCAGAUACCAUCAACAUACUAGUAACAGCAAUUAUCAAAUAAAAACAAAAGAUCAAACACUGAUUCUGACUAGGACAAGAGAUGAAAGAAAAUCUCAGCAAGCUUACAUGAUAAAAAUGAUUUAAUAUAGUAUAUUGAAUUGAAACUUGUUUCCAGCGAAGAUGGAGGGUUAUGUCAAGGAAGAGAGCUAAUUUGUUAUUUAGGCCAAAAAAGGAAUGCAAUCAAAUAGGAAAAAAUCCCUAAAAAGGUGGUCUCAAUAUAUCAUUCAUCUUCGCAAGAAAAGAAUCACUGCUAAGAAUAAUUUUCCCAAUUAUGUGGUUAUUGAAACACGUAACCAGCACAAAAUGAAGUAAAUACUUCACAAGAAAAGAACUUAAUAUAUCGAUUCAACCAGAACCUCCUUGACGCACGAGAUUUUUUUUAGACUAUAUUGAUCAUGCUAAAUAUAAACAUUAGAUAUGCAAAUUGUGCAAGUCAUUAGGAUUCCUCAUGUAAAAGCAAAAACUUGCUCUUAUGUCUAUUUAAAGAAAAUAAUCACUGAAUUAGCAUGAACAACCUGCUUUCACUCAGAGGUAAGACCCUAACAAAGAAGGCGCCUUGAUAAACUCACCAAGAGUUUCUCCUGAACCAUACACUGGCGCCCACCUGACCAAUUGGAGAGUGCACAAAUAUAAGCCUCAUAAAAAUAAAUUCAGCCUUGAUGCAUCAUAACAUUUUGAAAAAGCUAAAAACUCUUCUGACGGUUCCGGAUCCGACAAACCUUUACAACACUAAACAUAGCAAAUUCGAGGCUGAAAUGUUAUUUAUUUAUAUAUGAGACCCAUACAAUGCCAUCACCAACUAGUCAAAAGGCCCAUAUGGAAAUACCCAUCCAACUUUGUGUAGGUUAUAGGAGUGUCAAUGGCGCCAGCUGUGCAGCUUAUCCAUUCCUGGAACAGCCUUUCCACUACCAGAAGAAAAAAAAAAAAAAAAGAAAAAGGACGAUUGUCAAUCAAACAGGUCAAUUAUCAUAUUAUCACCAGAGCACUUGUGCCUCACAAAAUUUGAGGAUCUUUCUGCCAUGACUGCGAAGGCUUUCCUCUAGACCAAGUAGAUGCCAAAUUCUAUUGCCCCUAAAAGUAAAACUAUGAAAACGAGAAAAAAAAUCAUGCAAAAUCAAAAUAUGAAUUGAAACAACACAAAUUUUCUUCAGAAAAUGAUUACCAAUACUUUCAUCACAGCAUGCAAUAACUACAUUAAUUUUUCUUUUUCUUUUCACUUUCCAUUAUAUGUGAAAACCAUAAAUUUUAUGACCCUGUUCGACUGGGAAAAUAAUGACCUCAGAAAACUAAACUCAUUAAACGUCAUGUAUGGAAUAGUCAAAUCGGCUAAUCCAGCGGUAAUCUCUGCUAUUUUUAGAGGAGAAAAAUAAAAGAAAAGGUACGAGUAUUUCAGACUUAUAAGGAAGUGGGACCCAGAAAUGACGGAUCUAAGUUUCAUAAUCAUUUUACUCGUGCUCAACACCCAGACGAAAGGCAAAUAAAAAAACUUGUGGAGUACUAAAUGAGUUGAUAUACACUAUACAGUACCUGAGAACGCGCUGAGGUGGCGGAGCUUGAGGAGAAGGAGGCCUUUGACGGAGGUUAAAACAUCCAUUCCCGUGAUUAUUAUUGCUUGGCUGACUGGAAGAGUCUUUAUCGGCCCUCACGACCCGGCGAUCAACUCGAACCGUGGUUCGAUGAACCGGGCCGGACUGAUCGUCUUUGACCUGGAUCUUCAUACACCUGAGGCGCUUCCGGUUUCCCCACUGCAAAACAAAAUCAGACGACGACGGCGUUUGCUUCGCCGGAUCUGAGCUGGAUCUUAACAAUCCCCCGUCGCUUCCGGUUCUGUCUCUGCAGUGGUUGGUGUUAUUACCAUUGUUGUUGGUCCUUAAUGAGUCCUUUUCCAUCCUUCUUUGCACACCUGUCCCAUCAUGAGAGUAAAAAAUUGAAAAUUAAAAAUACGAUUCGGGUUAAGCUUUCAAUUAGUAGUGGGUUCAACUUCAGAAUUAAAGUGGGAGCGCCGAAAGGAUAAGAAAAGGAGGAGAUUAGGAGGUUUUAGAUGUGGCUUCGCCUUCUCUUAAAACGUCCACGCAAUUUCAAACAAAAGUUGUCUCACUCAGCUUUAUCAUCAUGUCCAUCGGACGGUUAGGAAUUUCCGCCGAAACUUUGAAAAGAAAAAAAUAAAAAUCCGAGGGAAAGAAGGCGGCCUAAGCGUGAAGAAAAGUUGAAGAUGGGAAGAAAAAGGCAAGCAUCGAACGGUCUUUGCAUCUUCGAGUAAAGAAAAAGGAUUAACGGAAUGUCAGCACUGAAAUUGAGCGAUUUUUAUAAGAUAAUCAAAUGGAUUAACGAGAGAAAACAGAGAUGAUGAGAAUUUUAGGUGGGAUUGAGAAAAUUCAGACAAGAAUAGCCGCACUAAUUUGAAAAAUAGUUAAGUCAGAAAAGGAACACAGUUGAAACUUGAAAAGAAACAGAGAAUGGGAAGAUGUCUUUGGUCUUAGUUUAAAAUGUAAGGAACAGGGACAAUGAUAGAUUCGAAAACACAGAGAGAGAUAACUAAUCACUCCAUUACAAGUUUCGAGGUUUUUUUUCUCUUGGUUUCCCGGUAACCAAACGGAAGUCAUUGGGUAAGCAGGAACGGGAAGAUAAGGAAAAAAAAAAGACAGACAUGGAAAGAAACUUCAACAAAAUCCGGAAAAACAUCACAGAAAAAGAUGAAAAACGUUUCUCAGCGGGGAUUUAAGGAAGCGAAAAUUAAAGACAGAGACAGAAUAAAGCGAAAUCAAAACCAAGAUGCAAUCGGGAGGAAAAAUCUUCGCGGAAAAGGUCAAGUUCUUCCUUAAACUGUUCGAGAAAAGCCAUUGAAUGAAGGAUUAGAAAGAAACUUGUGACUAAAAUCCUGAGAGAAAAAAAAAAACACUACCAAAAUGAAAUAAAAAUAUGAAAAUACGGACUCCUAAUGCUCUCCAGAGAGAUUGAGUGAAAGUCGCUUGCGAAAGAAAAUCAACAUUCUCGAAAAAAUGCGACUCUGUUAAAGAAAUCUUUUGUUCUCAAUCAAAUCCAAACUAGAGAAAACCGAUUACUAAAACACUGAGCGUGGUCCAAAAAAUCAAAAGAAAGAACAAGACGAUGGGGAGAAGAAAAAUAUAACACUGUUUUAACAAAAAGCUUGGUGUAUCAAUGGCGAGUCAAAAUCUUUAGGCAGAUUUAAAAUCAGUACUCAGAUAGUCAGAUUUCUGAUCUUAUCGUGAGAUAAUGGCUCUCAUACCUGAAUUACUCAGGCUCUGCCUUUCCAACUAAUUCACCAAAAGCUUUGCUUCUUUUAGUCCUUUUGGUAGAAACACAAAUCUACUUUGGAUUUUCAACGAAAUAUUGACAUUUGAAGCCUGUUCUUUCGACUCUCAUGUGAUGUAAGAUUCUAAUCUUUUGAUAUGUCAGCAAUUGAUCUGCCCAUUUGCAGAUAUAUUCAGUCCAAAUUUCUUCAGAAAGCAGCUCCGGUCUCUUUGGAAUGUAUCUGUCAAACCAAAAAUUCCAACAGAAACAAAAUCAUUUCCAAAGAACGAAUCAAACACAGUCGUUGUUGCAAAUCUCCAGAACUUGUACUUCGUAUACCUUUUCUUCUUACAGAUUCUCAAAUUUCCAACAGAACAUAAGCAAUCUUCACGAUCAGGUAAUAGAACCAGCAAAAAAACUUUCCUCCAAUCUCUCCAAAUGUAUCUGCAGAAACCAGGAAAAAAAAUGGAGCAUGAAUAAUUAACAGUUUCCUAUUGAAAAUAGACAAAGAAAAAUCAUCAUAGUAAAUGAAAAUAUAAUCAAUCUCUGCUCUCAAUAACACACCUAACAAUUCUCAGAUUCUUCUCUCUCUCUGUCUCCCUCGCUUGGUUUAGAAUUUAGAUCCUCAACGUUUAUUUAUCAAAUUAUCAUCAGUUUUAGUUUUUCCUCGGGAAUUCUCUGUUAGGUUCUCGAGAAAGAAGAAGAAAGAAGAAGCAAAUUAGCAGAGAACAAGAAGAAAAUGAAAAACAAAGAAAGAGUAACAGGGAGGCUGUUUCUUCUUCUGAUAAAACGAAAUGCUCUCUCUCCCUUUCAAAACCAAUUUUUAUACCUCCUCUCACCCUCCGUUACACAACAAAGGUUAAGCACCGAGAAUUAUUGACCGUUGGUCAUUAAUCCAACGUCUCCUAUCGCCUUCUCUUUCGACCGUCAACUCCGUCUAUGUGCACUCCCCGUUACGGGAUUUUCAUGUGCCUGACCACCGUUAUUUUAACUAACGGCGUUAAUAGAUCUAGCGGAAUCUACAAACGACGCUGAAAUAAAAAAUAAAAAAAGCUAUUCUAAAAUUAAAAAAUAUUGUGUAUAUUUUUAUUAUUCAUAUUUUAUUAAUUUUGUUUUGUUUUAAUUUUUCUCGCCCACGGGGUGAGGUGGUGCUGAGCGCAACAAGUUAACUAUUGUUGGUUUGUAACUCUGGUGAACUAACCAUGGUUAAUUUCAACUGGUUUCCCGAAUCUCAUAUUGGAGGACAUUUUGGUAAUUCUCGGCUGACUUUGGAUUAAAGGGUAAUUGGCCUUUUCCAACGUCAGUUGUCAUUAUAUAUAUACUAGGAUGGUGCCCUAGUUAUACUACGAAAAAUAUUACAAAAAAUAUUGAUUAUAUUAGAGUUGAUUUUAAUUUGACACUUUUAAAAGAGUUUGUAGAGAAAACAAUAUUGUAUUAGUUAAUUGUAUGAAUGUCUGAUUUUUACUGAUAAAGAAAAAAAUAAACUGAUAUUAAUUGAAAAUAAUUAUUUGUUCUGGUUUCAAUUAUCGAAAACUUGUACCUACAUAUAUGAUUAUAAAACAAUAGAAUAUUAAGAAAUGAGAGAGUAUAUAACAUGUAUUAUUGACAGAUUAAGAUAAACAAUUGUAUAAUAUAAGGCAACCAUAUAAUAUAAAGAUCCUAUCAAUAUAAAAUAGUUACUAAUUUAUAAUAAUAUAUAUUUUAUAUAUAAAUGAAUGGCUAAAUAUUGUCAAAUUUAAUUGAUUUAUUUAUUCAAUGACGACUAUGUACUAUGUAUAUUAAGAAAUGAAUAAACCUUUUUAAUUUUUUUAUUUUGUUCAAUGAAUUUGAUAAAUGUUUAUUAGAAUUUAAACAUUCAUAUACAAAAAAUGUCUAUAUACUAUAAAUUUAGGUUGAUGCAGAAUAAGAAAAUAUAGAUAAAAAAUAAUAUUAAAUUGUAAUUGAUAAAUAUUAAAUGAAUCUAUCUUAUAAACAUUAAAAGUUGAAAAUUAUUAUUUUUAAAUAUUUUUUACUAAAAUAAAUAAAAGUAAAAAAAAAACCCUUCAAAUGUCAAAAACAUUGUAGUUUUAACAUAAGGUGUAAAAAAAAUUAAUUUAAUUAUGAAUGACAAAUGUCAAUUAAUUGAUCCAAUCAAUUAUCCUACUUUUAUAUAAUAAAUUGGAUGANAAUGAUGACUAUGUGCUAUUUAUAUUAAGAAAUGAAUAAACCUUCUUGACUUUUUUAUUUUGUUUAAUGAAUUGGAUGAAUAUUUAUUAAAAAUUAAACAUUUAAGUGUAAAAGAUAUAUUUAUAUACUAUAGAUUCAAGUUCAUGUAGAAUAAGAGGAUAUAAACAUAAAAUAAUAUUAAAUUAUAAUUUAUAAACAUUAAAUGAAUCUGUCUUCUAAGCAUUAAGAAAUUAUUAUUUUUUAAGUUUUUUUUAUUAAAAUAAAUAAAAGUAAAAAAGAAAAAAAAUCCUUCAAAUGUCAAAAACAACUUCUUUUUGACAUAAGGUGUAAAAAAAAUUAAUUCAAUAGAAAACGAAAGAUCAAAAAAAUAAAAAGGAAUUAUAAUUGAAUGACACUUGUCAUUCAAUUGAAGACUCAAUUGAAAAAAAUUGAAACAUCUUACUUUUAUAUAUAUUAUAGAUAUACACAGAGAGUAAAGUUUAUCAAAAUGUCUUGAGAAAGUUCAAGGAAAUUAAAUCCUCUGUUCCAAAAACAUAAAUUUUGUUUUAGUAUUUUUAAAUUAUUUUUUCAUUUUUUUGACAUUGAUAACAUUUAAUUUAUAGUUUUUUCAUUAAUUCUCAUAACAUUCAAAACAAAAAAAUAGUAUGAUAAAGAAAUGUUUAAAUGUCGAAUUAUAAGUGCAUAAACAAAAAUUAAAAUAUGAUUAUAAUAUUUGAUUCAUUAGUUGGUGUAUAAUUUUCUGUUUAAACAAUAUUUAAAAUUUUUUAAUUAAAAAACUUAAGAAUAUUAUUUUAAAAUUUUAAUCAAAUAACACAUUUUUUGUAAGUUUUUUGGAAAAAAAUCGCUUGACCAAUGUUAAUAACCACUGUUAGCAUUUUAAACAUGUGGAAUCACAGGACAAGAGUCUUAAAUAUAUACAUAAAUAAACAGUACUUUUUUCAUUGAUGUAAAAUGAUGAUGUGAAGCAAGACAUACCUUGCAAUGCCAUGCUACGUCACUCAUCAACAAAUACAAGUAGCCAUAUAUAUUCCAUCUUCUUCUAUCGAAUUUCACUUUUUGUUGAAACAGCCAUUAAUAAUUUGAUAAUUGAAGUUGUUGACAAUGUUCCUAAUUUCAUAUGUAUAUCGUCAAUGCAAAAUUUAAAAUAUAAGCCUCUCAACAAUAUGAGUAAAGACAUUAUAGAGAAAAUUGUAAGAAAUGACCUUCAUAGAAAGGUAACUUAAAAAAUGAUCAUCUCUAUAAUUUAAACUGUAUUUAACCAGUUUUUUGUAUUACUUAACAAUAAUACUCUUUAAAUAAUUUCAGACAAAUUAAAAUGGUUUCAAUUUUCUCUCUCCUGCCAUCCAAAUAAAAAUUUUAAAAUUAAAUAUCGAUUUCUCUUUUUGCUAAAAUAUGUUUAUUUCAUCAUUCAAUUCGCAGAUAUAACAUCAAACUCUUUCUUAUUUUGUUUUAUUUUUUUAGAUGGUGGAUCUUGGGGUUCUUAAGGGCGAUGAACAACGAUUUUGCUUUUUGCAAGUAGCGAUUUUGCUCAGGGAAAAAAAACAGUUAAAGUAUGUUUGAUGGGUUUUAUGGUGAUUCACGGUUUUGUUGUGUCUGAGAUUGGGAUGAUUGUUAAGCAUGUUUGUUAGGAAUUUUGAUUUUUUUUAUAAGAUUUUGAGUUGAAAUUGUUCAAAGAAUAUUUUGUAAAUAGGGUAUAUUUUAUUUUUGUAUAAGGGGAGUGAGCAAGAGCUUUCGAUAAGGAUAUAUUUUCUCUUGCUUUGGAGGUUAUGGAGUUUUGUAGCCUAUCUUUUAUGAAAUGCACAAUUUCGUGGCUUAGCAAAAAAAAAUAUGUGUUUUAGGUUAUUGAGUUUGUUGGUUUAUUUAUAGAACCCCAAAAUUGAGUUUACUGGUUUUUAGGUAUUGCGUGACUUAAUUAUCGUGUGACUAGUUUUUAGUCAUUACGUGAUUAAUUUUAGGCAUUACGUGACUAGUUUUUAUACAUUGCAUGACUGAUUUUUAAGCAAUGCAUAAGUCAUACAAUGCCUUACGAACUAGUCACGCAAUGCCUUACUAAAAAGUCACGCAAUACUUUACUAACAAGUCACGUAAUGCCUACUAACUAGUCACGCAAUGCCUACUAACUAGUCACGCAAUGCCUUAUCAGAAACUAGUCAUGGAAUGCCUUAUCAAAAACUAGUCAUGCAAUGCCCAAAGUCAGUCACGCAAUGUCUAUUAACUAGUCACGCAAUAACUUAUCAGAAACUAGUUAUGCAAUGUCUUAUCAAAAAUCAGUCACGUAAUGCUCAAAGUCAGUCACGCAAUACUUAAAAACUAGUCACAUAAUUCAUAAAAAUUAUAAAAACUAUGGAAUUCUAUUUAAUAAGAUCAAUAACUUCAAACGAUACACCAUAUUCUAUUUAAAAAUAUAAUAAACAAAUAUGAAUGCUCAAAAUGUUCGAAAGUUUUUUUUAUAUAUAAAAAAUCACUCUAAAAUGUUUAAAAAUGCUCACAAGUUUUUUUCGUGUAUUAAUAAUUACUAAAAAAUGUUCAAAAUACUUAAACGUUUUUUUUUCUGGUAAGAAAUACUCAAGAGAUAAAUAGUCUGUUGAGAAAAGCUAAAAAAAUGAGUUAGUUUGAGGCGUAAACCUAAACAUACUUGACCUGUUAAUAGAUUUCGGGUUGAGGCGCGGAACCUAGUUAAUGAGUCAGUUUCAUUAAAGAUAAUUUUGUUUAAUUUUUUUUUCUUGGCUAAAAAUAAAUAAAAUUAUAAGGAAAAUUAUUCUUAAAAACGCCUUAUACUUCAGGCCCAUUUAUAAAAAACACUUGAAAUUAUAUGUAUGCAUUUUAAUAUGGAAUUGAAGCAAUUUAUGUAUUUCGAAUUUUAUGUAAAGAAAUAAAUACGAAAGAAUAAAAAUUAAGAGAAAGUUGGUCAAAUUUUAUGUGGACUUUGCAUAAGGACAAAGAAAAACUACUUUAUAGAUGUUGCUUGGAUAAACUUGAAUAGAAAGAAAGAAAAAAUCAUUGAGCUUCCUAUUAAUGCAAGUGGCAAAAAAAUACUUGACAAACUUAACUUUAAUACAUAUCAUUGGCUUUAACGAGACCAAAUUAAAAUAAGAUUGAAUCAGAUAGAUGCCUUUAGGAAAAGCUAUUUAUGGCUGUAUUUGUUCGUUUUGGGAUUUCGUAAGUCAUGUGAUCGACCAAUAUGUAUAACAUAAAAUGUCCUUUCCUAAGGAAAUUCUAAUGCUCGGAGUCCAUCGGGGGCACAAGCGGCAAUGUAGAAUCUUUUGAACAUGCAAGUCUAUGAAAAGUAUUCUCAUAAUUAACCAAGAUAGCAAAUUAAAUUUAUUUAAUUUUCUUAUUAUUAAUAUAAAAAGUUGACAAGAAAGACGGGAAUGUUUUGUAAAAACACAAAAUGUUUUUAUUUAUUUAUUCUUUAUGUAAUAUUUAUAAAAUAUCGUUAAACAAUUUUUUGCAAAACAAAAUCUUUAAUCUAUUCCAAACAAUUGAAUUACAAAAUAAUAUGGCAUGCAAUAAUGCAUUAAUCAAAAUAAAAAUAUACCACGUGCUUAAUUUUUUUUUUUUUUUUGAAGAAUUACUAAUUGUCAAAGAUGUGAAAAAUAAAAAAUUGGCUCCACACUCCAAAGCUAAUAGCCGUGUUUAGACAGAUUAGGGUCCGGACCCCAGAGCAGCAGAGCUCGCCAUUCGCGCCAGUCCUGGCAAAAGCCCUGAGUGUUGAUUAAGACAGAAAUACCCAUCACAUUUAGGAGGGUUGGGUAUUGGACGUGGAGGCUUGUUUUUUGUCCACAAUCCAGAUAAAAUUAUUUUUUUUCCUUUCCUUUUUUUUUGUUACUUUUAAUAGAGAGAGCAAUUGCCUCUUGUCCCUUUCCCUAUCCCGUCCAAAGUCGGUUGCACGAAAAGAACAAGGCGAAGGAAAUUCCCGAUUCUCUAAAAUAGAAACAAGCAGGCAAGUUGCGUUUUAUUUUCUUGAAAAAAAUCUCAGUCUCCUGAAUUUCUAUGAAGCCAAAUGUGAAUUUUCAGUUCUUAGUGAUACGGUAAUUUUAUUUUAUCUUCAUCUCUGUUUUUAUUUAUUUUUUUUGAAAAAUACUGUUUUUUAUAUAUAAAACUGUAGCACUGUUGGUUUUUUUUCCCUUGAAGUUGGUGAAUUUCGAUCUGUUUGAUUCGACAGUGUGGACCAGCGAGCAAGCAAGAGAUGGAUAACGGAAUAGGAUUACAAACCCCACAAGCGUCCGGGACAAGUGGGUACAUCCAGACCAACAAGUUCUCUGUCUAGCCAAAGCCGGCCCGGAUGGCUGAAAAUGCCAGCCGAUUGGGGGCGGAUCAGUGUACAAUCAGCUGGAAGCCCGAUAAGGAUUUGCUUGAGCAUGAUCGCGAACGUUGGAUUGAGGUGAAGCUCGUGAUGCUUGAAGACGAGCUUGUUGAUCAAGCUUACCCUAGCUGUGAAGUUGGAGGAGGCCAGGAAGGCUUUGGAAGCCAAGGAAAAUGGCGAAUAGGAAGUUUUGAACAACAGGCUUCAGUAGCUUACUCGGGGUUUUUAGAUGUAGAGAUGACUGAUAAGAGAAAAGAAAACUGAUAGAAGCAUUUAGAUGUAUGUAAUCGGAGUAAUGGCUUUGACCUUCGUGAACAAAGUGCUCUAGCUAGAGAGGAAUGAAAGAAAUGGAAAAUAAAAAUGGUCAUAUAUAGUCUCGUAGACCUAGUGUUUGGUUUAAUUUUUUUUAAUUAAUUUAUUUUUUUUAAGUAAAAGUUAAAUUAAAUAUGAUAUUUUAAAUUUUUUUUUAAAAAAGUAAAAUUUUUUAAAAAUAAAAUUAAAAAAAGCUUAAAAGAAGAGUUUUUUUUUUAAUAUAAGAAAUUUUUAUUUUUAUUUUAAAAAUAUCUUUAUUUAUUAAAAAUAAUUACAAUAAUAACUUCUAUGAAAAUAAGAGAGAAAAGGAUUUGUCUAGUACAGCUGGAAGUUGAAGAAAUAUAGAAGAAGAGAAAGUAGUGGUAGCAAGUGAAGUAUAACAAUGAUUUCAACACUUCAAGACAUGGGGACUACGGUAAGGGUAUGGAACAGGAGGAAAGGAGCCAAGUCAAGAAGUCUGUCAGAUUAGAUACUGACUGUAAAAUCUGAAAUGGAUGGUAAAUCAUAUAGGAUGAAGAAUGACUGGGGUAAUAGAAUCAUUCUUAACAUUCAGCUGAUGUUACAUCGAGGAUGUUGAAUGUGAAGGCAGAUUUCACACAGAUAAGAAAGUAUGUCUUAGAGACUUUGCAAGUCAUGCAAGCCGUGGAAAGAUGAAGGGAAGCUUUUGAUGCCAGUUUAAUGAGUUAAAUCAUCUUCGCUUCUAUUAACACAUUCGAUCUUGUUUUGUGAUCUGAUGCAAAGUCAUGGAAGCUUGCUUGAACUCUGAAUUAAAUGAUUCCGAAGUCUUUCAUCCUUUGGGCCGCAGACGAAAUGGUCAUUUCGUGCUUUCUUUCUUUUCAUCCACCUUUUCGUUUUGUUUUGCGAGCCGUUUAAAGUGGAACGUAGGUCCUGUCCGUGUUGGUGGUCUUCGUUUUUUUGCCUGGCAUAUUGAAUGGCGGUUGCCAUAAUUUUUUUUUAUUGGUGGGAGAGCCGACCAAUUGUUUACGAGGCAGAUGGCAGAAAAGUUCACAAAUUGGGGGGAAAAAAAAUCAACUGUGUAACAGGGAAUGAAAGUGUCGCUGAAACCCUCUGUGAUGUUGCUCGAGCCCUUUUCUCAACAAAUCUCUGAAUCUCGAGUACAAACGUGGAAUUAGAGUAUUUUUAAGAGAGGUUAAAUAAAAAAAUUAAUAAAUUAAAAAGAAUUUUAUAUAUAAUUUAAUUAUUAUUUAUUUAAAAAAUUAAAUAAAAUUUAAAAAUAUAAAAAAUAUACAUUAAUAAUAAUGAUGAUGUCAUUUAUAUAUAUAUAUAUAUAUGAUUAAAUGAAUUAUAAAAAUAAUUUUUCUCAUUCUUUGAGUACUAGAGUUCAAAAAAAAUACAAAUUUUCAAACUAAAAUGAAUUAUCUUUUUACUUUUUGUGUCUUUAACUCUUUUUUUAUUUUUUAUUUACUUUUUAAAUUAUUAAUUAAUAUAUUAAGUUAUUGAAUUGAACUAUUGAGAUUUAAUACUUAAUGAGUUUGGAUUAGUAGAUUCACUUUUAUUUUUUAAAAUUUGCNAUAUGCUAAUCAUAAUGAUUCUAAUUUUAUCAAACAAUUUGUAGAAUAAAACAAAUAUAAAAAAUUAUUUUGAGAGUUAUUAUAAAUAAAUAUAAUAAAUAAAAUUAUAUUAAAAGAAAUACAAUUAUUUCAUUCUAUCAAUUUAUAUGUAUAUCCUUACUGCUUAAAGUUUGCAACAUACAUAUUAGAAUGCAUUGGUUAUUUUAAAUAAAAAAUAAUAUAUUGAUAAAAUUAUAAAAAAAUAGUGUAACCUUGUAACUUAUAUUUGAGAGUUAUAUAAUAAAUUAUUUAUUUUUAAAGAUUAAAAUUAUAAAAAAUAAAAUUCACUAACAGAAAAACAAAAAAAGUAAAAGAUAAAAUCCAUAUAUGACUUAAUAAAAAAUAAAAAAUAUAUAAUUGAUGGUUUGUAGAAAUUUGUAAAAAGAAAUCUAUAGAUAUUUAGAAUAUAUAAAUAAAUAGAAUAAAAAUAAACUUAAAAAAAAACUUUAAAAUUGAAUCAAAUAUAUAAAAUUAUUUUAUUAUUUAUAUUAAUUAUUAAAUAAUAUAUCAUUUUGAGAAGAUCAUUAAAAAAAUUUAUAUAGUAUGUAAAAAGAUUUUAAAAUUUUAGAGGGCAUGAUCCCGCAAGAAGGCUCCGCCCCUGCUUGAGCAGUGACCCAGUCACCAUUCCAGGUAGUAUUUUUUACGAUGGAUGGUGAUGGCAUCUAUUUUAUUCUCUUUCCAUCUCCUGGGUUCACUCUGUGCGGACGUUUAUGGAAACCUGAUAAUGAAUUACGUUACCGAUUAUGGAUUAAAACUUGGAAAGCAGGACUGAGUACUGACGCAAUCACAAAAUUCACAGUCUGGAUUAUGCAUGUGUCAAUAGAUAUGAUCAUAAGUGAAAGUGAGAUAUGACCCAGCAUUGCUCACCCGUCACCUCUGAAAUCACUUCAGGACAUAAUCUUCAAGCACAACAGGUGCAACAAUUUCGUUGUUCGCGCAUCCCCUGUAUUGCUUACUGGGGUCUACCAUCUACCCCAAAGACUGCUUACUCCCCUCUGGAUGGUGGGUAAUAGCAUAUGCCAAAACGGCAAUUACCAAUUUGCUAUCAGCUAAAGCUUGCAAAAAAGAUGACAGAGACAAAGGUUAUUGCCACCUUUGUCUUGAUCGGAAACCAGUGACAUGGAGAGGGCCCCUUUGAGAUUUUCACCAGUAAGCAGAAGUUAAAACAUUCUAUCCAUUUGUUUCUAAAACUUAGGAACUUUUGUCUUAUCCAUUCAACACAUAUGGGAAAAGAUUCAUACAAUCAGAUACACACACUUACAUCUGAUGCAUAUACUUAAAUUAAGCAGUCUGGUACAGAGUUGCUCCUAAAUAAUUUUUACACACAAGCAAUCACAUUAACUAUCAUAUAAAUGCAGCGUUUGGACAAUCUGUAUGAUAGGAAACCACAUUGUGGAGUACAACAUAAUCCAAGGUUUGGCCUUUAAUAUUGCCUAUUCUGCUGUAUUUAUGCACUGAACCCUUUCUGAACAGAGCUCCAAUGACCAGAAGGAAUGCUGACACAAGCUUGAGCUGAUGCCUCAGCCAUCUGCUCUGUCUGAAUUCCAGCAUUGCAGAUGUUUGCAAGGGAACGCAUGUGUUUCAUCCCAUACUGGGCUAGCGAUCCACAGUGUGUCUCAAAAGUUCUCACCUGUGUAGAUGAACAGAGCAUCUUCUUAAGUAGCAAGACAAAACAAAGCAAUGAAAGAGAGGCCAAGAAUCAAGAGUAUUACCAUUUUCUUAAGGCAUUUCCAGUCAUCAACAAGAGGUUGCCCAGCUGGCCGAACAGUCUUCAUAACUUCUGGGCCUUUUUCAAUUCCAAAUAAGAGCUUGCCAAUGAGUUUCAUACUGUUAUCUAUAUGCAUUCUAUGAGACAUAGCUUCAACAAACUGCUUUUGGGCUUCAAGCUUCCUAACAGAGCCAUCAGGUGCCUUGCGAUACUGCAAAGUAAAUAGGGAGAAAGCUCGAGUGAGAUGGGCUCUAGCACUAGCACGGUGGGUGCUUUCAUACAUAUAUGAAGUGUCACUAUCAAGUAAUUGACAACUUACAUUCAUUUAAAAUAACAGCAUUAUAGAGAAAGAAAAACCUAUAAUUAUUGACACCAAAGCAUCGAUUCCGAAGUCCCUCAUAUACUUUCUACAGUUGCAACCAUCUUGUGUUUUUCUUCAAAGUAUUUACACAAACAUAACUCCAGGCUCCUGCCUUUUUGCACCCCAUAAGAUUUGUAGGAUGUCCAUCUAAAUAUUCAAUCUAAGAAGAAGUCCCGUUCUUUAUACUUUCAGUAUUCCAAUUACUCUACUCAUUGGAUUUCCUCCUCACAGCUUUAGGUAUUACUAGAACAUGGUAAGGAAAUGCUUCCAUAAAACACCAAAUAGCACAAUAUCUUAUUUACAACACCCAUUAAAUGAGUUCAGAUAAUAGUGUCAUCUCCCAAUUACAGAUUGUAUAGUUAGUUAUACCAACGCCCAGGAACAGAUAGCUAACUUUUAACUACCAAAUUAAUGCCCAUUUCUGAAUGUCUCAUAUAUGCACUGAUGCCUCAUUCUAUUAAAAGAAUUGAUGCGAAAAAGCAAAUUCUUGAGUUUAAUAUAUACUGUGUAAUUUAAAAGAAAUAAGACACAAACCUUAUCCCAGAAAUGGACAAGAUCAGCAUCACGCUGGUUGACAGCUUUUGUAGGCGGCUGCAGGGAGUUCUCAUCAACAAAUGUGAAGUUAUCAUUUGCAGGAUUUGUACCCAAGUACACAAAGACAAUGUCCUUGCUAAGCCCUAUAUCACCAUAUUGCAUGACAUGAGAGCCAUAUGCAGAAUUACCAUUUAUCGUCCUCCUUUUCACCUGCAAAAGCCAGCAAAAUGAAAUUGCAUAUCAGAUCUAAACAGCAAACUAGAAGGUUUUUGGAACAUUAUAGUAAUGAAUAAAUGAGCACUUGAAUCUGAUGUCAGAGUAAUUUAGACCAUUGUCUGGAUAUAGUUUCGUACUUCUUAGAUCUCGAUGGUAAUAAAUAACUACUAUAGGCAAAAUGUAAUUGAAGUUUUCCAUUUUUCCCAGAAAGGAAAGGAAAAGGUUCAGGAAAAUAUGCUUUUUAAAAACCUUACCAGUUCAUACUGCUGGUGCAAAGUCUCUGUCUGCAAAUUAUGUAUGUCACUGCUCACAGAAACAUAAUAUUAAAAUUCACAGCAAGAGAGGUAAUUCGACAAAACGAAAAGUUUAUAAGCUGAUUCAGCUUGAAAAAUCUCUUAAAUUAGUCCAGAUCAUUACUAAGAGAAUUAAAAUUGCAUGUGUAUCACCCACAUCACCUCUGAUUUAGUUAUAUGAUUAGCAUGCUUUAAUCCAUACCUAUCCUCCAUCCAAGCAACACUGUACAAGUCUCCCAAGCAGGUUUCAUACUCUGGGGGAGGACUUGGGUACUCUCCAGGACAAUAGGUCCCCCAACUACUCUCUUCUGCGUUUGAUGCUGUGGUCGCAUAGAUAUUCAAACCCUCAGGAAGAAGACCCUCGAAGAUACUUCCUGACUCACAAGCUUCAAGAUAGAAUACCUACAAAGUUACAUGUAAACCAGAAAUUAAAAUGCCACUAAAGAGAUGGAGAACGCAUCCAGAAAUAAAAAGUUAAAACAACAGUUUACCAAGCUUUUAUAGGUCCCUGAAGCAUGCUUUUUCUUGAAAACUUCAAUCAGGUCAUCAGCAUAAAGAUAAGGAAAGGUAGGCAUCCCUGGAUUAACAACAAAUGAAUCAUUAGCAGCUUCAUAAACUAGUAUUAAGUUUCAAGCUGAAACCAUACUAGACUCAACUAUAAGCAAUUAAGUUAAGGUGCAAGGUACUCUGAAAGCCAUAAGACAUAAGUGCUAAUAAGAUACUACUAACCAAGCACUCCAGGACCCCCAUGGUCAGUGUAGUAUAUGAAGAUAUGAUCAUUGGGGCCACUAUCCACAACCUUUCCGCUACCCCCGGUCAGAGCAGUUUUGUUCCCGAGGAUGGCAGCCAAGAGGUUGUUAACCGUAACAUCUUCUCCAGUAUAAUCCUGCACCAAUUAGGGAACGGUGAGAAUCAGAAAUUGUACAAUCAACAAUUUUUCUCUCGAAAACAGUAACCAGGAAAAAAAACGAACAGACCUUUGGAACUCCCUCAUAAACAUCAUCGCCAUGAGGACUGUUAAUGAUGAUUCCAGGCCUGGGGUUUUCUUCAUUGAAAGCAAUGUCAUCAUACAUGAAGACAAUGAUAUUUUCGUCUUUGAGACCACCCUUUUUUAGGAGUUGAUAAGCAUGACAAACAUCAGCCUGAAACAAAUAUAAAUAUCCUUAGCAAAAAGUAAGACCCGUCAAUCGAUUAUCAAUCAACUAAUAAAUUCAGCAUAAAAUCUGAAAAAAAAAACUUAACACUCUUUUGAAGUGAAGUGGACAUUAAAAAAUGAUCACAAAACUUUUAAAAGAUCAUGCCAAACACGAAAUUUAGAAAUUGGGGAAGACUUUAUGACCUGGUGCCUGUAGUUCCAGUAGCCAUUAGAUCCAGCAAUCAGGACCGCCCAUCUCGUGCCCUCGACUUCAUCAUCGUUGCUCCCACGGAAGAACUUAGAAGCUUCCGAUGGUAACCGAAGGACGUCUCCGGUGAUAUCUCUACCGGCAGAGACGAUUCCAGUCAGAGACAAUAGGAGAAGAAUCACACCGGACACGAGACGGGUCAUGAUUUGGCCAACCUUUAAUCAAUUGGAAUUAGGAAAGAAAACUGAUUUUGAUGAUUAUGCAAAAAUUCAAGGCUUUGCAGCUAAGAUAUAAGUAGAAAUUUUGAAUAUAGUGAUUCUAUGUGGAGGGCCCCAGAGAAAUGUAUUUCAUGACCUUUUUUAUUGUAACGUGUGAUUGCAUCUGUGGCCGUCGACGAUGGGACCCGUUUCUAAUCGACGGCUUUGAUGAGAGUGAGGAAAAAAUGGGGUAGGAGAGAAGUUGAAUUUCGUGGGCUCUGUGGGGGCCACGGAGUCGACCAUUUUAUUACGUAAUUGUGUCCUAUUGGCUGGUUAUUCCCGGAGAAAGAAAACUCAAAAACUCCAAUUUUCUUGCCAAAAGGAUUAAGGAUUUUUGUUAAUAAUAGUUGUAAAUUAUAGUUAAUUUAAUUUUUAUAUUUUUUUCAAAUAAUUUUUUAUAAAGAAAAUAAUUAAAUUAUUAUUAAUUAAAAUAUCAUGUAUUAUUUUAUAUUCACAUGAUAUUAAUAUAUAAAAAUGUUAUCAUAUAAAAUUAUAUCAUAUAGUUAUGUUAUCAUAUAAUAUUAUCAUAUCACAUAUUAUUUAUUAUAACAUAUUUAUAUACUAUGUCAAUGUUAUGUGAUUUUGCAAUACAAGUGAUUUUUUAAUUAAUAUCAAUUAAUCAAUUAUUAAUUAUAAUAAUUUAUUUAAUUUAAAAUAAAAAUAUAAUAAUUUGAUUAAAUAUAAUAAAAUAAUACAAAUUUGUUAAAAUAUUUUUGAAUAAUUAAGUGACAUUUUUAUAUAUUAUAUCAAAUAUAUUUGUAUUAAAUAUUAUAAUUUAUAUUAAUAAAAUUAAAUUAUUUUUGUUACUUAAUAUUUAAAUGGUAGUUUUAGGACAAUAGUAAACAAAAUCCAAAUAAUUAGGACUCUUUUUUAGAUUAUUUUAAGUCACUACUUAUUCGGUUCUCCUUUUGCUUAUCCCCAUCGGGGAAUCUCUCCCCCCCUUAUCUUGAAACGAAGGCAUGGACUUGAAUCUUUGGGAAUCAAUUAAUAGUGACAUAAAGUAGGAAUCCGUGCCGUACACUCUUCCUCCACUAGGGUUCAUUUCUCUUGCACAUGGAGGAUUGAUUUAGACAGCCCCCUUGUAUUUAUUAUUGAAUUAUAUCGGUACAAAGCCCAUGCAGAGCUAAUCAGAGUGUUAGUGAUGGAUCGUUUCAUGAAUGAUGAUGGUUAAGUAUACGUUUUAUUUGAGUAAUAUAUAAUUCAAAGCCAAUUACCAACGGCUGUCAUUGUCGCCAAACUUCAUUGCUUUUGUUUUCGAAGCCAUUAUUAUACCUUCUUUUUUUGGGGUGGGGGUGGGAAUGAAAGCCAUUAUCAUACUUUAAUAUCAGACAUGGGUGAAGUUCCAAGUCGGGCCAAGGGGUAGUUUCGUUGAUGAUAAUUCCAAAUCAAGGUUCAUUUUCAUGGCUAGCUAGCACUUGAUUGCACAAAAGGAUCAUGUUAUCCGUUACGGAGUAGCAAUUGGUGUAGUACAGUGUCAGCUUCCAAGGAUUUGCAAUGGGUAUAAAUCGAUAUGAAUUGUACUCGUAAGAUUGAUUCUUAAAGAAAUAAAGAUAAGAAUAACGUGGCCGCGACACGCUUUAUUUUCUAAAGAAAGGAAAAGAAUUUGUUGGGAGUAAAAUAAUGUUUGGAGGGCUACUCCAUCGCUAUUUACGCAAUAACAUAAUGUCAAAUUUGUGGAAAAAUGCGGGUAUUACUAUUAUUUGCAUGAUGCAAGUUCGAUGAGUAAAGAAUUCCUCUCUAUGGUGUCUUGUGUGCACAAUAUUAAUAUAUUAUUAUUGUUAUAAAAUAUAAUUUGAAAAAAUAAUUAUAAGAGAAAAAAUUAAUAAAAUAAAAAAUUUAGAAAUAAAGUGAGGAGUCUAUUUAUAAGUUAAUAACUUUUUAAAUUAAUUCAAUUUAUAUCUAAAUCUAGAUAUAUAUAGUCAAAUUUAAAUAUUUAAAUUGGAUUAUACUUAUUAUGAAAGUUUGAUACUGUUUAACUUUUUUUUUUUAUAAUUAAGAAAGGGAAUUCGAACCUUACUCUUUAAGCAGGAAAAUUAUACACUAACCAGAUAAAUACUCAGGUGCCAUAACUUGAUUUAGACUUAUUGGAUUAUAAGAUAAUGGAUAUUUAUAUAUAUAUAUUUUAUAACAAUUACUCAAUUAUAAAUUAUUUUAAUUUUUUAAAUAAUUUUUUUAAAAUUUAUAAAUAUUUAUUUUAAAAAAGUUUUUAACUUUUAAAUUUAUUAAUUAAAUAAUAUUGACAAAAUAUCAAGUAGGAACUUUAUAAAAAAAAUGGACUUAUAAACAUAGCCCAAGCGUGGCCCAGAGCCUUUUUCUCAUAUUUUAUUCAUUUGGGCUAAAUCGACAUUAUUCCGACAAAAGAAUGGUCCUUAGUUGAACUAAUUACGCUUGCCCGGUUAAUGCCCCCGAAUGACAAAAUCUAUCCAUCCAGCCCAAUAUAACCGCCUCUUGAGCUCUCUCGCCACAGAGCAAAACUCAAACGACCACACCAUCACUGAAAGCUCGCCGACGAGCUUUUGAUUUUACAUUUAAAGGUUUAUGAAGUAAGGUUUUGGGAUUUGUUUCUUUAGAUUUUUUUGAUGGAGGAAGGAGAGAGCAUAUUGGAAGCGAUUUACGAAGAGGACGGUUUAGGGGAUGGCGAAGAUGUUGAGAUGCUUGAUGUAGAAGAAGGAGAGCUCGUGGAUAAUAACUCGGGAAAUUAUCGGGAAAAAGGCGGCGUUGCAGAUGCAAACAUUGAAAGCGAAGGGUCCCAAAGUAAAAACAAAAAGCGCAGAGCAAAUAAGAAGAAGAACAGGAAAAAGAAGGGUGGUUCGGGGCCUAAAGCUUUUGAUAUAAACAGGUAAUAUCUGUGAAGAUUAAUUUUUCAUUGCAUCAAUAAAUAAACUAAAUAAACAGAAUAUAUAUUUGGGUAAGUUUGGUUUUUGAGAAGUUGUUAAAUAUGGGGAUUUGCAGGUUUGUGUUGGAUACUUGUAGACGGUUAAAAGAGAGGAAGUCGUAUAUGGUAUACACUGCUGUGGGAUGUUUGGGGGUUUCUGCAUUAAGUGAUCUUGUUAGAGAGGUAUUUUUGAUUUUAUCCCUUUCAAGCUAUUUAUUUAUUUUAUUUAAUUUUUUGUGUGCUUAAUGUAUAAUUCAAUGUUGGCUUCACCAUAAAUAAAUUGUUUAAUUUAUAAAAAUUACUAGUGAAAAUUUAUAUGUGCUUUGAAGUUCUGAGAUGUUUGAAACUUGUUGAGAUUAUGCUGUUGUUUCUUCAGAAAAUCUGUAUGAAUAAUGAUAGAUAAUUUGGUUAGGCUGUGUUAAUGUUGCCUGUUCUAUAAUGCUCUGACAAGCUUAGUUGAGUUUGGUUCAUGUCACAUUCUCUAGUUGGGAUUAUGGUGCAUUAGUAACUUCUCUUUCAGAAGUUAAUAAGUUUGUGCUUGGUAACAUUUCUGCCUUGCACCUUUUUGAGAGCUCCUCAGCUAAUUUCGGUCUUGCCUGUUGCUGUCAUCUUUGUGGGUACCUCUAAAUUCUGAGUAACCUAAGCUUACCCCUUUUACAUUGGCCUCUAUUUUUUUCCCAAUAAGAUCAGUGCUUUUAAAAAUAAAUCACUGCCAGUAGUGAACGAGAAAAUAUUCAUUUCGUUGUUAAGGAAAGGUGAGAAUGUGGGUUGCACUUCAUUUUGAGUCUGCCUAGGCUGCCGAUGCUUGACUACUCUUUUUAAAAACAAUUCCACGCUUAACAUCUGAUGGUCUACAAUGUUUUCCCUACCAUUGCUGAUUUUUUUUACAGAUGUCAUUUGCUACUUCAAAACCUGUGCUCUGAGCUGAGAUACUUAAUAAGUUCCUUUUGAUAUAGGUUGUUACCAAUUUUUCUUUCUUCGACUUGCACAACUCAGCGUUGAUGUAAAAUAUUUUAUCAAGUAGGUUUUCAGAUAUCAAACAGCCAACUAUAAGAAUGGAUAUGUUCAAAAUAAAAGACAGCCCUUCAUGUCUAAUUAUCCAGAUGGUAGGAUCAUGAGAAAAUAUUGAAGCUUCAUGUCUAAUUCAUUUUUCCAUGCCACAUAAGAAGUGAUAUGUUAAAAGUCUUCGCCUUGGCUAUUAUUGCUUGACCUGUAUACGAGGAAUAAUUGGUAGAAAUUCUUGAGUUGUUCUUCGUUUUGUCCUUUUACAUCUAUGGCAACCCUACGCUUUUUGUUGUAUGUUCAGUAAUUGCUUAAUGUUACAAUGAUGAUUUUUGUAGUUUAAGCUUUGAGCUAACAAUAUUUUCAUAUCUGCUACUGUGCUAUCCACCCCCUUACUUUGUUCCUUUUUUUCCUUCAUUCUUUUUCUUUCCACACCCAAGAUCUUUUGCAUUUCCUUUUCCCUGCUAUUGUUCCUACUGGGAUGUCUAUGAUGAAACAUAAAAUUCUCAGGUGGAUGCAAUUCAAUCUUGUGGAGGUCAGAUGACUGCUGAUGGAAGACGUUGUCGGACAGGUGGUGGGAUAUUAUGGAAUAUCAUAAAAGCACGGGAACCGGCUGCUUAUUGUGAGAUAAUGAAAAAAGCCAAGGACUUUGAGGUUCGUACUUAUGGGCACAUAAAGUGCUAUUCUUUUCCUUUUGGUCAGUUGAAAGUAUACAUGUCUGCAUGAGAACUUUCAAUGAUCACCUAUCAAUUGGAUGUCUAAAUAAUGUUGUUAGGAGCCAGUUGGUUGGUUCUUCGUAAGCUCAGCUUAUAUAGAAUCUAUUUCUUUGAUCAACACUCAAUAGUCUGUGACAGUUUUAUGUGGCUUGGUAGUUUUGCUUAGAAAUCUGAUUGCAGUAGUGAUAAGUUCUUUUUUAUGUGAGAAUUUAGUAUGAUUCAAGCAACUCUUGUAUUUGAUGUAAUAGUCUUUGAACUGGAUUCAUGAUGCCAUUCCAAUGCAAUUCAUAAGCCUCUUGGUUCUUGUAUAAUGUUAUGGCCCAUUCGAUUCUUUUUAUUCUUCAAAUAGUAUUCUAAAAUAUGUGAGUAAUGGUAUUUAUGUUUUUGCAGAAGCAAUUUAAGCAACAAAAUGUCAGCCAAGUACUGGCACAGAACAGAGAGAGCUCUUGUCAAGGAACGGCCUGUACACUCACUAAUGGAACUUCAGCAAGCGUUCCAGAAGAUUCUCAACUAAUACCUCAAAACCUGAAAGAGCAGUUCAGUGCUGAAGGAACACGCAAAUCUGUUCAUGAGAGGAUUAGGGUCCCUGUUUCUUAUGAUGACCUUCUAGGAGAGGAACAAAAAGAAGAGAAAUAUAAUCAUUGAAAAAUUGGAAAUUUUGCAAAUUUUGCUUGGCAUCAAUUUUGCAUGCAUAGAUUUAUUGAUACAAGGGAUUUUAUAUUGUUUGGGAGGCUACAGAUGAGAUCUUUUUCCCCACUUAAUGAGAGAAUUACCCAGUUCAAUAGUUGUUCUUGAAUCAAAAUGCCAUUUUAGAAGUAAAAAUUUACGAUUACUCUUAUUCAAUAUCCUUUUUCUGGGUCAUCUUAUUGGUACUUGUUUCUCAUCUUCUCUUUGCUUCAAAUGGAGGUCGGAUUUAGAUUAUGGGUCCAGUAGAGAGUUCCAUCGGAAGAUAUUGCUUUGAACUUUAAAAUCUGAAACUAACCAAAUACUGGCUGGGAGGGGAUCAGUGGUUUUGAGCGUUGGCUGGUAUAAACAGGAUGUUUGUGUUGACAUUUUCCUAGGUGUUUUACAAGUAAAAGAGGAAAACAUUGAUUGAUGUCACUCUAAGCUUAGAUAGUCUCAUGUUUGUGGUAUGUCUGUCGAUAGUCGCUAAAGCAGUCCAUGUCGCUAUUAGCCAAACCCAAAACAAAACGAUGAGUACUUUGGAUCUUCCAUCAUUGAAGGAAUCUGGUUUUAUCAUUAAAACCUCUUCUCACCUCCAUUCCUGUACCGUACAUGACUUUGAGUCAGCCAUUAGUUUUAGAUCAUUGAUCAAAUAUGAAACUUACUGUUCCAUACAUUUUGUUUUCUUGGCAAAGUAAUGGAUACAACGUGGCUACAAUCGUUAGGACCAAGACCUUAAUCUUAGAAUAGUUAACGGUGGCUAACAAAGUCACAAGAGUAUCUAAAAACUUCUGCGACAAAGGUCAUCACAAAAUUAACAGAGGAGGCCGACCAACUAGUUAAGUCUCCGCAGGCAAGAAACUUGGAUGUUGCUUCUUUUGGAGGAAGAGGCAAACCACGGUACAGUCAUCUACUUUUGAAGAUGGAAACUUCUUCUUCCAUGAGGCGGUAGCUGCCUCCACCACUGCUCUUGCGGCUGCCUGCUCACUCUCUGCCUCCAUCACUAUGGAGGCAACUUGGCUGUUGUUUAGCACAUCCCAUACCUAAAGAAAACAGGCCAAAAACAAAUGUUCAGGUUCAUUCUUAUAGUGGAAACUUUCUACAAAGCAUUAUUAUUUCAGUGAAAUGGGCUGUACCCCAUCUGUUGCAAGAACAAUGAAUUGAUCGUUUGGAGUAAGGUGGUGAUAGAAGACGUCAGGGAUUGCGAUUAUUCCAUGGUUCUUGAGUAGGAAGUCUCCAAAAGCUCGAGACAUGGCCAGGCCUGGAGAAUCUUCAUGGGGCAGCCACACACGCUGGAUAUGCGAUUCUUCCUUUAAAGCAAGUACCCUUCCAUUGCAACUCCUGAUUCGUUCGGCUUCACCUGUAUCAAAAUAAUUGAUCAACCACUACAAACAAAAAGGAUGGCUUGAAGAAAAAAAUAAUACACCUAUAGUAUAUGCUCUUCAGUCCUGCUAGGAAAACUUUAUUUUGACGGUCUGUCCUUCGGAAUGACUUGUAGCAAGAAAGAUGCUGUGAGCUGUGAUUGCUCAAUAUACCUUAGAAUACAUGUUGUUUUUCUUCCUGGGGUAUACUAAGAGUUGGCAAAGAAUUUAGUCGUAUAAGAAGAACAAAUAUUUUUCAGAAGAUUCAGAGGAAGGGCUAUUUUUUUGCUUUACCAGAAAGGAAAAGGGUCUUACUGGGUAAACCAGGCUUCAAAUCAGUAGAUAAUUGAACAGCCUUGAUACCAUUUGCUGUUGUUGUUCCUAGAAUCGCCCUUGAAUCGCCAAGGUUUGCAAUCAUAAGAUCUUCACCCUUUGAAAAACCAAUAGGAAAUAAUAAAUAAAGAUGGGACUUCGAUUUCCAAACAGUUUCUACAAAUCACGAACGCUAGCUUUCUUACCUGUCUCACAACAACAACAGCAGUGGUUCCACUGGUAGAGCAGUCCAAAUUCUCUUGAAGCUUAAUCUCCUUGUCCAUCACCUUGAAGGCACUGAUGCAAGCCUCUUGCCAUUUAAGCAAAUCCUUGCUUAGUACCGAUCCACUCUUUAAAUCUGCUACUUGAUCCUGGAAAUUCUUGUGAUCUGCUGAUGUCUUCAUCGUUGCUAGAGCAUUCUUUUGGCUUAGCAAGAGUGAUGGCAACCGGUUUCUCACCUUAUUGCUCACUAUGUGACCAUUCUUUCCAUGACCAUCAAAAACUCCACAAAGAGCUCCACCUUCCAUUCCAUAGUCCUUUAAGAACACAAACACAUUAUAUACUCAGUUUGAUCCCAUCUCAAUUCGACCUAUUAAUUCCUUUUUGAUUAACAAAAUAAACCAACUAUCAUGUUUAAAACUGCCAUAAUAUAACUAAGGAGUAGCAGUGGCAAACCUGAUAAAGGAUGGCAGCAUCCUGUUUCAGUCCUUUGCUUCCCUGCCUAGAGUAAAGAGAGCCAAGUCCCUGAAUUCCUAUAGAAGCAAUGUUUUCUGCCAAGUAGACAACAUUUUCCUGGCAGUCUUCAGCCUCAUGAAUCUCUGAAGAUGCAACGGAUAUGCAGAUUCCCAUCUCAAACUGAAUACAAAGAAUUUUCUUAUUCUCCACCCAGAGUCACCGCCACCUUAUUAAAUUCCGAUGACUUGUGGAAACAGUCCCCUCAAUCAUGUAUUUAAGGACUCCUACAAUGCGCAUGUUAGCAAGAUAAUAAUUAUAUAUAGCGGCACAAGUGGCUCCCAGUGACCUGAAAGCACACUCCAAUUCAUUAAUAAAUUGUUUCUUAAUUAAUUGUUGAGUAUUAUUAUAGGCUACCCCAAGAUUCACUUAAAGAGGCAUAUGAGGUGUGUUCUUGCAAAGAUUAGUAUCUUGACAAGACAUUCAAACUCUAGCCUCUCACGUACACAAGGAAAUUUCCUCCUCCUUGCCUCAAAUACUUUGUAAAUAGCUCUUAGACAUAUUUGUGGAAUACAUAUCACAUGAUUUACAAGCCCCUAAGGUUACAUUUCAUGAAAUCCCAAUGAACAAUGGAUGAACUGUGUGACCCAGAGGGCUCAUGGAAGCCUAUGUUUAUAAAAAUCAAAGGUAAAAUGGACGGUUGGUCCCUUCCAUAAAGUAAAAAAGGAAGGGAUGGUUGACACUUGACCAAGCAUAUGUACUUUACAGGGGAAAAAGACUGUAUCCAUGGCCAAAGGAAUCAGUUUUAACAUUAACUCAACAGCUUUCAGACAGAAUUAUAAAAAGAUGCAUCAAAAUGUUGGUCAACUCUUAAAAAGAAAAAACAAAUAAUUAAGCUAUUGAAAGAAGUUUAAUGCUACCCUCAAGAGCGCGUAAUCAUGGUUCAUUAAAGUCUGCCAAGCAUGCACAAGUUAAGGGAAAGGACUUGUUUGAGGUACGUCAGGCUGAUUCAUUGCUUAGUCUGAUAGAGUUGAUCAUAAGAUCAUAACCGUACAAACUGUGGACUUUUCUUGCAGAUAGUUUAAAACUUGGUUGAUUAUCCAAGUUGACUUUUUAUUAACAGACAAUUAUUCAAAUGGAUGGGUCCCUUUCCGAAUUGGUUGGAUUUUGUUUAUGCUAUGCCAUUGGAAACCCACGCAGGGAUCUCAAUGAGCAAACAUGCCGUGUAGUUUUGGCAGAAGCAGCUGGAAUUGAAAAAGAAACAGUCUUUUUAUUAUUUUAUAAAGUCACAAAUAAGAAUUGAAACUAGAAAACUUAGAAGUUUGAUUAGUGGCAACAAGAUAAUAAUAAUAAAAUUCUAAUAACAUUUGCUCUAUUAAUUUUUUUCACAUAAUACUUGACAAAAUUUAAAUAAAUUUUUAUUUUUUUAUGAUAUUCAAUCAAAUUUUCAUUUUUAUAUUAAAUUAAGACCUAUAUGACUAAUAAUUGAUUAAUUAUUAUUAAUUAAAAUAUCAUUUGUUAUUUUAUACACAUGUGAUACUAAUAUGAUGUUGAUGUGGAUGGUGAAAUAUCACAUAAUUAUAUUAUCAUGUUAUAUCAUCAUCUAACAUAUUAUUAUGCCAUGUCAAUGUUAUGUAGUAAAAAAUAACAAGUGACAUCUUGAUUAACAUCCGUUAAUCAAUUAUUAAUUAUAAAAAUUUAUUUGAUUUAAAUUAAAAAGUAUAAAGAUUUGAUUAAAUAUAAAAUAAAAUAAAAGUUUAUAUAAAUUUUCUUAAAUGAUGCAUAAAUUUUUUAAAGUAUUUUACCUUCCUUUAAAAAAAAAAAAAAGAACAAAUAUCCUUACACAAAUGGUAAAGGUUGAUUGGCUAUGUGUUAUUUUUGUCCUUUAGAUUUCUCCAAUUCAUUAAAUCAAAGGGAUGAGAAGAGUAAUAGCUUCUUAUAAUUUCAGAUUGUUUAGUUGUUUACAUGAAGGAUGAAAUCUACUAGAAUAGAGUAAUCAGAUAAUGAUGCCGACUCCCCUUCCUCCAAGGAACCAUUGACUGCAUUUUAACAAUUAUUAGCGUUGAAUCUAUCUGAUUCUUAUUCUUUAAAGAUCAAUAAUUGAUUCCAAGUUAGUAUUCGAAUUACAUAGAGAAACAAAAGCCCACCAGAUUUCUACUACUUUGAGUUUUUCAUUUUUUGUUGGCCGAAACUGAAUAAUCUAUGCCCUGAUUGGCAAAUGUAGCAGACUGGAAGCCUAUGAACACGCGUUAAUGAUGACACGGGUGAACAUAAUCCCAACAUUUUGAUCCAAGCCAUACACUUUUAUAAGCACGCUUCGUUCUUUGUCUAGUCAAAUAAACCCAUCCUUCUCCCAAACUCCGUACAGGUCAGACUUCCAUUUUUCCUUUUCCCCAAUGUUUUGCAUCAGUGGUUUGGAUAGCCCAGGAAUCUUAUCAGAUAAGAAACUUUUAUACAAUAACAUUAUACUAAUUCUUUAAUGGAAAAACAUUUGUUAUCAAAUGAAAUGCUUGGAAACCUUGAACUUUCCAGAUAAGAUUCCUUCUACAAUCAAAACCAAUGUAUUAGGAUUAGGCAUGCUAGAAUAAUAGAACACUUGGCAUGCAUUAAAUCAAUGGUUAUAAGCUUAUGCACCCCUUACGUGGACCAGUUAAUGUGCAGUUUGCAGCCAAAUGUUGGAUCAAAGGUCUUUGCAUCUGGUGCUCUUGGACAAGCCUUGUCUGGUGUGCCUGUGUAAGUAAAGGAUCAAGGAGAGUUUAUUACUAAAAAAAUGCUAAAAGAAAUGCUCCUGCGGCUGCCUCUGACAUGUUAAGAAAAUUCGCAUUGUCAUAUACAUUGAUCCAUAACAAUAACAAGUAUGAUUGAUGAACAUAGCGGUCGAUAUGACAAGGAAGCAUCUUCCUUCAAGAAGCUGAAAUAUAAAAAGUUUAACAUAUCCCCCAGAUUGGAUGGAUGACCAUUUACUGUGUAGGUGUAAGAUAAUGAUAUACUGAAUCAUAUAUUAAAUGAAACAGUUUCAAAAACACACACAGAAAGGGUUUAAUCUGUACAGAAUGUUUACAGAAGAUAAAUAGGUCAUCUAGUCCAUGUAUCUUAUUUCCAGCACAUCCAGAAAUCAUACUGGUAAAACCCAAGGAUCGAAGCAGCAUCGAAAUUCGGUGGUUAAUAUUCUCACUGGCUGGUGGAUAUAAGAACACUAUCUUCACCAUUUCCUGAUUCAGCUGACUUCUUCAUAAGAGGCUUGGGAAUAUCACAGUCGUCUUGAGGGCAACGCUGUUGAGGGUGAGACAACAACAUAGACAUGAAACGGAAGAGAGUACGCGGUAGACCAUGUCCACUCUCAUGGAUGUAUCCUUCAUACUCGCUGACAUGUUCAAGCGCAUCAACAAGUGCAUCAUAGACCACCUGGGGACAGUUAUCUGGUCCAGGCUUGUCGUGGAGGUACAUCACAUCCAAAGUGAAGAGUUUCUGGUUAACAGGCCAUUGAUGCUGGGGCCGUAUCGAUGAUCUGCAGUAUAUAAGAAUCUAAGAGACCAGCAAAAUAUCACACCAUGUGUCAGAAUUACUAAGGAAGAAUGAGGAAAAAGAAACAUUAAUAUAUUUCAACUCUAGGAUGCACAUACCAAAGGUUCAUAACUUAAUCUUUACAAGAAAUGGGAAUCAUUCCUAGAAAUUCAUUAAACAAAGGAUGCCUUGAAAACAAAAACAACAUCUAAGCAGGUGUAGAUAAUGAAUUCUACCAAUAAUUAUCAAAGAUAAAUUACUGAGGCAUAACCUAAUUGGUAGCGACACUUAGAAAAGGAGGUCCCGAGUUCCAAUCCUUUCCCCAACUUAACCAUAAUAACAAUGAUAAAGAGGAAAAGAAAUGGAUACUGACCACUCUUAAAAUCCGGUUCUGUGCACGAGAUUUCUUUGCUUCAUGAGCUGCUAAGCGGAAUAAAUUGGUGAGAUCAGCUUGGCCAGAAGAGACGGUAGUAGCCGAGAGUGCCCGAACAGCAGCAAUGGUAGACUCAACAUCACUGCUGAACUCUUUUCUAAGCUGAAAAAUCACAGGUAAUCAAAAAGAAAUAAAAAUUUAUAAAUAAAUAACUUUCAAGUCCUUUUUCGAAUUCAUGAAAUGCUAGACUACUUCCUUCUGUUUCCCACAUUUCCAAUCAAUCUUAAAAUAAAAUUAAAGACAACAAAAGGAGAAAGGGAAAAAUACCCAAGAGGCGGAUUUGGACAGUGUGGCGAAAGCGAAGCGGUGAUCGGGGUUGAUAGAGAGUUUGGAGUUGACGAAGAGAAGGAUGGCCUGCCUUAUGGAAUCCAAUCUGGUGAUUCCCGCUGUUUUCAUCUCAACAAGCGACUCUGCGUCCACGUCCACGCAAAAUAUUAUGUCCUCGUUGCUUUUUCGUGUUGGUUUCAGAGUGUAACGCCCUGUUCCACCCACCGAGGCGUCUCCUUCGACUCCUUCCAUUUUCAUUUUCCCUCGAUUUCCUUCCUUCGGGAGAGAAGACAUAGCAACCUACCAAGGGGCGGGACGGAGGGGAAGAGAAGAGGAAAGGAAAUUGCCAUAUAGACCAUCGAAACGGUGCGUUUUUACUCUAACAACUUCAACGGCGUCGUUCUAGGGUGGACAAAAAAGGAAAGUAAAGGUCGGAGAAACGGUGCGUUUUUGCAGCAUGUUUUCGUUCCUGUUUGGCUGCUUCUCGAGUGUUCCCGUUUUGUUUCUUUUUGGUUUUUGCUUCUUGGCUUCGUUUGGCUGCGAAAGUGAGAGAGAUCGGAGAGAAGGCGAAAAUGGCGUGUACGCAUGACCACAGCUGCGAAGAUCACGAUUGUUCUUCUAAUUGGUCUCUUUACAAGCACAUCGACCUUUCCAAGGUUGUUUCUCCUUUUUUUUUUGAAAUAUAUUGAAGAUUCAACCUAUUCAUUACUGAUUUUUCUUGUGUUUUUUCAUAAGUGGAUUUUGGUUUUCCCUGAUUGAAUGUUUAAGUAUAAUUUCUAUUCAUUUUUCCACUCUCCAAUUUUAAUGAAUUGACAUGGAGUAUUACUUUCGUUUCUUGGAAUUUUGGUUACCGUUAAGGUGACUGCUCUAAAUGAGGCUAAUCCAGGAAGUGUUAAAUCGGUGUUUAAAGCUUGGGAGGAGCGAUUGAAUUCUUCUGGGGUAAAUUUUUAUUAUUUUUUAAUUAAAUGUACUUUUAUCUUUCUUAUAUCAUGCAUCAGUUCUUUUCUUUGUUGAAACAAAUGAAUAUAUAUAUUGUUCAUGUUUGUGUUAGCAUGCUUUUGGGAGAAUUUUGAAUUUUGCAUCGAAGUAUUUGUCAAGUUCAUGGUAUGUGAAGCUUAAUGUGUGGUUUUUAAUCGUGGCAGGAACACUUGGAAAGCAAUGAGGGUGAUCCUGAGCUACUUGUUUACAUCCCGUAUGUGCCUGUUUCUAGUUGUUUAGUGGUUUACCUGAAAGUUUGCUUUGAAUGUUCAUGCCUUUACUUGCUUGAAUUUACAAACCACCAUCUAUGUCUGUGGUCUUGUUGAUAUGACAAGUGACUACCUUAAAUUUUUUGUGCUUGAGCUAAGUGAAGGAAGCAUGCUGGUUUGAAUAUCAAGGAUGACAAAUUCAUAAUUUGUAUUAUAUUGAUAAAUAGUAUUCCAUUUUAUUUUUACCCAGUGUACUGGUCUCAUUUUUCUGCUUUGUUAUACAUUAUUAUAGCUAUAUUCCUUGCUUGCUAACUCAAGGUAUGCUUGAAAUGUAUAUCAUGAAUCAAGUGGUCGACUCUAUUUGUUCAUUUUCUUGGUUUGGAAUUUUAAUGUUCCAGAAGUGCUUGUCUAACUUGUCAUGUACUUAUUGGGUUUGUUCUAAUAGAUUUACAUCAGAUGUGAAGAUCAAGAGCAUAUCAGUUGUUGGUGGUGCUGAUGGAACAAGUCCUUCUAAGAUGAGAGUGUAAGUUCUUGUGACUGACCUAGUGGUUUCAUUGCUUCUGAAAUGGUUAAUCUGCAGUUAGAAAGUGAAGGUUAAUAUUCAACGUUAAUUGCAGUGAUGAUAUUUUAACUGCUUUCACACUGUAGAUAUCUUUGAUUUUGGUGUUUCCAAAGAACAUAAGAUUGUAGUGUUUUGAAAGGGGCGUCUGCUGUCCAUAUUGCUUUCUUCUUAGUUAUUUUCUUUUGCAAUUCUUCCUAAUAAAAGGUUUUUUUUUUUUUUCAAUUUGUCUUGAUUAGGUUUAUCAAUCGAGAAGUCAUUGACUUCUCUGAUGCUCAAGGCAUGCAACCUGUGCAGGUAUUGGUUGUCUUGCCUUGCCAUGGAGUAUACUGAUAAAUUGAGCUAAGUUGACCUAAAACGUGUAUGUUUUCUUUGAAGGAGUGGGAUUUGGUUGAAAAUUUGCAAGGAGUGUUAGAAUAUCAGACAAGGUAGGUACUUAUCCCUCCAAACAGUGUUAUCUUUGUUUUAAGAACACUUCUCAUCCAUUUGUGAGCAGUUAACUUGCUUAAUUUGUCGUGCAUGAAUACUUGUUCCACAUAGCCCUGAUCCACUGACAAUGUUGAGUUGAUGCUAAUAAAAGAAUUCAUAAAAUAGCAUACCUCUGUCUCAUCUUCUCUGUUAUCUAGUUUCUUUCUUUCUGAUGUUUAUUAACAUGUAUAUCUAGGUAUUCAAAAUUUCAAAGUGUGGCAAGUAUUACGUUGCAUUUCCCUGAGAGUUUUGGUGGUGACACUACUCAAAUUCACUACAUUGGUUUCAAAGGUGAAGCCACACAGGUACUUCCCUUGACAAAGCUCGGACCCACUGGUGGUGUUGAUUCUUUUCUGUUCCCUGUAAAAAUUGGGUGCUUCAAAUGAUCUAGUUUCCUGAAUUUGACUAACAGUUGAAGAGGGAUGUUGUUGCAACAAUUGUUUAUGAAAUUACACCCAAUCCGUCCGAUCACAAGUAAGUGGUUGCUCUUUCUAAAUGGUUAUGUACUGGGAUAGACCUUGAAUUAAGCAUUUUAAUGUGGCCUGCAUUCUUGUUGAAUCUUGAAUUAUUCUGUUAUUGAUUGAUAUGUGUUGUAAAUCUUGAUCAUGCAUUAUAUAGUAGGCAACAUUGGGACAGCUGACAUUGAUAGAUAUCUACAAAGCCUUUUCCAAGUUCAUGCAGUAAAAACUACUCCUCUUAUUUUGAUUAAGUUUCAAGAUGUCCAUGCAUUAGUUUUCGUUCAAUUGGUAUUUUAAUAUAUAACUUAAUUUAAUUUAUAAAAAAUGAUUACUCGUGCAGGACCCGGGCUGAAACUGGUGGGGGCUUUUCUCAAGUGGAGUAAAGAAACUGUCCUACCUCUGGGUGUUCUUGUGAAGAAUCUGACCACUCCUUAUAUACAUUCUAUGAUGAAAAUUACACAAAUGUUAAUAUAGCUGAUGCAGAAUCCCCCUACCCAUCGGUUUCUUCUUUUCUUUUAUUUCCAUCAUGUUAUCAAAGAUUUUAUGCUUCAUAUACUGUGGGAAGGUUGAAAUAGUUAAUAUUUGAAGUUUGAACUGAGAAGAGUCAAAUUGUGCAAGCAACUUUGCAUCUGCUAUUUCCAUUUGGUAUCACACUGGGUUUCAGUUUGAAGUUACUGUUGCAUUAUUUCUCAUAUUACUCAUCAGUUUCACGCAAGGUAAAGCAUAAUGAAGUUGGUAAAAACACUAGGCAGGUAAUACUAAAAACAGAUGCUACCUAUAUUAGCACUUUACAUUUCAUAUUUUAUAAGCUAAAAUCCAUCCAAGCUAGGGAAGACAAUUCAUCACGUUUUCUUGUUCUAAAUUCUAAUAUAUGAUCACAAAAGGAACUGUCCUCUAAUAUAAAAUGACAAAGCACUAUUUCCUUUCAUAGUAUAUUAUAAAUCUAAUAAAAUCCUGCAAGUUUUUAAAAGGAAAAAAAAUGGAAUGCCAGGCAUGUAUGUCAUUUUUUUCCCCUUUUUGGCCGUAACGUUGGUCAUCCUAACCUGAUGAAGGCCAAGUGGCAACAUCAGAGUCGAGUCAUCGGAGGAGACACGAUAGACCAACCCCCAGAGGACUUUUUGCCCUCGACAAGGAUUUUUCCCAAUUUUCCUCCUCACUUCUGAGUUCCGAGUUCUGACAUCCGAGUCUCUGCUAUCCAGCCGCUUGGCUUUUCCAAUUUUUUUUUCUUUAUUAUUUUCUUUGUCUUUAAAGCGCGGCUCAAUAAUUUUAAUAGAGUAUUAGGGUUUUAGCCACGCACUUGCUUCACUCCAUCUCAAUAACGUUGCACUCCGAAAAAGAAAAAAGAAAACUCUUCCGAAAAAUAGGCUCUCUUCUCUGUAUUCGUUGAAUCAUUCACUUUUUUUUUUCUUUUAAAUCCGUUAUCCUCUCUGAUUUUCAUUUCCAGUUAUUGGAUUUUAUGUUUGAGCCAUACUUCUUGGUCUUGGCCAGGGCUUUUUUCACCCACUAAUUCGUUCUAUUAGAUUUUAUCAGGUACUAUUAUUUACGAUUCUACAGAGUCAAAAGUUUACUUAUUUUUCCCAUUUUUUUAGGAAAAAAUUGUAGUAUAUGCUGUAAUUCUUGAGCUAUAUAUGUUUUAUCGUGGUCUCAGGAAUUUGUAAGUGUCAGCUUUUUAUCAGUCUCCUGCGAGAACUUCACUUUGCAAAUCAAAAUUUCAUUUUUUUCUUUUUCUUUUUCUUUUGCUUAUGGGAGAAAGUCAUAAAAAGCUUUUCAUUUUAACAAAGGAGAAGUUUGCGAAUUAAUUGGUGUUGGGUUGAAUUUUUCAUUUUAAUUCUCUGUUUUGUCCGUAAAUUCGUAGGAAAUUUGUGAGGAAUACUAGCGGAAAGCCAGAAUGCAGGCUUGUAGCGGAGCUGCAAUGAUGGGUUCUGUGCAACAACCCAUGAGGGUCAAUAGACCAGCAUUUCCUUUAAAAGGGUCUGGUAUUAGUGGAUUUCCGCACCAGAUUAAGCUUAACUCAGUGAAACCCUGUAGAGCUCAACUUGAAGGGAGCUUAGUCACUGGGAGGCCUCCCUCUUCAGUCUCUGUCCCUGUGCUCGAAAGCAGUUUUGUGGACCAUGGCCUCAGCGAAGCUGAUCCUGAGGUUCGUGCAAUUAUUAGCAAGGAGAAGGAGAGGCAGUUUAAAAGCCUUGAGCUUAUUGCCUCGGAGAACUUUACAUCCCGUGCAGUGAUGGAGGCAGUUGGCUCAUGUCUCACAAACAAGUAUUCUGAAGGACUGCCUGGUAAAAGGUCGUCUAUCUAAUUAAGCAAAGUGCAUAGAGAUUUAAUUUUUUGUUAAGUUUUGAUUUAAAUCUGUGCAGCUAAUGAUCUUAUUGUUUGUUGCAGGUACUAUGGUGGCAAUGAGUACAUUGAUGAACUUGAAAUACUUUGCCAGAAGAGGGCUGUGGCAGCGUUUCAUUUGGAUGAAAAGAAAUGGGGCGUUAAUGUUCAACCAUUGUCUGGUUCCCCUGCUAAUUUUGAGGUUUAUACAGCAAUUCUUAAUCCACAUGAUCGAAUAAUGGUAAGAUGCUUCUGCCUGUUUUAAUAAUUUAAUUUUUUGUCUUUGAUAAGAUACGAAUUAAUAAUUUCUUCAUGUAACUGGCAUAGGGUCUGGACUUACCUCAUGGGGGACAUUUGUCACAUGGAUUCAUGACUCCUAAAAGACGAGUAUCUGGCACAUCAAUCUAUUUCGAGUCCAUGCCUUAUAGACUUGAUGAAUCUACAGGUUAUGCAUCCUUAUUAUUAGACUUGCUAAGGUUUAGUGGUUGGUACUGGCUUGGUGGUUAAUUCAAUUUGUCUGAAAUUUGGAACAGGCCUUGUUGAUUAUGUCAUGCUUGAGAAGACAGCUACUCUCUUUCGACCAAAACUCAUAAUUGCUGGUGCCAGUGCAUAUCCUCGAGAUUUUGACUAUCCUCGUAUGAGGAAGGUAAGGACUAACGUGCUUGCUGAUUGUGCUGUAAAGCGUGCCACCAUUUACUUACCAUGUAGUGAUUCUUUUAUUAAGCAUUUUGGAUAUUUUCCUUAUCUUUGCAAAUAACUUAUUGGAAUUGAUAUUUGUUUGAAGAUCGCAGAUGCUGUUGGUGCAUUUCUCAUGAUGGAUAUGGCUCAUAUAAGUGGACUUGUUGCUGCUUCUGUAGUUGCUGACCCCUUCGAGUAUUGUGAUAUUGUGACAACUACUACACACAAGGUUUAGGAUUAAUGCUUACAAUUUCUGUGUUGAACUCUGUGUAUGUUAAUUCACUUGACAUGCUGCUUUAGAGUAUUAGUGUUGCUUGUCCAAAUAUUGAUAUUUAGUAAGGGUACCUGAAAAGUUUUACUUCUAGCAUGACUAAUGUCACUUGAUCUUUUCCAGUUCUGCACUUUGUUUGUCAUAUGUAUUAGAAAGUUCUGUUCUGCCCAUUAAUUUGCCAAUAGUGUUGUAUCUUCCAAAUACUAUAUACUUCCUUUGCAUUAAUGUCCACAAUAAACUCAAUUUUCUCAUUUAUUUCCAGUCUUUGAGAGGUCCAAGAGGUGGCAUGAUCUUCUUCAAGAAGGAUCCUGUUCUUGGAGUUGACUUAGAAUCUGCCAUUAACAAUGCUGUUUUUCCUGGUUUGCAGGUUAGUUUGACUUGUCUCCUUUGGUCCUAUUACUAAUCUGAAUUCCCCUAUUCCAACCUUCUACUGACUUUCAAACUGAGGUUUUUUAGUUAUGAAAUUAAUUAUAGAUAUGAGAGGCAUUUAUAGACAUGAGAGGUAUGAUGUUGUCUGUGCAGGGUGGUCCUCACAACCACACAAUUGGUGGACUAGCAGUUUGCUUGAAACAUGCACAGUCACAAGAGUUCAAGGCUUACCAAAACCAGGUACUGCCCUUUGAAGAUAUAAAUUCAGUCCAAGUUAUGUUUUGAUGAUCUUAAUCUAAUAUGUGUACUUCAUCCUGCAGGUAGUGUCUAAUUGUAGAGCUCUUGCAAGCCGAUUGGUUGAACUUGGCUAUAAACUGGUUUCUGGUGGCAGUGACAAUCACCUUGUACUUGUGGAUCUGAGGCCAUUGGUAAGUUACUAUCUCCACAAGACAUGCAGACAUGUGCCCUCUUUAUCUUCAAAUCUUGAGUAGCAUUGGAAGUAUUUUUGUGAUUCUUUUAUAGAUGCCCUAUGCUCCCUUCCCCCUUUUUUUUUUUUCUAAUUUUUUUAUUUCUAUUAUCAACUUCUCCUUCAACAGGGUAUUGAUGGGGCUCGGGUGGAGAAAAUACUUGACAUGGCCUCUAUCACCUUGAACAAAAAUUCAGUGCCUGGUGAAUUAUGCCUUAUUUUCUUUCUUUUUUUAAUUCAUUAAAAAAUUUCCUUAUUACAAAACAGGUACUAACACAUCUCGAAUUUUGCAGGGGAUAAGAGUGCACUCGUGCCAGGUGGCAUCCGCAUUGGAUCACCUGCUAUGACCACUAGAGGAUUCACAGAAAAGGAAUUCACAGCUAUUGCUGACUUCAUCCAUGAGGGUGUGCAAAUAACUGUUGAUGCUAAAGGAUUAGUGUCUGGAUCAAAGCCACAAGAGUUCUUGAAGUUUGUGGUGUCUCCCGAUUUUCCUUUGACUGAUAAGGUGGCAAAUCUCCGGAGUAGAGUUGAAGCACUGACAACCCAGUUUCCCAUUCCUGGGGUAUGAAUGGUGUCGAUGCACUCUACUAAGUAAUAAUGAGAAGUUGAGAACAUCAUGAAAUUCAACACAGGUUUUAGGGAUCAAAUUUGAAUGUAUUCAUAAAGUUAUGAAAAUUUUGAAGUGUUUGAGAUCUUGUAUUGAAAAUUAUGGAUUUCACUUGGUAUAGAUCUCAUCAGUAACCACUUAUUAGUACUCCAUUGGUAGAUAGGAAAAAUUAAACCAUUGGUCAUGUGAUCAACUUUCCAUCGUCAUUUCCCAGCAUCUACGGUGUUAAGAGUUGAAUUCUACGGAUUAUUUUAACUAUUAUUAAUUUUAGUUUUUAAAAUCUUAAUGAUAACACAUUAACAACAUACAACCUGGUAGGGUCCAAUUCCUGGAUUCCUCUCCGGCCAAUCCAGAAAUUCUUAUGAAGAGGGUAUUGCUUUUGUUCUACGCUAAUAAUUUCCAAGGAAACGAAAAAGAUUCUAAAGAAUAAAUGGAUGCGUUAAAAUGGGAAAAGAAAGCUAUCCCUAGCUUUAUUCCACAACUUCUUUGGGUGCAAAUAAAGGUUGGUAGUUAACUAUCUGCACCAGUUAAUCCAUUACAAUCCUCGAAAGGAAAAUAAUCCAGUAUGGCAAUUAAUUCAAUGCUAUAUAAAUGGUCCCAAAAGGCCCAAAAUGAGUUCAAAGGCAGCCCAAAGAGUAGAAAAAGCUUCUGUCCAAAACAAACUAAGGAACUCCUCUCCCUCCGUUUUAGGGUUUUUCGACAAAAGAUACUUGUCAGUUUCACACUAUUGUUCCUUCUCUUCUCCGUCUGCACUUCUCUUCAACAGGGACGACACCCAUCUCCUGGUUUUCUUUUGGGUCUACUGUGAGGUAAGAGGCAAUGCUUAUUACCAUUAGAUUGAUAGAGAGCUGUUUGCAACUAUGGGUUUUCUUUUUUUUCGAAGUUUCAAUCCUUUUAUUUGCCGAAAAUUCCCUUGAAGGAUUCGUUUUUUGACAGUGUUGUGAAUGAUGAGGCGAUUCAAUAUUAUUACAGUUAUCCCUGUCUGAUUACUGUUGCUGAUAAUUUGUUUUCUGACACAACACUUUGUUAUCAUUAAGAACGAUUUUUCUUUCCAAUUUGCUUUUUUUUUUUUUGUUCUUUUCAUUAAUCUUUGCGGGUUUUGAAGUUUUGGAUUUUCUGACAUGCAGAUUCAGCUAAUGCCUAAGAAGAGUUCAUCCAAAACGCCUUCAAAAAAGGCAGAAAAGGAAGAAGUAGAAGAACCUGUUCUGGGACAGAAGAAAUCGUCUUCAACUCCUAAGAAGGCUGGUAAUGAGAUUGAUGAGAUAUUUGCUGGUAAAAAGAGGAAGAAACCUGAACAAAAGAAGGCUGAUAAGCCAAAUGGUGAUGAAAUCUCGAAACCGAAACCACUGAUGAAGAAGAAGAAUAAAAAGAGUGAAGAAACCAAAGAGGAAGGAUCCCAGGAACCUUCUUCUCGGCCUCGCAAGAGAACUGCAGAUGGGUUUGCUAUUUACACCGAAGAAGAAUUGGGUAUUAAUAAAUCGGAUGUCGGAAGUACGCCGCUUUGUCCAUUUGAUUGUGAUUGUUGUUUUUGAUAGCGUUGGUUGAUUCAUUUUGCAACUUUGACAAAUCAGUUUGCAGAAAUUGAAAUAGGGUCUAGGCUUUUCUGCUUCUUGUACACAAGGAAUGAAUUUCACAUGAAAUGCAAUUUUGAUACUUUGUUAUUCUUGCAGAGAAUUCUGAGCUAAUUCUUCGUUUACUUUUGCAUGAUAAUUGAAUAGAUUAUAGUGAUGUUAAUCACUUCUGUUGAUCAUGGUAUGCAAUCAGAGAUAUUCAGACCAAUAAUUACAAGCAAUUAUCUUUUGCUUUUUUGGAAUUUCAAUGGAUGAUAAUCUUUUAACCACCUUAACAGUUGCAUUCUGUGCUCAAUCAGAUGACUUGUGCUGGUGCUUUUCACUCCUAAUUCUGGUUUAGAUUUGCCAUUCAUAACCACAAACAAAACUAGAGCUUCAUCAGGGGAAUGCAGUCGUGCACAGCCCUGGAGACUUGGAUUGAGAAAGGGUAGCCUCUACCCUUUUCUUACACUGCGGAUUUUAGUCUAUAACAUGGCCACAAAGGGUUCUUAGCAAAAUUUGCAGAUGUUCUUGUCUGGGAUAAGUUUGUGAUGGCUUCACAAGUAGGUUUCAUUCAUAAAGAGAUUACUGCAUAACAGAUUAUAUUUACAACACUUGUGGUGCAGACAAAUAGUCUAGUUAUACAAUAUUAUUUCAAGUAGGGGACAAAUUUUCUUUAUAGAGGCAGAAGGCCAAACUAAAAUGGCCACAAUUGGUGAUAGCAAUGCAAUAUAUUUGUGGCUAGUGUGCUAAAUUGCUGAUAUGCCUAAACAUUGGUGAUCAGUGAAUCUCUGUAAGUAGCUGAGAAAGAAAUCUCAGCUUCCAUUUAACCCAAAAGGCUAAGCUGAGAUUUUCUUUUCGAGGAUUAUAAUGAAUUAACUGGUGCAGAUAGUUAACUACCGACCUUUAUUUGCACCCAAAGAAGUUGUGGAAUAAAGCAAGGGAUAGUUUUCUUUUCCCAUUUUAACGCAUCCAUUUAUUCUUUCGUUUCCUUGGAAAUUAUUAGCUUAGAACAAAAGCUAUACCCUCUUCAUAAGAAUUUCUGGAUUGGUUGGAGAGAAUCCAGGAGUUGGGCCCUUCCAGGUUGUAUGUUGUUAAUGUGUUAUCAUUAAGAUUUUAAAAACUAAAAUUAACUAUAAUUAAAAUAAUCCGUAAAAUUCAACUCUUAACACCAUAGAUGCUGAGAAAUGAUGAUGGAAAGUUGAUCACAUGACCAAUGGUUUAAUUUUUCCUGUCUACCGAUGGAGUACUAAUAAGUGGUUACUAAUGAGAUAUAUACUAAGUGAAAUCCAUAAUGUUCAAUAGAAGAUCUCAAACACUUCCAAAUUUUCAUAACUUUAUGAAUAUAUUCAAAUUUGAUCCCUAAAACCUGUGUUGGAUUUCACCUUGUUCUGAUGUUCUCAAUUUCUCUCCAAGUACUUUUUCACAACUUUAUGGAUACAUUCAAAUUCGAUCCCUAAAACCUUUGUUGAAUUUCAUGAUGUUCUCAAUUUCUCAUUAUUACUUAGUAGAGUGCAUCGAUACCAUUCAUACCCCAGGAAUGGGAAACUGGGUUGUCAGUGCUUCAACUCUACUCCAGAGACUUGCCACCUUAUCAGUCAAAGGAAAAUCGAGAGACACCACAAACUUCAAGAACUCUUGUAGCUUUGAUCCAGACACCAAUCCUUUAGCAUUGACAGUUAUUUGCACACCCUCAUGGAUGAAGUCAGCAAUAGCUGUGAAUUCCUUUUCUGUGAAUCCUCUAGUGGUCAUAGCAGGUGAUCCAAUGCGGAUGCCACCUGGCACGAGUGCACUCUUAUCCCCUGCAAAAUUCGAGAUGUGUUAGUACCUGUUUUGUAAUAAGGAAAUUUUUUAAUGAAUUAAACAAAGAAAGAAAAUAAGGCAUAAUUCACCAGGCACUGAAUUUUUGUGCAAGGUGAUAGAAGCCAUGUCAAGUAUUUUCUCCAACCGAGCCCCAUCAAUACCCUGUUGAAGGAGAAGUUGAUAAUAUAAGUAAAAAAAUUAGAAAAAAAAAAGGGGGGGGAAGGGAGCAUAGGGCAUCUAUAAAAGAAUCACAAAAAUACUUCCAAUGCUACUCAAGAUUUGAAGAUAAAGAGGGCACAUGUCUGCAUGUCUUGUGGAGAUAGUAACUUACCAAUGGCCUCAGAUCCACAAGUACAAGGUGAUUGUCACUGCCACCAGAAACCAGUUGAUAGCCAAGUUCAACCAAUCGGCUUGCAAGAGCUCUACAAUUAGACACUACCCGCAGGAUGAAGUACACAUAUUAGAUAAGAUCAUCAAAACAUAACUUGGACUGAAUUUAUACCUCCCUAGAAUUUUUAUCAAAUAAAAUAAUACAAAUAUAUACAAUUAUAUUUAACUCGAUCGAAUAUAAAUACAAUCAUUAAUCCAAGAAAUUCAAACUUAAGAAAUGUAACUUGAAAUAUUAAUAAAAUGAAAACAUAAAAGAUAAAUAAAAAAUUAAAAAGGUGGAGUAGCUCAGAUUCUAUGGGUGUAAUAAAAAGUCUGUCAUGCCCAAAUUGAGCAAAUCAGAACGAGGAAUUAUUUUUAUAAUCAUUGCUAACUCCAUACCUCCAUUCUUCAUUUAAAAAAAAAACUUAAAAAAAUAAAAUAAAAAAUAAUAAGGCUCAGACACGCACAAACGCUGUCAUCAAAAAGCUAUUUGGUCCUUAAAUUAAAUGAAUUUAAGAAAAAAUCCAAAUCAGAAUCGAGAAACAUAAAUUUGUCAUCAUUGCCUUUUGUAAUAAUUAGUUGAUGAAUUAAAUUUCUAAUGAGAAAAACUGACAAAAAAACUUAAAGAGACCAACAACAAGAGUAUCUAUUGCCUUUUAUAACCAUGAAAAAGAAAUCCUAAUUUUGAGCGUUUUUAAAAUUGUGUAAAUAUUGAUGCUAUGCUUCUAUGAAUAUAUCUAAGAUAAAAUAUUAAAAUUUUAUUUUAUAAAAGGAAAAUUCAAAUUUAAUUUUUAUAAAGAAAAAAAAUAAUUAUAAUAUCCAUUUAAUUCAUAUAGUUACAUUUUUUUUUAAUUUAACCUUUUUACUUAAAAUAGUGACAAUUUAAUCCAUUGAUUUUAAAAAUUAUUUCAAUUUAAUCCCUUCAACAAAAUGCUAACAUGGUAUAUGAGGUGAGCUCGAAUUACUAACGUGGUGUUGCCACGUUAUCAUAUCAAGGUGUCACAUUAUACACUCUUUGACGUUCUUGCCACCAUAGCUAAACUCUUGCUUUUGUUAAAAAGGUUACUGUGCUUAAACCUAAGUUCCAACCUCAACAUGAAGGUAUCAUAUUUUAGACAAAAUAAAGAAGAGAAAAAGAGAACGUCCACAAUUUAGACGAAAAAUGUUAAAUGGAAUUAGAGGACAAUAAAAGGAUUGGGAUCAGGUGUAAGACAAUACCAAAAUGAUCAUAAAUUUAGCUGCUUUAAAUUUGAAGGAAACCAUGGAGAGGCAAAGGCUCCCUCCAAUCGUGUAAGUAGCUCGCUUUAGGCACCAUGCAAAAGGUGGAUUGCUACUGUAAACAACAAACACCCGUGUCUGACUGAGUGCCCGUCAACUAUUGAGCUCCUAAAAUGUACUUCAAUUCAACCCACAUUUCUUUUGGAAAAACACAUUUAAAAUAACUGAACAAGACCUAGAAAGAAAUCAGACAAUAGGAAAUGUAAACGGGCUAUUGUGUCAUGAAACAACGGUGAGUUUCAUGGGUCUUCUCCCGUUUAACUAAAUCUUGGCUCCAAGCGGCAGUCAGGUCGCCAUGGAUCGGCACCUGCUGUUGACUCUAUUUGUGGAGCCAGGAUCCUAGUAUCACACUUCAUCGGAGAAUCCCCAGUUUGCAAACAAAACAACUAUCCAAUUUAAUAGUAGAGCAACUUCGGGAAUCAAGAAAGAAGAAAAUCUCCAGUACCUGAAAGAAUCGAGCACUCAGUUGACUGAUAAUUUCUUCUUCGUGGCAGCAGCACCCACCGAGGUAGCAAGAAAAUCAUUAUUCUUUGAUGCUACAUGUCAACUGUCAAAUGGUAAUUUCGCUCACUAUUAGCUACCCAAGUGAUCAGAUAAGAAAAAUAACAGUACCUCAAAAAGAUAAAGGUAUGAAGUAUUUACCUUGCUGCCAGAGUAUCUGCAUAAGAUCCAAUCGUGCAGACUGCAGCUGCAUUGGAUAUUACAAGACUGAUGGCAAAACAUGAAGGAUUCCUGAUGGAAAGACCAUCAGCUGUGAACAUUCUGGUAUAGAAUCUAAGUUAUGAAAGACAAUAAGGGAUGGGAAGCAAAGUGAGAGAAACAGGGGCACUUGAGUGUUGAGAUGAGGAGGCUGGAUGUUGCUCAAGAGCUUAAAGCAUAUGCUUUUAUAGAGUGGUAUCUCCAAAACCCUAAAAACACUUGGGCUUGUAAAAUUACUUAAAUAGACAAUGAUUUAACUUUAUUUACUCGACUCUUUUUUUUUUGGCAAUAUCACUAAAUUUUUACUUAAUACUAUAUUCAAUCCGCUUAUCAUGCGCGUGAGUAGGUAAAAGUUAUUUAUUAAUACUAUAUUAUACCUUAAAAUUUAGGUUAAGGCAAAAGUCUUUGAUUAAAUGAGAAAGAAAGGAAAACGAUUUCUGUACUAGGCAUCAUCUAAAUCAUACAUGCACUUUUUGUAUAUAUUUAUUAGGCAUGAUUUUUUGUUUUACUUAGUCAAGAUCUUUUACAUAUAUAUAUAUAUAUAAUUAAUUAAAAAAACUUAUAAUUUAAAAUAAAUAGUAGUUUGAUUAAAUAUAUCAAUAUAAGGAAAAAAUUAUGAUUACAAAUCUACUAUUAGUUAAAAAAAUUAACAUUAUUUGUUUUAAUAUCAUUAAUUUUAUCUUUUUUAGGUCAAUUACUAUUUAAGUGAUAAAGAAUUGAAAAUUUAAUAUAUGAAGUUACAAAUUCACAAUCAUAAUAAUAAUUAAUUCAGUAUAAAGCCAAAUAUUUUUUUUUUUUGUGAAAGUUUCAAAGUUAUAAUUUAAAUUGUUGACUAAUGUGUUAUUUAGUUGGUGUACUCAAUUAGUCACUUUGGUGGUGUGGAAGGCUUUAAGUCGUACGAGACGGUGUCGUAUUACCUUGCAAGUAGUUAAUCUUUCGUUGACAAUUAGAAUAGAAGUAGAACUAUUCAAGUUUGGUUGCCGAGAAAGACUUGACAAGAAAAUAAAGGUAGACGAAGAAAAAAAGGAAAAAAAAAAAGGUAUAACGAGACGCACCGUCUUAAUUCCUAGCUUCUUGGAAGCUUCUGCAUAAGGUUUAGGCAGCCAUCAACGUCUCCCUUUGAAUGAAAAUACUGUAGCUUUAAUAAUACGUUUACGCAGUUUUUAUUUGACUUUCCGAUCUCCAACUAUUUUCGCCAUUUUCUUCUCAACCAACUCGUACAAAAACCUCUACCAAAGCCACCAAAAACCCAGAUUCCAUUUUUAAUUUUAGUUUCCCACUUUUCUAUUCUCCAGCUUCAUAGUUUCUAUUAUACUUUCAAUUGAAAGAAGAUUGUUUCGAUCAGAACCAUGGAGGCAGCAUCUUUAUCUGGAGUUCUUUCCCACACCAACCUUUCUGGUUCCAACCUUAGGAAUUCUGAUUAUAGAUUUUCAAGGUGAGACUUUUGUCCCAGAAAUUUGGGAUUUUUAUCAAAUAUUUAUGUUUAUGAGUUAAUGUUAGAUCCCAACUUUUGUCUAGAAGGUACAAAGAUUUGCUUGGUGAACAAAAGAUGAAAUUUUUGGACCAAAAUGAUUCCCAAAUUUACGUCUUUGUCAAUUUCUUUUCUUUUCUUUGUUUUUCAGGUCGAUUCGUAGGGGCAGAUGUGUUGCCUCUGUCUCACGCCAUUCCUCUGAGGGAUCAAAUGAUGUUGAUAAACCUUCGUCUAAAGCCCUUGUCAUCUCAAGUUCUGACUCGAAUACUAAAAAUUACAGCGCUCUCAAAGGAUCCAAUCUCAGCGGUGGCUCAAAUCAGAAAAGGAAUCUGAACUUGCAAACGAAUUGUGCGGUGGGGUUUUGCACUUUUGGUGAAAAUGUUGUAGAAUCUCAUGCACAUGCUGCAGAGGAGAAGCUUGGGGUCCUGCUUUUGAAUCUUGGAGGGCCCGAGACUCUUAACGAUGUUCAACCGUUUCUGUAUAACUUGUUUGCUGAUCCUGUAUGUUAGAUUUCUUGGGCAUUUUUUAAUGUACUUUAUAUAACCAUUUUUGGGUUUUAAGGUUCAGUAGUGUGCUGAUGGUGAUAUUGUUUUUGUUGUAGGAUAUAAUACGGCUGCCUAGGCUGUUUAAGUUUCUUCAACGACCUUUGGCAAAGUUAAUUUCUGUUCUUCGGGCUCCCAAAAGUAAAGAAGGGUAUGCUGCCAUUGGUGGUGGCUCACCUUUGCGUAAAAUAACUGAUGAACAGGUAAAUUCCUUAAUUGUAGAAAUUGAAAUAUUACUUUGUGCUUGUGUUGUGUUAAAGUGAAUUUGUAUGGAUAUUUUUUUCAAUUGAACCAUGUUAAAUGUGUUAGACGCUUUUAAAAGUUGUCCUCAUGUUGAUGGUAAAACUUGUGGUUUGAAUGUUAUUAUUGUAUUUAUAGCCUGAAGAAUUUGCUGCAGGCGGAUGCUCUUAGAAUGGCUUUGGAGGCAAAGAAUGUAUGUGCCAAUAUAUAUGUUGGAAUGCGAUAUUGGUACCCAUUCACUGAGGAGGCAAUUGAGCAGGUGGGUCUUCUAAUAGUCAAACAAAUUUGUGUGGGUUUUAAGUUUCUUCAUAUAUCGUUGGUGAAGUUAUGAACUUGUGUGAUACCAUAUCGAGGAGUUGCUAUUUUUGUUUAGGUGAUAUUAAGAGUUUAUUGUUAAGUGCAUCAAAUCCUUACAGAAGGGAUAAAUAUAGGGAGUUGGAAGAAAAAUAAAGACUUCCCAUGCCUUCCUGCAAGUUCUCCUUUUAUAUGACUUGAAAUUAUAUCUUAUAUUUUAAUAAGGAAUUAUCUGUUUAACAUUGAAUUAUCUAUCUUCAAAGUACGUUGAGUCUACGUUGCUAAGCAUUUACGUUAUGCUACAGAUUAAGCGGGACAGGAUAACAAAACUUGUUGUGCUGCCACUAUAUCCUCAGUUCUCCAUCUCCACAACUGGAUCAAGCGUCCGAGUUCUCCAGAGUAUAUUCAGGUGGGUGUUUGAUAAUUUGUGCUGCACCUUAUCUGCUUGAAAUCAUCUAUAACACCCCUUAGGAAAUGGCUCUGAAUGUGAGUUAUAUUUCAGGGAAGAUGCAUAUCUAUCAAGACUACCUGUUUCUGUCAUUCUUUCAUGGUAUCAACGACAAGGUUAUAUUAGGUCUAUGGCUGACUUGAUUGAGAAAGAGUUGGGGAGAUUUCCAAAGCCUGAAGAGGUUUGUUUGGUUGCUGCUUAUACUACUUGUGUGUACAUUUUUAAGCAUAAAGUCAGAAGUUGAUAUGUCGAACUUGUGGUCUUUUGAGAUUGACUUCAUUACAACUCUUUCUAAUAUUCUUCUGAACUUCAGGUCAUGAUAUUCUUUAGUGCUCAUGGGGUGCCCGUCAGUUAUGUUGAGGAUGCUGGAGAUCCGUACAAAGAUCAAAUGGAGGAGUGCAUCUGCUUAAUUAUGCAAGAGUUGAAAGCUAGAGGAAUUGGAAAUGAUCAUAAACUUGCUUACCAGGUUGGUUUUAGAACUCAAGUUUCUGCUUUCACUUGAAAAAUGAAAAACUGUUAUGCUCAACUUCUUCUUCAUGCUAUUCCUCUAGAGUCGAGUUGGGCCUGUGCAAUGGCUGAAGCCCUACACUGAUGAAGUUCUUGUUGAGCUUGGCCAGAAAGGUGUGAAGAGUCUUCUAGCUGUUCCCAUAAGGUACAUGACUCUUAGUUUUAAGUAGCUGUUCUUGAUGUGUGCUUUGAAAUGCCAGAUUAUGAACUGAAAACUAAUUCUACUUCCAUCCAAAAUUGUAGCUUUGUAAGUGAGCACAUAGAGACUCUUGAAGAGAUUGACAUGGAAUAUAAGGACUUAGCUCUUGAAUCUGGUAUCGAGAAUUGGGGUCGUGUGCCUGCUCUUGGUUGCACCUCUUCAUUCAUCACAGAUCUAGCAGAUGCUGUAGUUGAAGCUCUACCAUCAGCAAAAGCCAUGUCAACCUCAAGGGACACCGCUGAAGAAGCUGAAUAUGACCCCUUGAACUACCUUGUCAAACUGUUCCGCGGUUCAAUCUUGGCAUUCAUUUUGCUAUUGACACCAAAGGUGUUACUUGCAUUUAGAAACCAUCUCUUUUAAUGAUGAUUAAAGAAAGCUAACGUUCAUAGAGAAGACAGAGUUAUAUAUAUUAAAGGAGUUGUCCUCCAUUUAGACCUGAAUCUUAGAGACUUGUUUGGGGAUGUGCCCCAAUUCCGGCAUAUAGAAAGCAAAGAUGGGAUUUUUGCAUAAGUGUAACCUUUUGGAACCAAGAUUUUUUUUUUUCUUGGUGGUUUUGCUUAAGUGUAACCAGGGAUAUUUGCUUCCAGUGAAAUAAUAAACUUAAAAUGCAUACUUCGUCGCUGUCGAUUGUUCUAUUUUUGGUCACUAUGAGGCUCGGUGAGAAUGCCUUUGAAAGAUGUUCAAUUCCCGAGAAUUCCUGUUCUUUUUUCUUGUAACUUCCCCAAUGCUUUCUACAGGCUGUUACCUUGUAGCAGAAUUCCUACUUAUUUUUGGUUGAAUCAAAAAAAAAUCAUUAAUCUCAAAAGAGAAACUAUCCAAAUGUUAGCAACAGUUUGGGUUUUAAACACAUUAUCAUAAUCAUUGCAUGAAAUAAACGAAAGAAUUCCGAAGAGUUACCAAAUUAAGUCCUUGAUUACAACCAGCAAAAUGUAAAACUUGGUAUGCUUCAAUGCUUCGUUCACGCUAGCAGACUCAGCAUGAGGAAAGAGGACUUCAUAUUUAUUCUCAAAGAGGUGCAGAUAAGGCUGUUUACAGCCACAUGUUUUAGAUAUAUCUGCCACUAUCCUCGAGAGAAAGAUAUAUCCGGUAUUAUUUUUAUUUAAAAAAGCCCAAGUAGAUUAAGCCUAUAAAGAGUGUGAUUCAGGACGAUUACUCAAGUCUGUAACAUCUUUUAUGCUGGAUAUUAGUAGGGAAAUUAACAGCCAAAAUGCCUGGUUACUCUCAGCAACCUCUUCCUUAAUAGGAAUACCUUCAAUUGAUAGAAUUGCAAUAGAGAAUGGUGUACCUUUUUUGUGCAAGCAGGAAAAUGGAAUUAGAGAUAUGUUGAUACGAAUGGGUUGUUGCUAAUCAAGUUUAAUUUUUCUUGCAGAACGGCAACUUGUAUGUUAUGAUGACAAAAAGAUCUUGAAAAAAUAUAUAUAUGGUGAAAGCUUUGAUCAGUUCAAAUUCAGAAGCUGUUCUUGUUGAAUCACUUAAACAUAGUAACCAGUUAAGGUGAAUCCUCGACCAACAAUCUCUCCAGCGCAGAACCAGGCAAAACACUCUAACCCAAAUAGAGCAGCAAUGCCAGCAUCCUCAAUCUUCAAUUCCUUCCUGUUCUUCCACAUAUGCUUGGCAUAAUCCAUCUCCUUCCAGAAUGUCUCAUAGCGGCCGGGAAUACUGCCUCAAAUUCAGAAGAUUAACUCAGUGGGAGGGUAGAAAAGUUUGACUGAUGCAGAUAAUAGCCAAAGAGGUAAUGCAUUUCUAGAAAAAGAAAACAAAAUCACAAUCAAACAACAUUAGGCCUUCUUACUUGUAGAUGUUUCCAAUGUCAGCAAUAGCAAAUGACUAAAAGACUAGAAGGGAGAACUGAUGAUAACAGAAGUAACAAAUUCAAUGGAUCAGCAUGAAGGUUUGAUCAACGCAGGGAGCAUGAUGGCAGCUGACAGAUGUUCAAGGAAGAGGGAAAAAGGAAUAUAUGAUGUAGGGAGAAGUCUAGGCUGGCAUUUAAUACUAAAAUGCAGCCCACGCCUUUUAUUUCAACCCGCUGCCAUGCUUGAGCAUAACAUGAUUGUUGUAGGAGAGGUUGCGAGAGUCGCAAUGCAAUGACUAGAAACAAGGACAGGGGCCCUCUCCCUUUCCCUUUAACUCGACACCCAUCACUACCAGCAUAAGCUUCCUGCUCAGACCUUUUACUUUUCAGCCAUCAUAUCCAUGUCAAUACAAAUAACACAAAAGAUUAACAAAAGAAAAUCACCGCAAGUCACAGCAUAGAUUCAUUUGAGUCUGAAACCUUUGAGAUUACCCUAAAAUGCUGAAAGGAAAAGCAGAAGAACGAAUGGGGUAAAAGGGGUAACCUGGCUAGACGAGUGUAAAACAAUUGCUUUGACAAAAGGUUACAUUUCUCAACCGUAGGUGGCUCUUGAAUGUAGUGCUUAUUCUGCUCCAGUAGCUGCUUGUAGUAGGCAGAACCAUGCUUUGCUACAAAUUGGGAUGCCUGAGUUGCCUUGGACUGCAACUGAGCUAACUUCGGUGCCAACCCCAUCGGCUUCACAAACAAACAAAACCACCAGGAUAGAAUCGUAAUACGUUAGAUAAACAGAAAUUUCAUCAGAAAUCAGCCAAAAAAGUUUCAACUCGGCAGACUUGUUUGGGCAAUUUGUCCAUUUUCCAUCAAAUAAUCCCAGAAUUACGAGCUCUUGAAUUCAUAAUACUAUACCUUAAUUCCCACGCUAUUGAUCUAAAUAUCAAUUUUAAAAACACAAGAGAAUCGAUUAGAAAGGAUCAAACAGAAAAAGAAACGUUUACUUAAGCAGCAUUAAAGUAAUUAAUCCCACUGAAGUCCAAAUUCACUGGAAAAAAGAGAGAGGGGGAUGAAAAGAAAAAGUACAACAUGUUGUGGAAAACAAUAAGAGCUCCAUUGCAGAAUCCAAGAAUAAACCGAAUCGAUAAGCCAAAAACCAGAUUUCUAAAAGUUUCAAAGAAUUAGUAAGAGUCAACAACAUUUGACGAUAUAUGGUAAGUUUGGAGAGCUAAAGAUGCAGAGUUGGAUAAGUAAAAUAAGGAAAGAUGAAGAGAAAAAUGCAGCAUUACAAUCUGAGGGAACGAACCUACCUAUAUCUGUUUUUGGCGAUAGGAGAGAGAGAAGGAGCGGUACAGAGCAGAGGGAGAAGUAGGGUUUUAUUUCCUCGUGUAAUAUUUAUAUAUCCUGGUAAUUUUUGCUUAUGUUCCGCUGCGGUGAGUCCUCGUCAGUAUCCUGCACUGAAUGCAAAUAAUCUUACCAUGUGUCCAGAAGGAUUCAAAUAUACGAGACACAUUAUUUAUUAUUAUUAUUAUUAUUAUUAUUUGACAACUUCAAAUUUCAACUACAAAGGGAAUAACAUACGUAACAACGUAUUUAGAAUCUACUCUCUUUUUUUUGGCCGCAGUUUUUUUGAUUUUACAAUAUUAUCACUUUUACUACCAGUUAAUUUUUUUCAAUUUUGAAUUAAAGAGUACCAUUAGCAUAUAUUGAUAUAUAUAUAUAUAUAAUCCGGUUUAGAAGACCCAAGAACAUGAUCUAACCAUUUUUGCAUUGGUUGACUUCACGAGUUGACACAGGACAGCCAGUAUCCGGAUGAUCUCAAUUGAAGAUGGUCAUGGAUUAUUACCAUGAGCAUUAACUCCUACAACAUAAGUUGUUCAACCUUUUCUCUUUUUCUUUUUUUCUUUUUUUUUUUUUUGUGCUAGACAUUUCCCGCAUGGUGAUUAUUACCCUAUUGCACGAGUGUCAUACUCAAGUAUUAACUAUCACAACCAUUGUUCUGGUUAGGUCAGGCUGAACCCAUUUGCCGACAAGAAUGCAACUACUUUUGGACUGAAUUUACAAAAACGUAUGUUUACAGCUCACAGCCAAAAUGCUGAAAAUCCUUCGUUCCCCAGCAACAACAGGAAUCGGCUUAUGAUCCAGCCUUCAAAAAAGGAAAUCGAAUACAGUAGCACUUGCAACCUUUAACAAGGUCAACUAGGAGAUAAAUGUAGCUUCCGCCUUCUGUAAUAUGACAACUUCCCUGGGUUUAGACAACCGUACCAAUGCCCCUCAAUAUUAAGUGAUUUUGACAUUCUUCAGGAAUAUACAUACAUACAUAUAUAUAUAUAUAUAUAUAUAUAUAUAUAUAUAUAACUUGAACAAAACGAGAUGAUAAUAACAUUAGAAAAUCAGUAUUUAGAAUAGGCAAGUAUAAACCUUCGACCAUAGCAUAAAGCGGGAAAAUUAAAGCAUCCAAAACCACUGCCUCAUAAUAUUGAAGUAAAACACUAGCACUGUCUUUGAAUACUGCCAAAACUAACUUGACCUAAUUGAAAUACAAUAAACCAUCUGCAUCAACAGUACCAAAAUAUAAAUGUCUUCAACAAACUCACCACAAAUCAACUUUGGGGUGAUGCCUUGGCAACUCCACUUUGUUGAACAGUUUGAGAGGCUGUUGGUGCUGCAUCAUACGUCCCACGAGUGCUCCCACUUGCAUUGCUGUCAGCAGGAUAUGCUGGAGGCUGUGAGUAACUACCACCAUAAGAGGUGUUAUAUGGUGGUGCUCCAUAACCAGGCUGGCUGGCUGGUGCUGCUCCAUAAGGUGGUGCUCCAUAUCCUGGCUGCGCGGGUGCAGCACCAUAACUAGAUGAUUGAGCACGUUGUGAACCUGAUUCUGGUUGAGCAUAGCCAGAUGGCGGUGGCUGUGAAUGAUAUCCUGGCUGGCCAUAGCUUCCUGGGGUGCUAGGCGACUGCUGCGUCUGCCCAUAGACAGGGGGAUUGGCCAAAGGUUUCUGUGCUUGUGGUGGUCCAUAUCCAGGCCCAUAGCCAGACUGAGCUGGUGGUUGACUCCCAUAGCCAGCCUGGGAAGUUGGAGGCACUCCAUAACCAGGUUGAGUACUUCCUUGAGGUGGAUAACUUCCAGGAUUUUGGCUAGGCUGCUGACUAGUAUUGUACCCUUGCUGGCCCAUCGCAGAUGGUUGGGUAGAUGUAGGUGCUUGACCUGAAUCCCCUUGACCACCAUAGGAGGGUGUGUGACCCUCUUGAGUUGGGUUCGUUGCAUUACCAUAGCUAUGUGCAGACCCAUAACCUUGUUGUUGAUCAUAUGAUGAUGGUUGUCCAUAACCUGAUUGCGGAGGUGCAGGGUAUCCACCAUAGCCAUCCUGAGGAUAACCUUGUCCUGGUUGCAUGUAGCUAGAAGCUGGUGGUUGACUGUAAUUGUAACCACUGUUAUCAGCUGGAGCUGCUGAACCACCAGGGGUUUGCUGCUGCUGUGAAGAAGGCUGUUGAUUAUAGUAAUCAUAACCACCUGCUGCAGAGCUUUGCUGGUUUGGUGGUACAGCUGACUGGUCCCAACCAGAGGCAUAGCUGCCAGAUGUUGGUUGCGAAGGAUAGCCCCCAUAAGGCGGCUGAGACAUGUUAUACUGAGGUGAUGGGCCAGGAUAUGCCCCAGGCUGCAUAUAACCAUAACCAGGUUGCUGCAUUGGAGGAGCCCCUUGGCCCCAGCUUGUAGGCGGUCGUGCUUGGUAACCUUGCUGUGUAUAGCCUCCAGCCAUUGCUGGAUUUCUCAGACGAUUCUGCACAAAAUUGUUCCCUCAAAUAACCAAAGUGGACUUUCCAAUGACGCUGGCACAUAAACACAUACAGCAAAACAGAAUAUGCAUCUACACAAAUAGGCAUAUACAAAAACUGAAUAGCAAUUAUCAAAAUCAGUAUGUCCACAGUGGCAUUAACGGAGUUUGUACUGUAGUACGAAGGUUAUAAAUGCCUACAUACCGUAUGGUCGGAGGGAUUAUUGAGUUUACUCCAGCAGAAGCCCAUCCUCUCCCUAUUUGAAGUGAAUGGGUGCAAAAAGAAAAAAAAAUAUAGAACCCCACAAAUACUAAUAGAACCUUUUACAUCAAAGCACAAGGAACCAUGAACCCCAUUGCCAACAGGCAAGAAACUCAUAGUUAAAAGCAUACUAUAUAUCAUCUAUCCAACAAUCCAAUUGAUGCAUUUAACACACAGAAGCAUCAAAUAAGGAAUGACAAUAUCCUAGAAGAUCAAUCAACAUGCAUUAAGCAAAUGAUAUCUCUUAGAACAGACCUAAAUUUCUCUAAACAAAAGAAAGGAAAAAAUGAAUUGUAGAUCUAACACUUAUACAAGAUUGAUUAUCUGCAUUUAGAAAAGAUAAUUGACUUGUAUCACCAAAAUAAAGGAUUUUGCUUAACAUAUGAACCCUAACCGCAUAGGGCAAACAUCUGAUAAGAAAUACCAUAGACCAGAGCUAACCUAAUCAUAGACAAAAGUUUUCUGGAAUAAAUUCAAUCUAAAUUACAACUUUCAAUAAAACAACUUCAACACAAGAAUAAAAAAGAUAUGCAAGACAAAACAAAAUUACAUCAAAUAUGUAUCCUCAUACUUGAGGCUUUCCGAAAAAGAACAUGCAACUCGACCAAUGAACAAAGUGAAAUCCAUAAAGAAUAAAACUCGUUAAGUUAAUGUUUAAAAAAAAAAAUCCCACAACAUGUUACUGAUAAAAAUACAAGCUUAAAGAUUGCUUAAAGAUGACAUUUAGAAAUACAGGAAAGCUCAAAUACUAACGCAGUCAAAAACAAUCUUUAAGCAACUAAAAAAAAUUUAAUUUACAAGGCUGGAAGAAAAGACAUCUCAGUAUGAAAUAUCCACAAAUUUAGAAUUAUGUAAAUUUGUCAACAACCAGCCAACACUAUUAAAUGAUGGUGACAGAAAAAAUCAGGGGCAAUGUAAGGAAGAAAAAUUGGACUGAAUGGUUUAAGCAUUCAAAUAAUAAACCAAAUUAAGAACCAAAAGCUAUACCAUCCUUGUUUAACCAAAAGAGAAGAUUAAUAGAAAUAGGAACAUUCUUGUGAUACACGUUAAAAUGAACAAAUCCUGUGGUGCCAGAAUGAUAAAAGAAUCUAGUAUUUAGCAAUCUUAUAUAUCCAACAAUAACUUUCAGCCUCUCUCCAGUAUAAGAUUACUAAAUAUCAGAAAUAGGAUCUGAAACCAUACCAGGGCAAUGCAGAGGAAACACCAACAGAAAGAAAUCAAUGUUGGUGUCACCAAUUGUCCAACAGACUAAUCCUACAAUAGUUCCCAAUGACAAUAUCAGUCUCAUCAUUUACAAUUAAUAAGCACAUUCGGUGGCUAAACAUGCCUAAUCCCAACGACAAUAUCAGUCUCAUCAUUUACAAUUAAUAAGCACAGUUGGUAGCUAAACAUGCCUAAUCCCAACAAGUCACUUAGCCAUAAAACCAAAGAACGACGAAAUUCGACUUCUAUCACCAGAAUGAAGGAAGUCCUUGUUUAUACUUUAUACCACAAUAUCCUAACAUAAAAUGAGUGGGUAAGACCUGCCUUGCAAACUAAGCAUCAAAAUAUCAAGCACAAAACUUAAGGAAAACUAGAGGGCAAUAACCAUCACUCUUCACAAAACUUUGGCAAUUGAAACUAUCAAGUUUGACCUCUGUCCAAUUCCCAACACACAAUUUACCUUAAUUAAUACAUAAGAAACCGACUGCAGAUAGAGACCUUGACAGUUUGAACUUAACAUGUAAAAGUAUUAACUCCACCCACAAGAUUUCGAGAGGAUACCAAGCAGUGCAAAUUACCACGUUAUCCAGCUCCUAAUGACACUAGAACCAGAAAAUUUUGAUACAAAAUAGCCAUGAAUCUCUUACAAAGUAGAGGAGCUGCUCAUCUUGCACUGGUCAUUUUGACACAUACAAAACAGCUGUCAUAGCGACAAGGAUCACCAGCAAAAGAUGUCUGCAACUCUCAAGAUUUUACAAGUGCAACAAACGGAAGAAAAGAAAUCGAUGAUAAUAUAAAAUCCAAUCUAUAUCUCAAAGUGACUGAAUAACUACAUCAAGAAAUGAGGAUGCAAAAGCAAGUCUAGGAAAAAUUAUUCAGCACAAUACUUAGCAGAAAAAUUAUAACCUGAGUGGGAAAAUCAUCUACUUCCUCAACAGGUAUAUGGAAGUAUAAGAAAAUGUAAGAAUUUGUUAGAUAAAAAGAGAGACUUCCAGAACAUUGACCAGAGACAACAAUUGACAGAUCAUAAUGACACAAUAUCUAUGUAGGAAGAAAUAAACACAAAAUAAAGUAGCAAUUUAGUCCCUACUUUACCCAAAUGAACAAAACUGUUUUUAACCUGCAAUUGAGAAUAUAAGAAUACCUCUAGAAAAUCUGAACAAGGAAAUUUCUUAAGCAAUGUUAAUGAGAUGUCUCAAUAAAACUAAAAUUUUGAAGAGUCCAAUCUUUACUAAUGUUGUACAGACUAGAGUGAUGCUCCAGAAGAUCACCUAAAAUCAACAUUCAGAAUAGAACUAAACAGGUCCUACAGGAGUAGGCAUACAAAAUAAAGGUACAAAACAAUCACAAGCGAUUCAUGUAAAAAACUAGAGACAGAAAUAGGUUAAACUGAAGAAAAGCUUUCCUCCCAACAUUCACAUCCAAACAUACCUCGCUUAUGACCUCAUCAACCAAUUCUCUAGCAUUUUUAAUCUGUUCACUUGUCCCAUCUAUGUGUAAUGACCUUUCUGUUGAUGGAUCACCAGGAGGCAAGUGCAAUGGUAUCACCUGCACCAGAUUAAAAGAGAUACUGUUGUCAGAAACCGUAGUUGUAGAUGCAACUACUGCAAGAUUUAAAAGACCAUAUCGAAGAAACUGAUUAAAAAAUGAAUCUGGUCCUAAGGUAGCUGUUUUACAAUUCAAACAAAUACAUUAAUUGUCAGCGAAUAUGAAGCUAAAGCAACAAUAGAGGACUUCCAAAUAAGAAUGACACUUAAGAUUCAAACCUGAAUACGAGCUCCAGUUCUGGCUUGCAUAUUUUUAAUUGUUUCACCACCUUUACCAAUCACCAGACCAACCUGAAAUCAUGCUCACAUUACAUAUUAUCUUGAACCAAAGUCAAUGAACAAAGUUGACUAAUGCUUUUACACUGGUCUACCUUGUUAUUUGGAAUCUUCAUUUCAAAAUGUUCACUUCCAGCUUGUCCUGUCAAUCUUCGAGAAACUAUGCCAGAGCCCCCUGCUUCAGCCUGGCCAGAGCAUUAAUUGGUAUAAUCAUAUUUCAUACUUACUAUAACUAAUAUUGCAAGACUCCAAAAUGAUAAAAUUAGAUUAAUAUUCUGCAUAAAGGCAAUGCAUCAAUUUCACAUAAAUAGAAGGGCGGGAUGAAUUACCUCAGCAAGAACAUCGUUUAUCAACUGCUCUGCCUUGGCAAUUUGUUCAGCAGUACCCAUGAGCUCUACAGGCCUAGUCACAGAAUUUGGGUCUGCAUCCAUAUCUCGCUGAACCUGAAUCUUUGCCCCAGAUUGUAGUUGAAGAUAUUUGAUGGUUUCUCCGGCUUUCCCAAUUAUAACACCAACCCUGAUUUGUGGAAUGUCAAUCUUUUUGCUAGUACCAUGGUAGCUACCAUAAGAAACUGGUAUAGAUGAAGGAGCAGAGUUCGACAUAGGCUUCAUAUCUGUAUUCAUUAAAGCUAUUCAUUACGCUUUGCGUCAACUUUCAAAAAUCAGAUCUACAAUUUAGCAUCUUGCAAACAGCAGCAACCAAAAGAUUGUAUUCAAAAGUUCGAAACCGUAAAUACAAAACCCUAGAUGCAACAAUCUACUCAAAACACUGAAAGCAUUUACUAUCAAAGAACACGUGUCACAGGCAGGAAAAAUGAAGAAAGAAAGAGAGACAAUACCAGGAGGUGCGGAGCUAAAUCCCUUGUCGUUAUCAAAACCACCUCCAGAGCCGUUUUCGACGCGAGGGCGCUUGGCCUCAGCGCCGGCGGAUGCAGCAGAGAGAGUAAGGCGAGCAGCAAUCUCUUGAGCUCGCUGCUUGGCCAUCUCGAUGCCGUCAAGCGGUGGCGGGACGCUGUUGUAAGAAGGAGGAGCCGAAUCUGGGGAGGAAAACCCUGUCGGCCUCCUGCCACCGGAAGAAGGCGGCGUCUGGUCAUCGUAUUUGCGCUUGUUGCUGCCGGCGUCUGGACCUGAAGAGUACUGCGCUUCGUCUGUCAUUGUGCGAGAGACCAAAAGACAGACAGCGAGAGAGAAACCCUAGAGGGAUAGAGAGAGAGAGGAGGGUGUGGGACGAAUAGCUAAGAAAUAAAAUCACGUGGGGUAUUUUAUUUAUUUAUAUAUGUCGUGAGUUUAAAUUGCUUUUUUUUUUCUUUUUUUUUUGGGUUCCCUUUGUUGUGCAUGUGAAUUGGAUUUUUAUUCUAUUUUCGGCUUUAGAAUUCGAUCUUUUUGGUUUACAUACGGUAAAAAGCAUCUACUGCUUUUAACUAAACGGGAGGAGUGGUUUGCUUAUAGACUUCUGCUUACGGUCAAGUUCUCAUUUUUAGUAGCUUUUUCAUAUUAUUUUAGCCAUGGUCAACGUCAAGAUAUAACUCAUUUUAAAGUAAAUUUAAUUAAAAAAAAUCCACUGCCCUCCGUGGGUAAAUUAUGAUGAUUGAUAGAUACUAUAAAGCAUGACGAGUUAUUAAUAACACAAGCUAUGUUAUAAUAACUCCAUUUUGAUUGGUCGGAAUAAUUUACAAUUGUAUUUAAUUACCAAGAAAAGUUCCUUGGUCCAAAAAAUUAUCUUAGUUCUCUGUCCCACCCAAUGAGCCCAAUUCGCCAUAUCUUUGAGCUAAAAACCACCUUUGAGUAAUAUGUUUCUAUAUUAUGUUUUACAUUAUUGUUAUUGAUAUAGCAAGUGAAGUCUCUCAGUCUCAGACCUGGCAAACUACUGUAAUCAACAUGCACAAACUUGACUGCACGAGUCAAGUCCCCCAACCCAGAUUUCCAACUUACCAUGGCAAUGGAAAACCCAAAUCCUGCCCUUAGAAAUUCAUCCCAUAGGCAUAAGGGCAUUGACGAUCACCAUUAUGUUGACAGACUGUUCCGGAUAUGAAUAAAAUACUCCUCAGAACUGCCUUCGAAGUUCAAACCAUCAAAUCGAGAUACCACAGAAAAAAAAAAACAAUGAAUUUAUUCAUACCCUUGUAAAACGACAAAAUAAACAUCCUUAGAACAACAGCACAGGUAGGUAAAAAGAAAACUAAAGCCGGUGCAAAUUGAAAUUCCAAGUAAUACAGGAAGUACAAUCACCAUACAUGUAACCGAAACUUGAUUUGUAAAGCUCAUGGACUUUAUGUUCAAAACCAUUUUAAUAAUCUAUCUCUACAUGGCAUUUCACCAGCGAACUGAUUUAUUUUACCUUAACACUGCACCCAAAAUAGCCCAGGAGCAACUUGUGAUAUCCUUACUUGUUCCACCAAUGGAGGAAAUCCUUGCGCCUGUUGAUCUUUUUCUGCAACUGAAGAACUCCAUAUAGUAGAGCCUCAGCAGUGGGUGGGCAACCAGGUACGUAGAUGUCAACAGGGACAAUUCUAUCACAACCUCUAACAACAGAGUAUGAGUAAUGAUAGUAUCCACCACCAUUCGCACAACUUCCCAUAGAAAUGACCCACCUAGGCUCCGGCAUUUGGUCAUAAACCCUGCAAAAAUUCAACAUGAAGGUAAAAUUACCAAACCUCGAGCAAAUUUCUACAACUGUAGUACAGAAGGAAGAAGAAGAAGAUAGCCAAUGACUUGGUUCUUUGCCAAGUCAUUCACACAAAUUCCAUGGAAUCCCUUCUCUCAAACAAAAAAUUUAGAGAAUCCCUCAAGCCUAGAGUAACAAAAUUCAAAAUGAAGAAGAUGCUAUACAUCAUCAAGAAAAUAAAGAAUGGCAACAAAAUUUGGGGAAUGCUACUAAAAAUUGUAAAACUUGGCAAAGAGUAUGAAACCACCAGCAGAGGUAAAACUUUAAGGUUGCAUCUAUUUGCACGACUCUGAGAAAUAAAUCUAAAUGUCAAAUCACCAUUGAAACACCAAACAUUUUUAUGCACAUCGCACUCCAAAUUCACCAUCAUAACAUAGCCUAUAGCCCUAAUCCACGCAAAUAAUCCAAUUAAGCCAGCUUCAGCAGACCCUUAUCAGACUGUAUAACAAGCAAAACAAGCCAGCUCAGCCUAGGUUGGGUAGUUUUCUAUAUGUAGAUGCCAUAAACCAGUUACACAAAUGUCAAGUUGAACAACCAUCGACAUAUAGUAAUAUGUUACUAGUUCUGAUUAUAGGUUAUUGACCAAAAACCUAAUUACUAACUUACCAAGCCAGAUCACACAAACUUAUCCAGGACCAUUCCAGCUAGACCUAAGUUGAGCUCCAGGUUGACAGCUGUAAAAUCCAUGUUCAGCCAACCAAGCUAAGGCCUUGAAAGAUUACAGAUAGCAAAAUCUUGUUCCAUAGUUUUUUAUCUUCAUAUCUCUUCAACAAUUCCGCCAAAAUCAGGAAGAAACAAAAGACAAAUUGAAAGUUGAUUUAACCUUCUUUAGGGAUGCACCAAUCACAAUGCCUCAUACAAGGGAGCACGGAAAAAUCAUUUUGUUACACUGAACGAGAAACAACCUCGGGUAGCUUUCACCUUUCAGAUCAUUUACUUUAGCUACCCUAUUCCCCAAACAAAAAUCCGUAAAUUUCACAGAAAUUGUCAUCUUCAUUAUUUGAAAUAUGCUCCCAACUUAUAUAAAAGCAAAGAUCCUACAGCAUUACAGGAAUUCAGUCACAAAUCAAAUGAUAAUUUUAAUCCUAUAAGAAAAAAAAAGAUUUUCUAAAUAAUCCUUGACACAAAGCAAAUAGAGGAUUUAGGAAUUCAAUUUUGCAACUAUGCCUAUCGUUAAUUCAAACCUAGCAUAGCUAAAAAGAAUGUUGGGACUGCCAAAAUUCACAUUCUCAUUCGCCCCAAAAUUUAAAUAUAAAGAUAAAUAAAGGAGUAUUAAAUUAGUAUAAAAUAAAACCCUAAGAAAUGAGAUUAAAACAUAGUAUAAAAUAAAACCCUAAGAAAUGAGAUUAAAACAUACUUGCGGAGAGCAGGGGCCAUUUUGUUUGUGAGAGUGCCAGCGACAAUCAUGCAAUCGGAUUGGCGAGGGCUAGGCCUGAAAAUGAUACCGAAGCGAUCGAAAUCAUAGCGAGCGGCACCGGUGUGCAUCAUUUCAACAGCACAGCAAGCGAGGCCGAAGGUCAUAGGCCAGAUGGACCCACGACGGGCCCAGUUCAUGAGGUCAUCGACCUUUGAGAUCACAUAUUCGGCAGUCUUGGAGAGCCCAGCGGGAGGGCCGGACGUGGAGGGAGGAGAAGGACGAGCGUAAGUGGUGGGGAAGGAGGAGGAGGAGAGAGAAGGAAGGGUGGUGUGCAGAGAGAGAGCCCGCUGUGCGGAGAGGAGGUGUGGGAGGCGAUUGGCGGUGUUUCGGCUGAUGAGAGCCAUGGCUCGGUGGUUUCUGUGAAGAGAGAGAAAUGACCUUUCCCUUUGGAGAUGGCGAGAGAUUUGGAAGUAUUGAUUCGGUGAGGACUCCCAGACUAUUGGUUAUGCGCCAUGGAGUUAUUAACUGGGUUCAUUUUGGAGAUGACAGAUCUGUACGGGCCUUGUAAAAUAACUCAGAAAGGAAUGAGUUGGAUUUUUUUUUAAAAAAAAUCUUCUAAUUAAAUUACGUGUAUAUAUUUAAUUUUGAUUUAUAAAAAAUUAUUAAUUUAUAUAUUAAAUAAAAUAUAUUUUUUGAAUAUAUUAUUUUAUAAAUUUAAUAAAUUAUUAAUUUAUUAAGUCGAUUACAACAGAAAGGAUAAUACUAACUAUAUGCAUUUGAUUAAAUACAGGCAACUAGUCUCAGAUAUUUCUUUAAUUUGUGAUCAUAAAAAGCUUUGAUUGAUAGUUUUUUGUUAAAUUAAUUGAUUGACCUAAUAAUCACGCAGGCCAAAUUUCGAGGGUAUUAUUUUGCCUCUUUUGUCAUUUCAUUUCCAUUAGAAAUGAAGUACAAUUGGCUCUUCCACUACAAAAAUCUAGGGAAUACUUGUAUAAAUAGAUUUGGUAUUAAUUUAACGCAAGUUACUAUCAAAGUAUAAAGUAAUAAUAAUAAAAAUAAUGGAGGGUCAGAAGAUUGAUUUAAAGGAGGGGUUCUACUUCAUCCCAAAACCAACACAAGGGAAUUCUGUGGAGGAGGAGGAGAAAGAAUAGUUAGAAAUUAAAUAACAAUAAUCGUAAUGGAAUAUAACAAGUAUUAAUCUAAAGUUGAAAAUGGUACAAGAUUAAAGCACAAGGCCUCAGAGCUGCCUGUAUCAAUGAGAAUUGAUGCACCACAUAAGUCCUUUUCCCUCAGAUUUUUGGUUAAGAUCCCAUCAGUCUCAAACCCAGCAACAUUGCAGCCCAAUUAGAAGCGAGUUUGUUUUCAGUAGUUGGGAGUGCUAUCAUCAUACUUUUUCUUCGACCUAAACAAAACCAAAAUAGGGAGAGCACUGUGUCUAUCCCUACAAAGAAUAUUAAAUCAGGGGGCAUGACCUGCCUGGAAGCAUUAAAGUCAAUGUACUACGUUGACAAAUCAACAACAGCAACAUUGAACCCUGGUGUUGGAAGACAUGAUAGAAUUUCAAUGAACCACCCAGAGUCUGGUAAAUUGGUGCAGCUUCCGCAUCAUUAAUUAGGGAACAAGGCAAAGCAAAUCUCUCCAAAAGCAAGCGAGAAAAGCUUUGCCCAGCAAAAUAAUCACGAGCCUUGUCGGAUCAUCUUCAUGCAUAAUACAUGUAAAGACUAUUUGAUGCAGCGCAUGCGAGAGAGUUUUCAGUUGGAUGCCAUGCUAGGUGUAGCAACUUUGUUGUGAAAUCAAAAGCAUUUCCAUUUGCAUCAACUCCCGAGUUAUCUGCUCCUUUUACUGAAAGUGGAAACAAAGAGAUGCAUAGAGACAUAAAUGUUAAAUGAACCUCAAGCAACCGUACAAAAGCAGAAAAAAUAUAUACUUUCCAUGAAUCAAUAAUUGUUCAAAAACUAGUUACCUUAGAAAAAGGUUUUAAGCCUAAUUCACUAAUAUCACAGCCCAGUGAUUAAAAGAAGUCAUUAUGCAAAAAUAAAGGAAAAGAAAUUAAACUGAUGGAACACAAUCCAGAUAUCUGGACUUUGUACGAAGGGUGUGAAACAAAUACCACGUCUGACAACACCAGAGAGGCUACCAAGAGAUCUUGAAGGCCUUGAUGAUGUCUGAAUUUGUCUCCUGUAAAUUCAUUAUAUAAAUUACAAAGUGAAUCUCUGACAAUAUAUAAGACAUUCCUUUUGAUUCAAGACUUCACAAACCAAGAAAAGUAAAACAAGUCCCUCUAACAGCUACUCACAUCAUUAUAUCUACAAUAGCCAACUACCUCAGAACAUACCUCAUUGGGUUUUUGCUGGCUUCCAGUGUUGUUGCUUCUGUACUACCUUCAGAACAACCAAACACCCGAAACAGAUUGCUGAAGUCACAAAAAGCACUACAUUAUAUACUGGUUGAUGGUGGAAUCUCUAGGAUUCCUUCUCUUGUACAUUCAUGCCUUCAAGUUUUGUUUUCUGUUUGCUGGGAUUGUGUUUAUUGUUGAUUGUAUAGGUUCACACCCAGCAGCUUAUUUUGUUCUGAUGGGCUCUUUUGUUUGGUGUCUUGAUAGUGUAUUGGGGAAAUAUGCUUAUUUUUGUCUAAAGGCAUAUCAACCAAUAUGCAGCCAUCUUGAUGAUGUUCUUGCCAUGGGAAUUUUUUCCAUUCCCUAUUUAUUAAUGGAUGAUAUCUAAUGAUUUCCAAAAAAAAAAUAUGAUGACCAGGUCCUUCCAUAUUGUUGAUGUUUUAUAUAAGAUGAUAAAAAGAAUUAUUCAAAUAUCUAAACUGUACCUGUAGGAACCAGUAGCCAAUCGAAGUCCAUCUCCACUUAGACAACACUCAAAUUUGUCAAAGAUAGAAUCAUUUUCAUAUAGAUCGCAAAGCUGCUCAAGGUCCAAAAAAGAAAAAAAUCACCCAUCAUAUAGGGUAAAUGUAGUGUCUCUUUUUUAAAUAUUACCUAAACCCUACAAAAGAAUCUAAGAAGAAUAUGUUACCUUUGGUCUAAGAUAUUCAUGAACCUGGAAAGUUGCAACUGGACCAGAAUCCAUAUUUAUGUCCCACAACUGACAGCCAAGAAACCAAAACCUUGUUACAGAACAAUAGAAGAGGAGGAAGGAGUAAAUAAAUAUAGAAAUUCAGCUAUUAUACUAGCAUCAUAUCUGGUAGUUAUGACACAACAGCAAAGUGCUGCUCAAAAGAGAAAAACUAAUUUCACAUAAAAAUAUAUCAACCUUAAGGGUCAUGUAAUCACGACUUAGUAUAUGCCUUCCAUCCUUGGCAAACUUAAUGUCUGAGAUUGAUGCUAUGAUCUCUGUGAAAAAAGACCUGGAGCCGGGAGCCUCUUGUUCCUCAAACCUAUACCAUCAAAAAUCUUAUAAAAACACAGAGAAAACAACAUGAAAGAAAACACAAUUAAAGCAUCUAUAGCUAAUAAUGAUCCAAGCACUAUAAUGAAUAAACCAAUAAAAAACAGAAAUACCACAUGUCACUUACAAUUUGCUGUGAGUAUCACACAGCGCAGACUGGCGCAUAUCAAUAAGACGAAUUGAACCCUUUGAACUACUAUAUGCUAACAUAUUACAGUGUGUAGGAUGAAAUUCUGCCGAAGUUAUCACCUCUGCAAGUAUUGAUUCAAAUAAAUCAAUCAUACAAACAUGAAAAAUACAUAUAGUAUUACUUUUUAGGGAAACAUCAUAAAUUGACAGCAUUGAUGUUUG
rnacentral:lncRNA from 1 species